rnacentral:lncRNA from 1 species
AAACCUUUCAUUUCUACUCUCUCUCGACUUGAGUAGCAACCAUUUCUAUGGCCAUCUCCCUAAAGAAUUGGGCCAAUUGCAUCGUUUGAGGAUCCUUCAAUUAAGCUACAACCGUCUUAAUGGGGAAAUUCCAUCAUGGCUUGGGAACUUACAGAGAGUUCGAAGCCUGAAAAUGAAAAAUAAUUACUUUACAGGCACAAUCCCUGAAACACUUGUUAACACGUCUAGUCUAGAGAUCUUGAACUUGGCAUUCAAUCAAUUAUCUGGUCAGGUUCCAUCUUCCAUCUUCAAAAUUUCUUUUCUGAAGAUUAUUGAUCUCUCCAGCAAUAGCCUAUCAGGUAGUUUGCCUAAUCAUAUGUGUCAACAUCUUCCCAAGCUUGAAGGGCUUUACCUGAGUUGGAAUGAAUUAUCUGGUAACAUUCCAUUUGGCAUGGGCAAAUGCAACAACCUUAAAAAUUUGUCAUUGUCCCGUAAUCAAUUUAUGGGGAUCAUUCCAAGAAGUAUUGGAAAUCUAACACGACUCCAGGAAUUAUAUUUGGGGUUUAAUAAUCUAGAAGGUAAUCAAUUUCCUUGAUUUCUUGAAUUUAAAGUAUGUUUUUUUUAUAAAAGAGUUUGAUUUGUAAUAGAUAACAAAAGGAAAAACUUUUAAUUUUAUUUGAUGAAAAACAUAUGCUGAAAUAUAUUAAAAUCUAACAUCUCCAAAUUACUGUAGAACAGAAAAGAAAACCUCUUUGACUUAUGCUAACAAAAUAGGUAGUUUGACACCUUGAUUUUUCGAUUAUGUGUGCAGGUCAAAUUCCUGAGGAAAUCGGUAAUCUUCUUGGUUUGGAAAUGCUUAAUAUUGUAGCAAUUAAAGGCCUUACAGGUCAGAUUCCAACUUCGAUCUUCAACAUUUCUUCUCUGAAGGCUAUUAAUCUCUCCAACAAUAGUCUAUCAGGUAGUUUGCCUAAUAAUAUGUGUCAACAUCUUCCCAAGCUUGAAGGGCUUUACUUGAGUUUGAAUGAAUUAUCUGGUAACAUUCCAUUUGGCAUGGGCAAAUGCAACAACCUUAAAAAUUUGUCAUUGUCUUGUAAUCAAUUGACGGGGAUCAUUCCAAGAAGUAUUGGAAAUCUAACACGACUCUGGGAAUUAUAUUUGGGGUUUAAUAAUCUAAAAGGUAAUCAAUUUUCUUGAUUUCUUGAACUUAAAGUAUUUUUUUUUAUAAAAGAGUUUGAUUUGUAAUAGAUAACAAAAGGAAAAACUUUUUAUUUCAUUUGAUGAAAAACAUAUGCUGAAAUAUAUUAAAAUCUAGCAUCUCCAAAUUACUGUAGAACAGAAAAGGAAACCCCUUUGACUUAUGCUAACAAAAUAGGUAGUUUGACACCUUGAUUUUCGACUAUGUGUGCAGGUCAAAUUCCUGAGGAAAUCGGUAAUCUUCUUGGUUUGGAACUGCUUAGUAUUGUAGCAAUUAAAGGCCUUACAGGUCAUAUUCCAACUUUGAUCUUCAACAUUUCUUCUCUGAAAACCAUUGAUCUCUCCAACAAUAGCCUAUCAGGUAGAUCUCUCCAACAAUAGCCUAUCAGGUAGUUUGCCUAAUGAUAUGUGUCAACAUCUUCCCAAGCUUGAAGUGCUUUACUUAGAAGAUAUUGAAUUUUCUUUGUUUCUUUAAUUUAAAAUAUUUUUUUCAUAAAAGAGUUUGAUUUGUAAUAAAUAACAAAAGUAAGAGCAUUUUAUUUCAUUCAAGGCAAAAUAGUUAAUUUGAUGGAAAAAAAAUGCUUAAAGUAUUUUUAGUUGAACAGUUUAGAAGGUAUGUUUUUCACUUCAAUUUUCGACUAUGUAUGCAGGUCAAAUUCCGUCAAGAAUUUUUAAUUCAACUACGCUCGAAGAAAUAGAUCUAUAUGACAACAAAUUAGAAGGUAUGUUUUUCACUUUAAUUUUUUCCAAACUCAAAAAACAUUGUGUUGAAUUUGUUUCUUCUAUUUAUGUCAUAUAGUUUUAUCAUUUUAAUCUGAUAAUAAAAAAUAAGAUUUAUAUGAAUUGAUUUAUUUUUAAUUUUUUAAUUUCCAUUAAACUUUAAAAAAUAAAUUAUUUGAGGGUACUUUAGUUUUUUUAUUUUAAAAAAUUAUGGUGAUAUUUGAAUCCACAUCAAUACAUAAAACCUUAAAUUUAUCACUUAAAUUUAUGAUGUCACAAAUUAACUCGAUACCAACUUAGGAAUUGACAACAACAUCAUCAUAAAUAACUGUAUUCAUUUAGUAUUCUUAAUUUGAUGUAUUCAUAUGUUUAAAUUAUGUUUUACUUAUAGUUUAAUCUAUUUUUAUUUUAAUAUGGCUGAUAUGCCAUGUGUUAUUAUUAAAUAGUUUCAAAUUAUACAUUUCAUUAUUUAUCAUAAGUUAUUCUAAAACACAAAUUUGUGUUCUAAAUAAGUGGUUCUCAUACACGUAUGUGUAUGAUAAAGUUUCUAAUUAUAAUUUAAGUAUAAAGUAAUUCAAUAUAAAUUUUAAAUUUUUAUUAUAUAUAUUUUAAAAUAAAUUUUUUAAUAGAAUCAAAAUUGUUAUUUAUAAGGAUGCUAAAUUUUCUUAUGAAGUGAAUUUAUUUAACCAAAUAUUUUAGUAAAACCAAAAUUCUUAUCCAUACAUAUGAUAAAUCUUCAAAGUACUAAAAAAUAUUUAAAAUAAUAAAUUCAAUAAUAUAGUAAACAACAAAGGCUAUAUAAUUAUUAGUUCAAAAGUUUCUCAAAAUCCAUACAUUUAUAUAUAUUAUAGAUAUAUUUUUAAUGGCUUAAUGCACAGUUUAUUCCCCACAGCAUAUUGCUCUUUUUUUUUUUAAAAUUUUGGUCCUUAAUGUUGUUUUGCCCAGUUUAGUACCUAAUAAUUUCAAACAUUCCUAGUGUAGUCUCUAACAUUAUCAGGUGUUUUUGGUUUAGUCUAUUGGACGUUAAAAAAAUAGAUUGAGAUAUCCAACAAACCAUAAAUUGCCCUGUGGCAUAUGACGACAUCAUGAUGACAUCAUCAUCUAAAAAAACCAAAACAAUCUUUAAAAUUUCAAAUAAAAUUAUAAAAAAACUACAUUAUAAAUAUACAAUUGUUUUAAAAAAAUAAAAAAUUAUUAAUUUUUAAAUUUGUAAUAAAUAAUAAAAUUAUUAAAAAUUGUUAGAAAUUUUUAAAUAUUGUAAAAAUUAUAAAAAUUUAUUAGAAAUUAUAAAAGACGAUAAAAAUUAAAAAAUAGAGUUAAAAACUAGUAAAAAUUGUGUAACUUGAAAUAAAGUAUAUAUUCGCUAAUAUUUUUAAAAAAAUUAAAAAUUUGAUAUUAAAAUUGUAUAUUGUGGUACAAUCAAUUUUUAUAAAAAAUAUUUUAAUAAAUUUUUAAUAUUUUAAAAUAUAUCAAAAUUUAGUACUUUACCAACUCCCCAAUUCAUAAAUAGGAGGAUAAUGCAAUUCAACAUACUUGAAUCCACAUUCUCCUACAUUGGCAACAAUGCACAUGCCAAUCAAACUAAGACUUAAUCGAUAAUUCUUUAGAAUAAUUAAAUAUGCAACAAUAGUUCUUAAGAUAUUGAUCUAGACACAAAUAAUUUAUCUUGAAAUAGUAAAACAAUAUUUGGAAUAAUUAAAAACAUAGAUAUCAAGUUUAUUUUAUUUUUCAAAAUGCCAUACUAACACAAAAACUUUUUAACCGUAUUAAUAAAUGAACCUAAAAUUUUCAAUUCAAAAAGUAGAGAGACUAAAUCACAGAAAAUAAAAAAUAUAAAAAUUCAAAUUCAAAUAUAUGAAAAAUACAAACAUUUUGAACAAAUAAUAAUCUUUAAAUUUUACAGUAUAAUUUAAUAAAAAUAAAUAAUUAACCCAAUAGAUAAAAAUCAUACCAGUUUACAUUAAAAAGAAUGGCUUUAACAUUUUUGUUUCCCAAAUCAUAACUAAUUAUUAUUCAGUGUUAGUCUCAUUUUUAAGAUUGAUUAGAUGCCACAUUCUCAUGCCAAACUUUUAUUUUUAUUUUAUUUCAAGUUUUACAAUAUUUUAAAAAAUUAUUAGUAUAUUAUAUGUUUUGUCUAUACAAAUCACAAGGACUAAUUACUACUCAAAACUUCUUAUUAUGUCUCAACUUUCUAAUUGAUUUCAUCACAUUUUUCCAUGCCAAAGUUUUAUUCUUAAUUGAUUUAAAGUUUUGCAGUUUUUAUUUUAAUGUAUUAUAUAUCUUGUGAAUUUGGUAUUCAAUGAAUAUGUAUACUAAAAGAUGCUAUUUUACAGGUAAUUUACCACCCAUCACCAAUGCUCCAAAGCUUGAGUUUCUUUUAUUGUGGAGAAAUAAACUUAGCGGAAACAUUCCCAACUCUAUCUCCAAUGCUUCCAUGCUUAAGAUUCUAUCCUUGUCACAUAACUUAUUCUCUGGCCCAAUCCCUAAAAUGCUUGGCAGCUUAAAGCACCUUGAAGUGCUCGAAAUCUUUCACAAUAAUUUGAUCACAGGAUCUGCUAGUGAUCAUGAGUGGAGCUUUCUUUCUUCUUUGACAAAUUGCAGGAAUUUGAGCACAAUAGAUGUUUCAAGAAAUCCAUUGAGUGGUGUUCUUCCUACUUCUAUCGGGAACCUUUCAAAAUCCCUUCAAUACUUUUAUGCCUCUAAUUGUGAGCUUCAAGGCAUUAUUCCUAUGGAAAUAGGUAACUUAACCAACCUAUUGCUUUUACAUCUUCGCUAUAAUAAAUUAAGUGGAUUGAUUCCAGCAUCAAUAGGAGGAAUGAGAAAUCUCCAAGGUCUACGUCUUUCCUCUAAUAAAUUAGGAGGGACUAUGUCAGAAAGCCUCUGUGGUUUGGAGAGACUAUGCGAGAUGUAUUUAGGGUUGAAUAAGCUGCAUGGAUCCAUACCCUCUUGCUUGGGUAAUAUUACUUCUUUGAGAUAUCUUUACUUAGAUUCCAACAAAUUGAGUUCCGCAAUACCCUCAACUUUGUGGAAUCUUAAAGAUAUCUUAGAAAUAGAUUUAUCAUCAAACCACCUUUACAAUUCACAUGCUAUUGAUGUUGGAAAUUUGAGGAGUCUACUGAAACUAAAUUUAUCAAGGAAUCUUCUCACGGGCGAUAUCUUAUCCACAUUUGGGGGUCUUCAAACUUUGGUUUCAUUAGAUUUAUCAAAUAAUAUACUACAUGGUCAUAUCCCUGAAUCAUUUGAUGGGUUGGUUAGUUUGGAAUUCUUGGAUUUAUGCAAUAACAAUCUCUCUGGAGUCAUUCCCAAAUCUUUGGAAAAGCUUUUAUAUCUAAAGUAUUUUAAUGUGUCUUUCAAUAGACUUGAAGGGGAAAUUCCCAGCAAAGGAUGUUUUUCAAACUUUUCUAGCACAUCAUUCAUGAAAAAUUAUGCACUUUGUGGUCCACCUAGAUUGCUAGUCCCACCUUGCAAAAACGACAUCCACAAAAACUCCCAAAUGAUUAUAUUGCAUGCUUUUAGGUAUGGUUUACCAACAAUUGGUAUUGUUGUAGUACUAAUAGUCUUAACUAUUAUGUAUAGAAGAUGCCAAAGAAGGAGUACAACUCUACGAAUUAAAGAUGAUUUGUUGUCUUUGAAAACACCGAGAAGAAUUUCACAUGCUGAACUUUCACGAGCAACUAAUGGAUUUNNNNNNNNNNNNNNNNNNNNNNNNNNNNNNNNNNNNNNNNNNNNNNNNNNNNNNNNNNNNNNNNNNNNNNNNNNNNNNNNNNNNNNNNNNNNNNNNNNNNNNNNNNNNNNNNNNNNNAGUUUUGACAUCGAAUGUGAUGCUAUGCGUAAUAUAGUUCAUCGUAAUAUUGUGAAGGUCAUUACUUGCUGCUCAAGUGUUGACUUCAAAGCCUUGGUGCUUGAUUACAUGUCUAAUGGAAACCUUGAGAAAUGGUUACAUUUUGAAAAUUGUUUCCUUGAUAUCAUACAAAGGGUCGACAUAAUGAUAGAUGUUGCAGUAGCUAUAGAACACCUCCACAAUGGACAUCCAACACCUAUAAUUCAUUGUGACAUAAAACCAAGCAAUAUUUUACUAGAUGAAGACAUGGUUGCACAUGUUGGAGAUUUUGGUAUUGCCAAAUUGUUGGGAGAAGGUGAAGUAAUGAAGCAAACCAUGACUCUUGCAACUAUCGGGUAUAUGGCACCAGGUGAAUUCUUUUUUAUUUUUGUAUGAUUAUUUUCCUAAUUUGCAUUUUAUAUUUUUGUUUCAUGUGUAUGUGGAUAUAUAUUUGAAUAAGCAUUUUAGAAAUAAUUGAGGAUGAAUGAUGUUCUAAUUAUACUUGAAAUGCAGAAUUUGGAACAGCAGGAAUUGUUUCUAUAAAAUCUGACGUCUAUAGUUAUGGGAUCGUACUUAUAGAAACUUUCACAAAGAAAAAGCCAACUGAUAAUGUGUUUGUUGAAGAAGAGACUAUAAGGCAUUGGAUGGAAAGUUCAUUGCCUAAAGGAGCGAUAGAAAUUGCAGAUGUUGAUUUAUUAAGAAGAGAGGAUGAGUACAUUGCCGUUAAAGCAAAUUGUAUCUCAUGUAUCAUGGAGUUGGCUUUGAAUUGUUCAGCUGAGUUACCAGAAGAAAGAAAAGAUAUGAAAGAUGUUGUGGUUGAGCUGAAGAAAAUCAAACAAAGGUUGCUAAACAACAUCCAACAUUUUUAACAGAGAUGGUGAGUAAUGAGUACACUUGUGGUUAUUAAUUCACACUUAAUUUUAUCUUUAAUUCAACAUUUUUAAUCUAUAUAUUCUGGAAUUUUAAUCAUAUAUAUAAUAUGUCGGUAUUCGUAAAAAUUAAUAAACUAUUUUUUUUUCUUUUGCUCUCACAUACUAGGCUCUCUUCAAAAUUAAUAGCCUAUAUUUUUAUAAUUUUUAAAAGAUUAAAUAAAAGUUUUAUCAUUUUUUGGGGGGGUCAAAGUACAAUUUUACGUUUAAUAAUUUAAAAUUUUAAAAAUUUUAAAGGGCCUAAAUGAAAAAAAUUUCAUUUUAAGGGGGGUCGGGACUCCUGCCAACUCCCCUAAGUAUGGCCCUAUUAACAAAGGCCUCAACAAAUGGUAUUAUUCUCAUGUUAGGGUUUUGUCUCUUGAUUCCGCUAAGAGUCCUAUGGGUUCAUGGAGAUGGUUGCAAGGUAAAGGCUACACAUGCAUUGGUUCGUAGUUUGAAUCCCUAUGCACAUAUUCUCAAUGAUUAUUCCGCAGAGGCUAGGGAUAAAAUCCCGACAUUGGGACACUACCAUUAGUUGUUGAGGGCCGCACCGAUUGCCUAGCAAACAACACUCAAAAGACUUCUCCUAAAGGAGUCGAUCUCCCUCAACAAAAAUUCAAGUACAAGGUCUACUAUGGGUGAUCGUAAUUUAUCCAAUCAAUGACAUAUAAGUUUUAUCGAUUUUCAAGUAUUUUCUAACUCUUUCUCUAUAUUUUCUUCUAAAUUUUUCAAUUCAUAGACAAGUAUAACACAAUGGUCUUAAUUGAGCUAGCUUGCCUCGUCAGGUAAUUUGUUGCUUUCCAUUUAUUUAGAGUUAUUUAGAGUGUUUUGUAUUUAAUAUUGUCAUAGUUGAAAGUAUCAUUCAUAAUCUAAUCUAAUUGUGUUUUUGGCCAGUGGCUGUUGAUCUAAGAAAAAUAAAGGUGGCCAAUAAGAAGAACGAAACUCCACAUCUUUACUAUCAUGUUCUACAAAACAAAGAGACUUUUUUCUCGAUGAAAUUUGUAUUGGGCUAUCAAUGUUUCAUGGAUUAUAUUGUUUUUCUAAUGUAAGAUUGGGUUUUGCCAAUAUUGCAUGCAAAAUCAAAGUAAUAUUUUCCGAUGCUUAGCUUAAUCAACUCUAAUGCUGCUGUGGAUUUGAUUUGUCUUUACAGUAUUUAGAGAUUAUUUUGUGAAUGUUAAAUUGCCUUUGGGCCUUUCAAAGGAAUUCAGCAAGCCUACAAGUCAUUUAAUUACCUUUGGACCUCCCAUGAAAUUUUUAUGUAUGAAACGUACAAUAAAUGGCUUGAAUUUCAUAAUUAUAUUAUAUAUAAUGAAUCAUUUGUUUCUUUCUCACCCUCUCCACCAAAAUGACCAUUAACAUCAUCAAAAUCACCCGUAUGAUCCUAAGGUUUCUUGUCUUGUCUAAACAUGUUUUUUUCUUUUAUAUUUUGUUAAUAAAAAAUAAAAAUUUAUUUUAAACUUUCAAAAAUUUAGAAUUUAAACCUCUAAAAUAGAAAUUUUUAUUCAUCAAACUUCCACAAAUACAAACCUAUAUAUUGUUGCUAAUCCAAAUCGAAUAUUGGGAUUAGGGUUGAAGCAAAUUUAAAGCUAAUUCUAUUAAGACCCUUUAAAAAUUAAUAAAUUAAUACAUGAUAACUUCUUAAAAUUUUAUAAUUUAAUUCUAAUUCUUCUAUUUUUAUUUUCUUAGAUUCGCCCCUAUUCAAAGCUUCAAGCGUUAUUUGGUUUGGUAGUAUAGCAUGGUUGUUGGAAAAUUAAGUGGAUUAAUUUAUUUCAUAUUUUUCAGUCCCACUCGCCUGUAUGUGAUAGCUCCAGUCUCUACAUGCCCGUGUGACUUACCCACAUGCCUUUGUGGGUUUUGGGGUUUUAAAUUUUUCUCUUUAAAUUAGUAUUCUAAUUUGUUUAAGUUACAAUUUAGUCCUUAAUAAUAAAACUUGAAUUAGACAUAGUAAACGUACUCAAACUAAGCUAAAAAUUUCAGGCUUGCAUAAUUUAACUAAAAGAAGGUUGGUAAACACUUUGAUCUAAAAUCGGGUUAGUUUUACAAUAGGUGGUAAUAAUGAAAAUGAUGGUACAUAAAAUAUCGAAAUAAUGAAAUGAAUGAUAUAUGCCUAAGAAGAAACGACAAGAGAAUGAUAUGUAUCAUGACAUGUAAAUGUAUGAUUAUCUUUAAUAUGUUGAUACAAGAAAAUUAUGUACGAUAAGUUUAUAUGUAAUAUGUGCAAGUACGCUAACCAGUGUUGUUGCUUGAUGCUUAGGCAAGUGCCAAGCUAUUGGUUGAAUGGUAAUAUGAUUAUUUAAUGGAAGUAUUGAAUUGAUAAGUAUUUGAGUGAAAAUAUGCUAGUGCUCAUGAAAAAGUGGUAUGGUUUAAAUUAUGCAAUUUCUUAUUAAAUGACUUAUCAUGUGAUCAAUUCGAAAAAAGGCUUUACUUAAAUGCACUAGCUUGUGACUAUGGUUGAAUGAUAUGUUUAUGAUUUGUGUGUCACGCAUAGGGAAUAAGCGUGGAAAGUAAAGAAAUGCAAAUGAAAAUAAAGAAAUUAUGAAGAGUUAAAGUUAUAUAAAAUCCUACUAAGCUUGGGAUAAAAUGUAUAAGUGAUACUAUGAAUUUAUUCACCUUGUGAGUUGUUGAAUAUAGCUGCAUGAGUAUUGUGGUAUUAAUAGUGGGUUAUUCUUGAUAUGUAUAGAUUUCAUAUUUUGAAAUGAACUAAUAUGAUUAAAGUCUAUACGAGCUUACUAAGCAUUCAUUGCUUAUGUAUUCGCUUUCUUCUACUUUUCAGAUUAUAGGAAGCUUGAUUAGGUUGGAAGCUUGUCGGAGACAUAUCACACUAUCCAUUGGUUAUAUCGGUAUGUUCAAAUGAUUGGAUUUUGGUUAUAAUGGCAUGUAUAGAUAUUUUAUUUAAUAAUGGACUAUUUUCAUUCACACGAGCAGAGACACGGGCAUGUGUCCCCUACUUCUAAGAAAAUUUUUGAAAAGUUGGGAAAUGUUCGUAUUUAAUUCAUAAAGUUCGGUAAUGCUCCGUAACCCUGUUCUGGUAAUGGAUAAGAGUUAGGGGUGUUACACCUCAUUCCUUCACCAUCGCAUGAGCAGCUUUGUUGGCCUCCCUUGGUACAUGCUUGAAACUCAAACUUCUGAAGUUGUAACCUCUCCCCUUAAUUUCUUUAAUCAAGUUACUAAUACAUGAUCUAUCUUCUUCCGCAGAGUUCAGUUUGCGUAUUAUGGUUAGCGCAUCCCCUUCUAUGCAUAUGUCCUGGAACCCCAUAUCUUCAGCCAUAAUAAUGGCUUGCAGACACACCCUUGCCUCGGCCAUCAUUAGAUCUGAAAUGUUUUCCCAUGGGUAGGUACAAGCUACCAUUAUUAGACCUUCCUAGUUUCAUGCUAUGAUUCCUGAGAUAGAACAUCUUGAUUAAAGGAAAUGAAUGAAGAGUCAAAAUUGAUUUUUAUGGUGUCAUUGUCUGGUGGUUCCCAAACUGAAUGUCUAGCAUCACAUGAGUUCUUUAAUCUCUCCUCCAUAAUAGUUGUUUCUGUAUAGUUGGCCUUAAUAAAUCCCACAACUUCAGUCACUUGCUCCUGAACACCAUCAUGAUAGAGUUUAUUAUGAUGAUACCAAAUUGCCCAAUAUGCGAUAGAUCUGAUUCUAUAUAAAACUGGAAUAAAAAAUUGUGCCUAAGUGCUUUUAUGUUAACCUGAAAUGCCAAAAGUAAAAAUGAAAAGACAAAGCCAAUGUAAAAAUAGAAAGACAAAGCCAAUGUAACCCUUCUUCUCCCUUCUUCUUCUUCUAUNNNNNNNNNNNNNNNNNNNNNNNNNNNNNNNNNNNNNNNNNNNNNNNNNNNNNNNNNNNNNNNNNNNNNNNNNNNNNNNNNNNNNNNNNNNNNNNNNNNNAAAAAUAUAUAUUUAUAAAAAAAUAUAUGUAAAAGAUCUCAAUAGUCUCUCUCAAUUUCCAAAUUGAGGAAAUUGCUCACCCUAAAAAAAUCAGAGCAAUUUAGUCCCUAUUAAUUUUGAAAGUGAGCUACUAAGAAUAAUUAAUCAGGACGUUAAUUUUCCAUAAAAUGUACAUGAUUUUGGUUGGUAUAUUAAUAAAUUUAGCCCUCAAAAUUUACACACUUUGCAAUUUGGUCUUGAUUUAACAAAAUUUUCCCGCAACGUUUGUGUAAAUAUGUAAAUGUUGAGGUUGAAUUUCUUGAUUUUUUUUUAAAUUAAAGCCAAAAUGACAAAAUAUAUAAACAUUGAAGGCUAAAUUUAUAACUAUACCAAUCAAAAUUAUGUACAAUUGAUGGAAGAAUUUAACACCAUAAUUAAUUGUCCAUAGUUACUCACUUUCAAAAUUGAUAGGGAUUAAAUUGCUCCAAUUUUUUUGAGAGGGACUAAUUUGUACAAUUGUGAAAUUAAGAGGUAUUGGAGAGGUCUUUUUACCAAAAAUACAUCAACAAAUGAUUAUUAGUGGAGCGGUAAGCGUUUUCUAUAUGAAUUUGUUUAGUCUUGUGUUUGAUUCUCAAAUAAUAUUUUUCAAUCUUUUUACUUGAAGAUUAUAUAAAAGUAUGAAAAAGGUGAAAAUACACUUAUAAUAAUAUUAAUUUCCCUUUAAAAUAAGAAUAUUUUAAUAAUCUUAAGCCUCUUACUGAGUUGGUAUCCCAAGCAAACCAUACAUCAACUCUAUUUAGAAUAAGUUAUAUCAUUCAAGGAUACUUUAAUGUUCUUAAUGACAAACAAUUGGCGAGGGUAAUAAAUAUAAUUUUAUUGAUGUAAUAUGAUACAAUUUUGUUUUAUGCACAAUUUAAUCUCUUUUUUUCAUUUUGAUAUUAUACAUAUUUCAUGUGUUAUUAUUAAUUAGUUUCAAAACAUAAAUUUCAUUCUUUAUUGUAUGUUAUUUUUAAACACAUCUUUGUAUUCUAAAUUUGUGGUUUUCAUACACAUAAGUGUGUGAUAGGAUUUGUAGUCAAUAUUUAAGAGUUUUAUUGAGUUGGUGUUACCCUCAAUCACAUCACCAACUCAGUAAUAUAUUUACCAAAAGCCCCUCAUUUUUAAGCUAUUACUAUGUUUAAGUGUUUUAGAGUUAGUGCCACCUUCAACUACGUCAUCAACUCAAUUAUAAAAUUAUAAAAUUUAUAAUUAAUAUUAUUAUUUUGUCACUUUUGUGUUUUUAUACUUGUAUAUCAUCUUUAAUUAAAAGAAUUAUAAAUUAUAAAUCUAAAGAUUGAACACGUAUUUACUAGUAUUAAAAUUAUAAGUACUUUACCACCCAACCUAUACUCAAUUUGAAAGAAAAUAUUUUUAACAUAAAAUGGGUGUGACAAAAAUUGGUUAUAUAUAUAUGUUUUUCAUAUAUUAUAAUAUAUGUUUUCAAAAAAAUAUAUAUAUAAACUACAGAUGUAAUUGUAAGACACAUUAUACUCAUAAAUAAAAAAUAUAAAUUCAAAGUUUAAAAAAAAUAUUGCCACAAACUCUAAAAAGGAGAUGAAGGAUACCAUAAAAGUAAAUAUAUAUUUAUUAUAAUUUGAUUACAUCAGUUGGUUGAAUUAAAUAUUUCAUUACUCAAUAAUCAAUUCGCUUAAACUAUUAUAAUUAAUUUUAAAAUUGAUUUUACGAGGGGCGUAUUGCUAGGGACAUGGGCUUGACCGAGUCAACUCAACCUAUAUCAUCUGUUUCUAUUGAGUUUUGCUCGACCCUACCCCAAAGACCUGUCAAUGUUGUUAAAAUUGAAAUAUUUAACUUGUUGGAGAAGACUAACGGUAGAAAAGUAAGUCAAUGCUAAAAUGAUAUGUCGACGUUUUUGUUUUUUAGUUUUUGGUGUAAGACGUUUUGUUGUUUUCAAAAUAGUUAAUAAGCCUGAAAUUAUAAAAGAUAAUCAUGAGGUCUUAAAUGCAAUUAUGAUAUUUCUAAAAAGAUAUUUCUCAACAAUUUUUUUAAUUUCUUAAUUGAUGAAAACAAAUUUAGGUAUUUCCCAAUUUGUAAAAACAUGUUUUUUUUUUAAUUUCUAGGUUUUUCUUAGCUUUUUUAUAUUAUUUUGGAAUUUUUGUAAUAUUCUUAUAAUUUCUUAAAAAAUAAGAAAAUAAAAGAAUAAUAAUGAAAUUCGCCUAAAAACAAUUACAAGGACUAGAUGAAGAAUUUGACCUAAAACUUUGUUUGAAAUGAUGUCAUUAAUGUGUUACAUCAGCUUUCUUAGAGAGCUAAAGAUUAAAUGAAUUUAAGAUACCAUGAAACUUGUAUCUCUUUCCAAUAAUUUAACAUUAUUUCAAUAUUCAAAAUGAUAUGUCAAAUUUUUUAAAUGAAAAGAUUGAAAUGGCAUUAGAUGAAUAAAAAAAAUUCAAGUUUUAUGGUAUCCCAAUGUCAUUUAAUCCUUUGUUGCGUAGGGGUAUAACUUUAAGGUGAAUUAUUACAAAGUAACAAAUGGAUAAUAUUCGUGACCAUAUAUUUACUUCAAAAGAUUGGUGACCAAAACUAUAAUUUUAAGCAAACAUAAGUGACAGAAUUUGUGACUUUUCAUUUUUUUCAUUUUCAAAAAAUUUUGGUUUUACAUUUUAGGCAUAAUGACAAAUUUAGCUCUAACAUUUUUUUCAUUUUACCUCAUUUGUUUUUAUUGCUAUAGCCCUCAAGAGUAACAAAUUAAAAAAUUAAUUUAGCCUUUAUGAAAAAAGUGCACCAAUUGAGUACUCAAUGAUUUUAAAAAAAAUCAACUGACCUCUUCAUUUAACAAAAACUGUGAAUUAAACGAUUUAACCGUUAAUUUGACUAAUGCUACGGACAAAAAUCACCAAAAAUUGUCAUAUGAUAGUAUGAUAAUGUAGCAUGCCACAUAAAAAAAUAAAAAAAUAUUUUUUAACAAAAAAAUAAUUAAAAAAAACAUUUUUAAAUUUACUUGCAACAACCUUAAGUAACAUCAUCCACAAAAGCUUGAAGGUUCAUAUCCAUAGAACCACCUUUCAUGGCCGCUUCCCUCGCCAACCCUUUCCAUUUCUCAACAUUUUUCUUCACUUCCAUCCUUUUCUCUUCAUCCCCCAUCACCAAAUCCAAGCACCUAACAAUGUCAUCACGUUAAUUUAUUGAAAGAAUAUUUUAUAAAUUAACUUAUUAUUAAACAUUAAAAAAUAUUUGAAAGAAUAUUCUUGAUAUAAUAUAUUUAUAAUAUUAAAAAUAUAAUUUAUGCUUUAAUUAUAAAGAAAUUUUUGAAAGAUGAAUUUAUUAUAAUGUGUAGAUAUGUAUAAUAUAAUUUUUUUCGGUGAAUAAUUAAAUAUCAUUAAAUCAUUUUGUAAGUUAAUCAUAAUUUUUAUAAAUGAUACAAAAAAUAAUUUAAAGCAUAUUAUUCUAUAAAAAUAUUAAAAUUACUAAAUCAUAUUAUAAUGAAAGAUGCAAAAUAGAUACAAGAAUAUAGUAUAAGAGGUUACAAUUCUUGUUGUAGAUAUAUAAUUUAGUAGUAAUAUUUUAAAAUAUGUUGUUAGUUCUUAUAUUUCAAUAAGUUCAUUCUUUAUACUUUAAAAGUUAUAAAUUUAAUCCCUUAUUUUUUUCAAUUUAAAAAUUUUAAUUAAAUUAUUGUCAUCUUUGAUAUUUUUUGUCAGAACUUGUCAACUUGUUUCUUUUGUGUUAGUCAUAUACCACGACGUAGAAGGGAAACCUAAUUAAUAUGUAAAGUUAACAAGUUUUGACAAAAAAAAUUAACGAUAGGACUAAGAUUUUUAAAUAAAAACAAGAAGACUUAAUUUUUAAUCUUUUAAGUAUAAGGACUAAAUCUCAAAUUUUAUCAAAGUAUAAGGACAAAUAGAUUAUUUCAACCUUAUUUUGUUUAAAAAGUUUUUUACAUUUAUUAGCUCAAAAUAUUUUGUUAGUGUUUGUACUUUGACAACAUUUAAAAUUUAAUCCUUGUACUUAAAAAGUUCAAAAUUAAGUCUUCUUACUUUUCUAGUUUAAAAAACUUAGUCCUACCAUUAGGAUUUUAAGUAUUUUCUAUUCAAAUCUGUAAACUUGGAUAUAUGUUGAGUAGACUGUCUUCAUAUAAUGUUGCAUAUGAUUGAUUGUAACACCCUAAACCCGGCCUAGACGUUAUGGCUGAAUCUAGUGAUGUCACAUGAAAUGGGAUUUGAAGACAAGAUUGUCGAGUUAAAACCAUUACAGUUUGUUAGCUUUUAUUUAAUUCGGAAAAAAAUAAGUACCAGUUGAUUUGCUUUAAAACUUAUCUCUUAGCGGAAGCUUUUGUAACCAAUUAAUUUAGGGAAAGUCAUUUCUAUUUAUGAAAACCUUAGUUUUUAGAAAAAAACCGUAUUUUGUUGAGUUGCAGUUUAAAAAAAAUCUAUAAAAACAAUAUAAAGUCCCAAAUUUAUAGCCAACCAAUCCAUAGUCCAAAAGUUACAUAAAAACUCCAAAUAAGUAAUAAAUUCUAGAUAUUAAUGGAAAACAAUCUAAAAUUACAUGUGGCCACUGUCGAGUCCUCCGCUACACCGACCUGUCAAGUCUGAGGAUUACCUGUGCACAUAAAACAAAAAGGGUGAGUUUACGUAAACUCAGUGUGUAAUCCCGCAGAUUCAAACAAACAAUUAGUAUUCACAGUGCACAGUUGAACAGUCUUGGGCCUAAGCCCUUUUCAGUACCAGUAACAGUUUGGGCCUUAGCUCAUCUCAAUACAGUGUCAAAAUUGCAGUAGGGCCUUAGCCCAUCACAGUAAUUUCACUUUAUUUAGAAAAAAGAUAUCUCCAAAUUAAUUUGAUCAAUGGUUCACUGCCUUGGAGGCCUGUGUCAAUGAAAGUAUAUUUUUUAAAUUAACUUAUUAUUAAACAUUAAAAAAAUAUCUGAAAGAAUAAUUUCUUAUUAAUUUUGUUUUAAGUCACCAAAAUGUAUAUUGAACAAAUCAAAUUUAGUGACAAAAUUAAAUAAAAUUUUUAGUUUACUUUCAAAGUUAAAAAUGAGUUAAAUGGUAAAUUACUUAUAUUUUCAAAGUGUAAUGAUAAACAUCAAAUAAAAUAUAGUGAUAAAUUUCAAUAAUUUCACAACUGAGUUAGUUUUCAGUUGAUACAUAACACUAAAAUUAAUUAAAGUUUUAAAAUAAUUAUAUAUACUGCUCCCCCAAGCAUUUAUUUAUUCACUAAUACUUGAAAAGGGUUAUUUGUUGGUCUACUUUGCAGGAUGUUGUUGGGCAUUUUCAGCAAUGGCAGCCAUUGAAGGGUUAAUCAAAAUCAAAACUGGUAAAUUAAUCCCAUUAUCUGAGCAACAACUGUUGGAUUGCAGUAGAAACGGAGGAAACCAAGGUUGCAAAGGAGGAUGGAUGAUGAAUGCUUUCGAUUACAUUAGCCAAAACCAAGGAAUAACCUCUGAAGAAAGCUACCCAUAAGAAACUUGCGACACACAGAUAAACGAAGUUGCCACCACCAGUGGCUAUCAAAUGGUGCCCAAAAACGACGAAGAAGCAUUGCUUAAACCCGUCGCGAAUCAACCGGUCUCGGUUGCACUUGAAGGCCAUGGACGAGACUUUCAGUUUUACAAUGGUGGAGUGUUUAAAGGAGAUUGUGGAAAUUCUCUCACCCAUGCAGUCACCAUUGUUGGAUAUGGGACAAGUGAAGAAGGCUUAAACUAUUGGCUGAUUAAGAAUUCAUGGGGAGAAACUUGGCGUGAAAAUGGGUAUAUGAGGAUUCAAAGGAAUGUGGAAACGCAAGGUGGCUUAUGUGGUAUCGCCAUGAAAGCUUCGUAUCCAAUUCCAUAAGUUCAUAUAGGGGCAGUUACUAUAAUUAGCUAGUCGUGUCAAAUGGUCUAAGAUAUAUGUUGAUGUUUGCGGUCUGUUUGGAACUAUGAGUCUUGCACUCUUGCCAACCUUUUAUCUAUAUAAUGAAUAAAUGAUUAUUUAUUUACAAUUAUUGUAUCACCUUCGAUCUUUUCUGCUAUGAAUAUAUCCACAAUUCUCAUCUUAUUUCAAUCCAAUAUCUGCCAACAUUUGGAGCUAAAAUCUCUAACAUGCAGAGAUUACAAUUAAAUUGUAAAAAUUAAUUUACAAUUAAAUUUUAUAUGAAAAUUACGCAUCUCACAUUCAUUCAAUUUAUUUGAAUAAAAUAGCAUCAUUGUCGAAACCCUUUUUUGAUAAAAAGAGUCGACUUUAAUUUUGAAAAUGAAAACGAACAUAGGAGUCGCCACCAAUCUUUUUUUGUGAGGUGUGAUCGGGUCAACUCGUAAACGGUUGUUUUUAAUAAAUGUUUGGAUUUAUUAAAACAACGCUUUUGGUCUAAGAAAUUCAGAAAACGGGUUCGGGAGUCGGUUACGUACGAGGAAGGAUUAACACCCUCGUAACGCUCAAAUUAGUACCGAAUUGAUUGAUUAACGUCCUAAUGUCGAAAAUUUGAAAAGAUUUUAACAUACGAUCUUCUUUAAAGAAAAACUUGAAUAAAUUAAAUUGGAUGCUGAGACCCACUUGUAAUUAAUAUAUUCUCAACUUUCUUUGAGGAUUCACUCAUCUAUUAUGUGAAAAAUUGACAUUUUUCAAAAUCACAUGCUGAGAAAGAAAAAAAAGAAACAAAAUAAUGUAAUUUGAAUCUCUUAAUUAAUUUAGUAAGUUUAAUUCAUUCAAUCUUAAUUGAAGCAAUAUGCUAAUUACUGCUAAUUAAAAAUGAAACAUAUACGUGCAUACAAAAAUUCAAAGAUGAGAAAUAUUUAGCUCUUGAUCAAAAACCAAUUGUAAUUGGGAGUAUUUAUAACUUAUUGGCUUGAUGCGUAGAACAUGUAAAUCAACAUAAUCUCAUGUUGAAAUAGGAAGUUUAGUUCUCAUAAGUCAUGGUUUAGACAUUAAUCAGAGGUGUUCAAUCAAUAAUUUCUCUAAACCAUUAUGCGCAAAAUUUUACAAAAGUUUUUUAGACUCAAUCAAUAAAAGAUUGAGAUAAAAACUUAUCAGUAUUAGCAAGAUGAAUUGUCAUAAUUGCAUGAUAGAAAUUAAUUAUUUAAACAAAUAAUCUUGCAAACGACAGGUUGCAACACAUGUGAAUAUUUUGUAGAUGCAUCUAUCAAAAUCAUAUAAUAUCAAACCAUCCACAUGGUGGAUGAAUGAGUCAAUAUUCAUUUAAAAAAUACAAGACAUUAAAAAUCAACUUUAGCUAGUAAGUUUCUAACAAUCAAUUUUCUUUGAGAACAAUCAACAUAUGAGAAUUCUUUUAAAUUAAAGAAUCUUCUGGUUCUUUAAUGAAUGUUCAUAUGAAUUCUUAAUUAAUUUUUGCAUCAUAUAUAAUCCAUGAUGGUCUAUCUGGUCACUCCAAGUAGUAAAUGUAUUUGUAUCAGUAAACGUCUGGUUUACUUGUGUUUCAAUUGUACUAAAUUGUAACAAAUUAAUAAUUUCAUUAUCAUUUAUUUUACUUUGUAUCGACAUAUAAGUGAUAUUAUGACAUUUACUACUAGAAAUGUCUAAAUCAAUGUGAAUAUUAUAAUGUCACUAAGUCAACAAAAUAAAUAUAAUUUCCAAAUAAUUAUAUGCAAUAUUCGUUUCAAGGAAUAUGCCAAAAUCUUCAAAUAUCUUUUUUUUUUGCAACUUUAGGUGCAUCCAACCAUAACGAGCUUUAGAUAGAAUUAUCAUAUUUUAUUGCUCAUAUAGAUCUUUCAUAGUCAAAUAUUUUGCUUUUAACCUCUUCAUCGGGAUGAUGACAAAAGAAGAUUACAAAGAUUAUAAAAUAAAUAUAAAUUAAUAACUCAAUUCUCUCUUUUUCGUCCUUUCAAAAUAGAUAUUUAUAGCAAUAGUAAUUCAUAUGAAAUAUAAUAUUUUCCUCAUUCACAAUCUCAAUAUAAGAUUCAUUAUAAAUAUCCUUUAAAAUCAAUGAAUUAACCAUCACAAGAUAUUAAUAUAUUAGCUCUUCUAGAGUUUUCAACUAAUUUUAUACUAUCAAAUAUUGGAAUAAUAUUUGUUUGUUUCAGUACCAAAUAAGAUAAAUAUUUUCUAUCUUUAAUGAUAGAAUUCAUUACUACAUUCUCAUAUCAUUCUUCAAAGAAUAUUAACAGAAACAAAAUAUAUAGGCAUAUGCCACAUAUGUGGUCAAUAAUCUUUGAUAUCACAUUAAUAACAUAAGUUAUCUUUACCCUUUGAAGAGUUAUCUUGAGAACUCUCAUUGUUCUCUUAUUUAUUACUAUGUUCUUGCUUUUAGUGGUUCAUGAUUUUUUUUUAUGUUUGCAUUCACUUCGGGGAAUGCAACAAAUCUAGUAGGACAGACUUCUAAAUGUCUCCAUUGAUUCUUUAUAUCAUAAUCACCAUCGCAAACAUGCAUGGACUUCAAAUCAAAAUCCAUCUAUUCAUGUUGUCAUGAUUAAUCUCCAAUUAUAAUAAACAUGAUAUAAUAAAUAAUUCAUAGUAAAAUAUACCUGAAGAUUUAAGUGGUUAAAGGCUCUAAUGAUUACCCAUAGUGCACAGGCCUUAAUUGAAUAUUGUAAUUGCAAUAGCUCUAGAAGGUAAUCAACAACAACUUGAGCAACAGAUUUGGAGUGACCGUAUUAUAAAAUAAAAAAGAAUCAUGCUGAUAACGUGUUAUAAAAUAAAGAGAGAUGGAGAGAAUAAAGAACAAAAAAAAUAUGAAAGCAAUAUAGGAAGUACUUUAUUGAUCAAAAGGAUGAUUACAAUGCUUCAUCAGAGUCUCUAUUUAUGGGCAUAAGAAGUAUAAAAGAAGUAGAGAUCUAAUUCUAAUAACUAUUAAAAUUUAAAGUACAUUAAAACCUUAUAUUGAUCAUGAUGGGCAUCCAAUUAAUAAGAUAUUCAUAACCUACUUAAAUAAUUUAACAUUUUAUAUUUAAUAAUAAAAACAUUAUUUAACAAUAAAUUUAAUUUUUUAAUUUUAAAAAUAAAUCUAAAAAUCAUAUUUAAAUUUAUUUUAUUAUAUUUAAAUAUUAAGAAAUAUUAUUAAAAACCUACCUAUAAAAGUUUAUUUUUUUAAAAUAAUAUCAACUGGAUUAAAAUUAAUUAAAAAUUAGUACCCAAGACCAAAACCUUGGGCUGCCCAAAGCACUCCGAAAAACACACAAAACAUAAAUAAAGCAAUAACUCUAACCCAGCUCAAGACUAGAUUGCCUCCCAAAGCUAGAAAGAAUAAGAACUUUCCAAACUAGUCCCAAAUUUUUUGACACUUGAAAACAACAAAAUUAAGGAAAAAAACAACCAUUGGUUUCACUUUUUAGCAUCAAACUGAGCUUUCUUGAUAUCUCUGCUUCCUCCCAUCCUCAACCUUGCUUCUUUAAUCCGAAGCCUUUACCCAUCAUCCAUAAACUUUAUCUCUUUCUUUUCUCUAGAGUUUUAUCUAGUUCUUUCUUCUUCUUUUUUCUUUGGUCAUCUCUUUCUCUCAAAUAUCUUCCUCUCCAAAGCUUAAUCACCACCUUCUCUUUCAAAAUUUUUGGUCAGUUUGUCCUAAAAGCCCACCAAAACCUAUAGAUCCAUACAUGCAAAUCUCUCUUAUAUUAAUCUCCCAUCAUCUAUCACAAUUUUUUUUGGGGGGUUGUUUUAUUUUGUUUUCUAAAUUUCAUUACUAGGUUUUAAGUUUUCUUUUUAUUUGGGAGAGUGUUUUUGGUAAUUCAAAUACCAAAAUAGAAGUGAAUAUAUAAUUGAAAAACAACUUUUUUCCUUGUUUGAUUGUAUUUAUGAUUUGGUGGCGAUAUUUGGGUUUUUUUUACUAUAAUCAAUCUAUGCUUAUGCAUGCUAAUCCCAUCCGUCUAGUAUGGGAUAAAUUGAAAUAUAUGAAGAAUAGCCAAAAAAAUAAAGAAGAAAACAAAGUAGAACGAGAGCGAGAGAGAGAGAGAGAGAAAGAGAGAAAUGAAUCUUUUCUGAUUUUUUAAUUGAUGACUCAAAAUGUGUAUGUCCCUUUCCCCCUGCUAUUAUAUGGGAAGAGGAACAUUGCCAUGUGGAACAAGAAAAAAAGAAAAAUGGUUACAGGGUGAAAUGACCAAAACGAUCCAUUUCAUUAAAGGCCCUUAUCUAAAUGUUGCGUUGCAUAAAUAAAUCAAAACAAAAAUAAUAGAAUUUAACAAACAACUUAACCCCAUUUUAGCCAAUUAAUCUAUCCCUUAACAAUACUCCCUACAUCAAGGGAUCCUUAUCCUUAAGGAUCAAAAUUUGGGUACUACUAUUGAAAGACUGACAGAAUCUCCUAAGAAGCAUCUUUAGGAAACAAGUUUGCCCAUUCAACUAAGACCUCAAUGGCAGCCCGAUGACCUAUUUUGGUAAUGCGGUGAUCUAAAUUCAAGAUGGUUCUUUUAGUAGCAUACCUUUAGGCCUGGUAGGAGGCAAUGUGGCAGAGGCAGGUUGUUGACCACUAUGGCACUUGAGUUGAGAAACGUGGAAGGUUGGAUGGAUUUUAGUGUCAGGAGGAAGUUGUAGGGUAUAGGUGACCUCAUCUACUUUGGUCGUAACUAAGAAUGUACCAAAAAUUUUUUGGAGAGAGUUUCUGAUUUCUAACCCUUCUCAAAGAAUGCUGUCAAUAUGGUUAUAGUUUCAAAUACACCCAAUCCCCUACUAAAAAGCUUCUGUCACUUCUUAUUCUAUCUGUAUAGUGUUUCAUAUUGUCUUGGGCAUGUUUGAGGUAAUACCUGAGCAAAUGUCGAGCAACCUCUCUUUAUUGUUUGCUACGAUCUACACUGUCGAUCUUAGAGGACCUAGCUAGAUAUGGAAGAUACUGAGGUGGAGGUUGCCCAUACAUGGCCUCAUAGGGGGUGGUUCGAAUGGUAGAAUGAUAGGUGAAGUUGUACCACCAUUCUACAAGAGGGAGCUAAUGGAACCAAUCUCUUGGUCUUUCACCUGUCAUGCAACGUAAGUAAAUCUCAAGGCAUCGGUUAAGCACGUUUGACUGUCCAUCAAUUUUUGAGUGGUAAGCUGUUUAGAUUUUGAUUUUUGUGUCAAACCUUUGAAACAUUUCUUGCCAAAAAAGAGCUAGUGAACAUCCUAUCCCUAUCAGAGAUUAUGGCAUCAGGCAACCCUUGUAACUUAUAAAUGUUGUCCAAGAAUGUUGUUGCCACAGAAGCAGCAGUAUACAAGUGAGCUAAUGCUAGAAAAUGACCAUAAUUGGUUAACCGAUCAAUGACCACCAAUAUCGUGUCUUUUUCUUUUGAGGAAGGUAGGUCCUCAAUGAAAUCCAUGGUGAUUUCAGACUAAGCCCUUGAGGGAAUAAGCAAGGGUUAGAGGAGACCAGGCUAGGCAGUAGUAUCGUAUGUGUAAUGUUAACACACCAUGCAUUCCUUGACCCAUCUUUUUAUAUCAACAUUCAUUAUAUUCUAGUAAAGCACCGUGGCCAUCCUAUGCCUAGUUGUGUGGGUACUUGAGUGACCACCAGCAACCUCUUCAUGAAAAUAGGUGAAUAGCUCUUUCCUCAGUGCCAAAUCCCACCACUAGAUUUUCCUUUCUUUUUUAAAAAAUUUACCAUCCCAAGUGUAUUUUGGGUGAGAUGAAGGUUGAUGUUGCAGUGUUUCACAAAGUUUCUUGAGCUUAUGGUUCUAUUUCCAUGAAUUAUGUACCCUAUUCAAUAAAUUCGAUACUAUAAAGGUACUUCCCAAUUGCCAACACAACCCUUCAGUAGGAUGUUGUCUAAAUAACCCAUCAACUAGCACGUUGGUGCUUCAUUUUCUAUAGGUUACCUGGAAGUCAUAUCCCAACAUCUUGGCAACCACUUUUAUUGGAAAGGGUAAUAACUUACUGGUCUGAAAGAAAUUUAGACUUUGAUGAUAUGUCCUUAUGUAAAAAUGAUGUUCCACCAAAUAUGCAUGUCAUUUUUUAACAACUAGCAAAGCUGCUAACAUAUCUUUUUCAUAUAUCAAAAGGGAUUGGUGCUUGAUGCCAAUGGAUUUGUUGAAAUAAGCAAUAGGGUGGCCCUUUUGCUGUAAGACUACUCUUACACCAGUAUUACUAACAUCGGUGUCUAUGUAAAACUCCACUUGAAAUUCGGGCAAAGCAAGAAUAGUUGCUAAGCUCAAGGUAAGUUUGAGUGACACAAAGGCUUGAUCAACUUGAGGUGACCAAUUCCAACUUCCCUUCUUCAAUAAUUUAAUCAGGGAUUUAACUAUAGAUCUAUAGUCUUUGAUAAACCUUCUGUAACACCUUAACAAUCCCAAGAACCCUCUCAAUUUUUGACUGAUUGAGGAACCUUCCAAGCUAUCACACUUUCUAUCCUUGAUUUAUCCAUAGCUAUCUUCCCAUUCGAAAUUGUGUGCCCUAGAUAAUCAAUAUGCUCAGGUUCAACAUGACACUUACUUUUCUUUGCAAAAAGUUGUUGAGCCCUCAAAAUAUCAAAUACCUUCCUUAGAUGGACUAAAUGAUCCUGCCACGUAAGAAAGUAGACAAGUAUAUCAUAAAAAAAACUAAAACAAAAUUCCUCAAGAAAGGUUUAAAUAUGGAAUUCAUAAGGGCCUGAAAUAUAGAUGGGGCAUUGUUGAGACCAAAGAGCAUUACUAGAAAUUCAUAGGGCCCUUCAUGUGUUUGAAAAGUAGUCUUAUGUAUGUCAAGUUCCUACAUCCUAAUCUGAUGGUAGCCUGAUCGAAGGUCCAACUUGAAGAACACACUGUCUUUCCCAAUUCAUCUAGCAGUUCUUCAAUGAGAGGUAUUGGAAAAAUCUUUAUUUGAUGGUUAACUGAUUCAAAUGUUUGUAGUCCACGCACAUUCUCUGUGUGACAUCUUUCUUUUUCACCAUUACUAUGGGAGAAACAAAAGAAUUGUUGCUAUCUCUGAUGAUGCCAACUUGCAACAUUUCAUGUACCAUCCUUUCCAUUUCAUUUUUUUGUAUGGAAGGGUACCUAUAAGGUCUCAACUUAACCACAAUGGACUCGUUCUUCAAGUGAAUUUUGUGAUCUUGAAGCCUUGGAGAUGGUAGGCUCUUAAGCUCUUGGAAUAUAUCCUGGAAUUCUUCCAAUAAUGGCUGUAGAAUGUCAGGAAUAGACGUUGUCAUGGCCCUUAAGAAGGGAUGCAUGAGAGCAGACACCAUAAUGGUAUAGGGUCCUAGGGUUCCACCUACCAUAUAAAAACACUUUAAACCUUGAGUGCCCUCUAUUAAGUGGAUAUUUCCCGAUUGAAUGCCAUGCAAAAAAUAGAUUUGGCCCUUGUACACAAACUUUGUAACUAAGGAACUGAACUCCCAAGUAAUAAUCCCAAGGGACAACAACCACUACACUCCUAAGACCAUAUCACAUUCUCUAAGAGGCAAGACAUAAAAAUCAAUGUAAAAUUCAGUAGAUUCCAUCUUGCAGUGAACUGCCUUACAGAUUCCCUUACUAUCAAGGUAGCUCCAUUAGCCAUUGUUACCUUCACCUUAUUGAUGGGGCUCACUGGUAAAGACAGCUAUUUCACCAACUUAGCACUUAUGAAGUUAUGAUUACUACCAGAGUCAAUUAAGAGGAUAACUCUCAUGCUCCACAUAUGGGUUGUUACCCUCAUAGUAUGAAUACCUUAAGACCCUUGUAUAGCGUAUAAGGACAAUACUAGAUCAGGGUUAGGUUCUUCCCCUAAGCUCAAAUCUUCUAACUGAUCACUACAUUCUUGAAACUCUUCAUUGUUUCCUUCUGUAGCAGGUUUUAACAACAACUAGUACAGCUUAGAUUUCAUACACCUAGGCCAACAAUAUAUUUUACUCCACACCAAUAGCAAAGUCCCUUAUUCUUUCAGUCCUCUAUUUCAACAAGAGAUAGAGAUCUAGGUACUCCACGAGGCUGCCUUGAAGUUGUAGUUGAUCCCCAAUGCACUGAUCCUACACCCACUUUAGGUGAAGAAAGUGCUACUUUAUAGACAUUAGAGUUCAAGGCUGGUGGUGGUGUAAUGUUCAGUGUAAAUGGUGUAGUGUUUCUAGCUUGAGGAUCCCAUCUUGUCAACAGUCCUCGUUCUGAAGAGCCACUAAAAAUGGCUUCCACCUGUCUACUGGUAAGAAAACCUUCCAUCAAAGUUGUAGGCUUUAAAAGUUGUAGAUAUUGUCCUACAUUCGCACGCAGGUUACUUAUUUAGCAAGCUAAUUAAUGAUAAAUAUGUUGAGUACAUAGGGUUCAGGUAAGUGUAGUUGAUUUAGCAAGCUAAUGAAAUAGUCGUGGUACUGGUCCACUGACCCUAUAUUCUUAAGAGUCAUUAGGUCCAUCAUAAGGUCUUGAAAAGUUUGUGAAUCAAACUUGUCCUUGAGGCUCUAAGCAUAAGACUCCAAUUCUAGCAUAUAAAACCCACCAUUCUUUUGAGCAUAAAAGUGAUGCCAAUCUAGGGCUCUCCCUUCCAAGAUUAAUAUAACCAACCUCACUUGAGCAUUCACAUGAGUCUCUUUAGCCAAGAAAUAAUCCUUCAAUUUAGCCCACUAGCCUCUAAAAUAGUUCUAUCGAAACGAGGGCACUCUAGUCUAGAAGGUUUGGAAUUGACUUCUAUGUUACUUGAGUGUUGAGAUCCACUAUAUCCCCUCUGUAGUGGCAAUAAAGGGUCUUUAGGUGAGAUCCUAGUGGGGGAUUGUUCAUCACUCAUUUUCCCUUAUCAAAGGUUGAAAAUUUUCCCAAAUACUGCUUGAAUACCCCAUACAAUUGACCUUGAAGUUCAGACCUUAGCUCAGCAUGAAACUCCUACUGCAAUCCCUUAAACAUGUCUCCAAUGUGAUUGUCCAACUAUGAAAACUCAUAAUGCAACUUGGUGAACUCUCGCUGUAGGUGAGUGACCUUUUUUUACAAAUGCAUAGAAAUCCCUUCCCCAGCUAUGAGAGCCACCAAGCUCUGAUACCUUUGGUACAAGAUAAAUUGAAAAAUAUGAACAACCAAAAAUAAAGAAAAUAAACAUAGUAGAAUGAGAGAGAAUGGAAAAGAGAGAAAGAGGAAUCUUUUCUGAUUUUUUAAUUGAUAACCCAAGAUGUGUGUAUCCCUUUCCCUCUUCUUCUGUUAUAUAAGAAGAGGAAGAUUGCCACGUGGAACAAGGAAAAAGAAAAACGAUUACAGGGUGAAACGAUCAAAAUGAUCCGUUUCAUUAAAGGUCUUUACCCUAAAUGUUGCAUUGCAUAAAGAAAACAAAACAAAAAUAACAGAAUUUAAUAAACAACUUAACCCCAUUUUAGCUAAUUAAUCCAUCCCUUAACACCAUCUCAAGAAAUUCUAAAGCAUUCUAGUUUUCUGGUUCGUGGACCUGGCAUGCACCGACAUUGCUUUGCAAUAUCACAUCUACUCUUAAAACAUGAUGAAUAAGCAUUUUACUUCAAGUUCCAAUACAUUACCAGUAGAAUAUGGUGCCACCACUAAGUUUAAACUUUUCACUUUCAGGAUGGUAAAUGUACCACAAACCCCCUAUACUAUGCCCUGGAUUGCAUUUUAGUCUCUCUACUAAAAAAUAGACAAAUUGGUCCUUAUAUGUUAGAUGAGUGAGCAAACUAAUCCUUUUGUUAAAAUUGUACCGUAAAAUGCUUGUUUUAGUGUUAUAUAUAAGGUAGAACGACAAAUUUAGUCCUCAAUCUUUACACAUUUAUUUAAUUUGACCCCUACUCUUUUAUUUGAAGUACUUAGAAAUGUUUUAAAACUAAUAAGGCUAAAGGCUCAAGACGGCUUAGUAACAAAAUUAAAAAAAAAAUCUAUUAAGCCUUUUUCAAAUUUUAAAAAUUAUUUAAAAAAAUCAUAUAAAUUAUAAACAAAAUUCAUAAAAAAAAAGUUAUAAGCAUUUUAAUUAUAAUUUUUUUAAGAAUUUUUUUGAAGAAAAAAAACAUCUAGAAUUAGAUUUCGUAAAACUUAUAACCAUUAGAUGAAAAGAAAAAGAUCAUUAAAAAAAAAUCGUAUCAACUUCAGUAAUUUCUCCAACAUUUGCAGGUAACUCUAUAAACCAAAAGAAAUUACCUGCAAAUUUCAUAACCUAAUUCGUUUUGGCGAUGUGUUUUAUGUGACAAUUAUUGAAGAUUGGGUCUUAGAACAUCAUUCAUUUUGGUUUAUUGAGUUACCUGAAAAUGUGGGAGAAAUUACUGAACCUCAUAAUACUUUGUUUUUGAAUCAACUUUCUUUUGUCUAACAGUUAUAAGAUUUUCGAAAUCUAAUCCCAAUUUUUUCCUUAAAAAAAUUCAAAUUUAAUGGAUCGGUUAUUUUCUAAUAAAAAUUUUAAAAUUUUGUUUAUAAUUUUUUUAUGAUUUUUAAUAUUUUUUAAGUUUUUAAAAGGGAUUAGUUGAUUUUUUUUUAAAAAAAAUUGUAAGACUUUUUUGAUUCUUUAACUUUAUUAGUUUCAAAAAAUUUUAAUUUAUUUUCAAUAAAAUAGUAAGGAUCAAAUUGAUAAAUGUGGAAAGGUUUAGAUCUAAAUUUGUUAUUAUAUAUUAUAUAUAACACUAAAAUAAACAUUUAAAAGUGCAAUUUCAAUAAAGGGAUUGUUUUGCUUACUCAUUUAAUAUAUAAGGUCUAAUUUACUUUUUUUUAAUAAAAAAAAUUAAAAUGUAAUCCAAGAUAUAGCACACAUUUUCAGUAAAUUUACCCUUUCAAGGUAUAUAGUGGUUAGCAUGUAGCCAAAUUAAGAUUUAUAAGUAUGUGCUAUGCAUACAAAUACGUGGGUGACAAUUUUCUACAAUUAAUGUGUUUAAUCAUCGCAUUUUAAAUAAAAAUUAUAAAUAAUGAGAUUUGAAUUCAUUAAUAAAACCUCAAUUUUACCACUAGAACCAAUUUUUCAUUUUAAUUCUUUUAGUACAUUUUAAUAUUAUCACACAAUUUUUAUCCCCACAUUGCAUCUUUCAUCUGAUUUCAUUUCAUCCAUAUUGCCUACGUGAAAUUAUUAAUAAUUUCAAAUCAUAUAUGUUUUUAUUUAUUGUAUAUUAUUUUUAGAGACAUACAUGUGUUUCAAAUACAUACUUUUUAUACAUACAUUUCUGAUAGAAUUUCUCGUAAUUAUUUUAAAUGCGUGCAAUAAUUAUGUUUUAAGAUCAAAUCCUGGUUUUCAUUGGUUUCUUGAAACUAAACAACAAAGAAAGAGAAAUUAAUUUUACUUUAGUGUUAAAAAUGCUAAAGUAAAACUGAAUAAUGGUCAUAUUAUUUUCAUCGUCUUCAUUCCUCUUGCAACCAUCUCAUUAUGAAGGAGAGCAGCCCUUGUUUUGUCGCCAUUUCUGAGGUAACCAGUGAUCAAAGCUUCAUAUAUCUCUUCACUCAACCCUAUAGAACAACCUUUCAUUAUUCUUAGAUACUUCUCAGCUUCCUCUCUUUUCCACAGUCACAAAGACCUCUAAUCAAUGUUGUAAAAACUGGUAAUCCAGGAGACAGUGACCUAUGCUCCAUUAUAUUUCAUAGUAUAAUUUGAGAACUUGUUGGAUCUUCCCCUGUUUUCCAUAACCAGACAUAAGAUGAAUGCAUGUGAAUUCAUUAGGUGAAAGUCCUUUAUCUAAAACAAGAGUUAAGAACUCAUUAGCUUUCUCUGAAUUCCCGAUUUCGCAAAGCCCUCUCACCAUUUCAUUGAAACUGGAACAACUUGGAACGAGUCCCCUACCGAUCAUUUCCUCAAAGUGUUUCACACCAGCAUCCAAUUCGCCCGCUUUAGCACAUGCCUCGAUCAAAUGGUUAAAAGUUUCAUCAUAUGGCUUCAAACCCAUAUUUUUCAUCUCUUGCAACAUGCUUUCUGCUUCUUGAAUUUUUCCUCUUUCACAAUAUGCUUUUAUGAAGGAUGAAAACAGAAAAGAGUUGGCACUAAAGUCUCUCUUAAGCAUUUCAUCAUACAACUCCCAUGCUGACUCCAAAUUCCCGAGCUUCAAUUUAGUAUAAACAAUGAAAGAGGAAGCAAUGGUAUCGAGAAUCAAGUUCUUUUGCAACAUUCUCUUCAAUAAUUCCACACCCUCUUCAAUUCUACCCUUUUCUAUAACCUUAAACACCAAAUUCGUAUUAACAAAAACUAUUGGAGAGCAUCUCUUACCAUGAAUCCUAUCCAACAAAUUCACCACAACUUGCAGCUUCCCUUCUUUACACAAAGCACCAAUCAUCGUCCUUACUGUAAUUUCAUUUGGGUAUUUCCUUUUGCGAAUCAUAUGCCCAUAAACCUCCAAACCGUUGCAUUUUCACCAGAUUUUUGCAUCCAUGAAGCAAGGCAUUGAAAUUUGACAAGUUCAAACAAAACCCAUGGUUCUCCAAGUAACAAGAAACCUCAAAACCAUCCUCAAACAUUCUCAACUUUGCAUAUGCCUGAACCAACAAAUCGAACACCAAAGGACUCGAAUCAACAACUUUGUAACUACCCAGUAAAGAUUCCACAAGACAAAAUCUAGUUGAAUUGGAUUCACUUGUUUUCAAAGCUGAUUGGAUCAAUAUCUUCGCUUCAGCUAAUUGUUGGGCAUGAACUACAAUAUGAAUUGCAAUGCAGUAAGAGUCAAUCUGGUGUUGGAAGUUUUGGGUCUUCGCAGACCAGUAAAAGAAAUUUAAAGCUGAUCGUGCAAGCUCGGGCAUCUUGAGUUGGAGCAGUACUUGUUGAACAAGGGAAUGGGUUAAUUGGACUGAAGAUGAGGUUCUAGUGAGAGUAUCCCAGUUAUGGGUUUUCUUGAAUAAAUCAGAGAUGACACUAACAUUUGAGUCAUUGUUAGAUUGCACGAGCAAUUGGGAGGGGAUAAUGAUGGUUUUGGUUACUGCAAAUGAAGAAGUGUUGGUGAUUGAUGAAGAAACUAAAACGGAAUGAAGUUUUCUACUCAACAGAGCCAUUGACAGAUGCAUCGGUCGAUGUUAGCAUACCUCAAACAUGGACACAAUUAUCAUAUCAUCUUCAACUUGCUCUGUCAAAUGAAAAAUUAAGAUACUGUUCUACUCCCAACAUGAUAUGCUUCGACUUUUGUAUCCGAUUCCUAUUCAUUCAGUACUUGCUAUAUCAUAUCACAGAACAAAUAAAAGUGAUUAAUCGCAGCAUCCAUAAAAAUGGUCAAAACAUAUAGAUAAACAAGGAAACAUUUAAUAACCCCUAAACCUCGAAAUAAAAAUGAUACUUCUGAAACAUCAAAUUAAUUGACAAAAGCAACAUUCAUACACCAUGAGACAGAGUACAAGCAGUAGCAGCGAAAUCAGAAAAUCAAAUACAGAAGAAAGCAGAUAAAACAAACAGAGCCAUAACUCGAAAUCUCGAGACUCAAGUAGAGAUCUUAAAAUCAAACUUAGGGUUUCAAAUUUUACCUUAUUUAAUUUCCUGGUCUGCUGCAAACCUGAAGGCAAGAGAGAGCUUGAGUGAAGAGAGAUAUUCAAGGAAAUUUUUGAAGAGGCAUCCUCCAAUUUUAUAAGACAAAUCAUUUUAGCCAUUUAUUUAAUUUUUCGUCUAUUUUAAUCAUUGAACUUGCGUUAUUUGUCAAAUCACUUCAAAAUAUAUGAAAAAUUAAUGUUUAUUAGCUUUGAUGACGUGAUGUACACAUAGCUUGCCAUAUAGAUAUUAUGUCACCAAUUAAUUAAUUUUUAAUUCUUAAAAAAAUUCAAAAAAAUAUAAAUAUUUUUGAAAAAUUAAAAAUCAUUAAAACCAUUAAAAAUUAUAAAAAUAAUUUUAAUUUUAAAAAAUUAAUUAAUUACUGAUAUCGUAUACAUUUGGACUACCACAUGGAUGCCACAUAAACAAAGUUAACAGACAUGUACUUUUUCAUCCAUUUUGUGGUAAUUUGACAAGUUCAUAGGCUAAAAGUGGUGAAACUAAAAGGGAAAGCUAAAAUAACUUUUAUUUUUUAAACUUAAAGAGUUAAAUAAGUCAUUAUACGUUUUGAAGAAACCUACAUAUAAUUUUAUUUAGAGAAAAGUACAUUAAACUAGUGGCACAUGCGAGAAUUGCGAUCGAGCGACGGGCAAUGGAGUAGGCAAUGGUGAAACAACAUAUUAUGUUUCAUCAUUCGUUCCAUCCCAAUAUGGAAUUAUAAUUUUGAAAAUCACUAUUAACUCUAUGGAUGUCGGAUUUAUUCAUCUUUAUCCCAUCUUGUUUCAUUUUAAUUUAAUUGUUGUUAGUUAUUUUUAAUAUUUUCAACUUUUUAAAAUGAAAUAAAUAUUUAAACAUAAUUCUUUAAAAAACUAUUUAAACAUAAAAUAUAUAGAAUUUUUAUAUUACGCUAUUACAUUUUUAUCCAUUUAAUAAUUUAUAUAUAAGGAUAAAAUAAUAUUGUUAUAUAGUAGAUCGGAGCAAGGCUUACAUAACCACUCCAUAUCUAUUAUCUAAAAAAAAAAAAAUUCACCCUAUCUUGCAUUCACUUUUCAAAAAAAUAAUUUGUUCCCUUCGGAGCGAAUAAAUUUAAAAUACAUCAAAUGAUUCGAGUUUUGCCAUCCCUAACACAACCACUAUUUAAAUAAAAAAUUAUCUAACAAAUUUAACAAAAAAAAUUGAUAUAGAAAUAGAGGUGCUCAUGAGCCGGGCCGGGCCAGGCCCAAAAAAUUUUGGCCCGCGUCCUAGACCCGGCCAGAAAUAUGGGCCUAAAAUUUUGUCCAGGCCCAACCCGGGAAAAUUUCCUAAGCCCGAGCCCGGCCCGACCUGGCCCAUUUUUUUAAUAAACACCAAAAAUUUAUUUUAAAAAUAAAAAAGUAUUUUAAAAAUAUUUUAAAAUAAAAAAAUAAAAAUAUUUAUUAUAUAUUCGGGCCGGGCCAAGCCCGGGCCAAAAAAGUGGUGCCCAGGGCCCGGCCUAUUUUCUAAAUGGGCCUCGUUUUUUCCCAAACCCAUAUUUCGGGCCUAUAUUUUUACCCAAACCCUCCCAUAUUUCGGGCGGGCCGUCGGGCCAGGCCGAGCCGCCCAGUCCAUGAGCACCUCUAUAUAGAAAACAAAUGUAACUUCGAUAAAAAAUGAUUAAAGCUAAACUAGUGAAUAUUAUGAUCUCUCUAUUUCAAAUUUUAUAAUUAAGUUGGGACUCGAUCAAUGAGUGAUUUCAACUCAACCAAACUCUUAAUCUAUAAUAUAUUGCACACCAAGCCAAUUCAGUUCUUUGGCCAAAUUUCAUUUUAGAACUAUCGUGAAUUAGAUUAAAUUAUUUAUCAUUAUGUUAUCAUCUAUUUUAAGUCAAUGCCGAGUUAACUUGUGACAACAACUCAAUUAAAUAUAUUAUUAAUAGAAACUCUAUCACAUGUAUGUGUAUGCAUAUGAAUGAGUUCAAAUCUCAUCAUAUUCAUAUUAUUAUUUUUUAAAAUUUAAAAAGGCUAAAAUACCCUCAAAAAAUAUAACUUGUUCUAAAUAUGAGAGAUUAUUCUUGUAAUUUUCUAAUGGAGUUAAUGCUUAAUUAACUUGUGCCAUCAACUCAAUUAAAAAUUGUAUUAAUAGUAUAGAUUAUUAUAAAUUGAGUAGUAGACAUUUUGAAUGGAACAAAAUUCCAAUAAUGGAUAUACAACCCCUUAGGGGUUUUUUCAAUGUAUAACAUAGAUUUUUAUUUUUAUUUUUAAUUUUUUUCCUUAGGUAAAUCAUGCAAUUGAAUCAAAAUUUACACCAAUUUUGAAUUAAAAAAGAAAACAAAAGAAAUAGAAAAAUGGAAAGCUAACCUUUUAUUAUGUUUGAAUAGUUAAAAUUUAGACUUGUCUAAGGGUUAAGUAGUCCGUUCGGUCUAGCCUAAUUUGGGUCAGGCUUGGACAAGAAUUUUUGUACUUCGAGUCGAUUCAACUCGACUCAGGUUUGAAUCUUGGAGCCGACAUUAUUGGAAAAAAGGCAGUUAUUAACCCCAAACAUGGAUCGUAAAAUAAACAUGACGUAUACCCAAAAAAUUAUUUUUUUAAUUUUUAAAUAGUGAAAUAGGCUUUUUAAGUGAGCCAAACCAAAAAUGGGUGUAACUUAAAUUUUUUUGAAACUGACCUAGCCUAGCCCGUAAGUAACUCUAAUUAAAAUUAAUGAAAAAUAGUGGAAAGGAAAUGAAAGGGUUAAUUAUAAAGGAUUUUUGAAAUUAUAAUAUUUCCACUAAAAUAAAUAUAAGACAAUAAAGAUAUUCUACACACUUAUACAACGUUUGGAUUGGUAUUUUAUUUAACUAAUUUUUUUUAUCAACCUCAAUCUAUAAAUAAGAGGAUAAUGUGUUUCAACGCACUCAAACCCACGUCUCUCUACAUUAGCAUUAAUACUCAUGCCAAUUGAACAAAUACUCAAUCAACUAUUUAAAUGACUUUUAAAAUACUUAAUUUUCAUUUACCUUAAUUUAGGGUAAAAGUUAGAGGCAGGAAAUGAAAAGGAUUUUUCAAGAUGUAAAAUAUUUUUUUAUCUUCUUCAUUUUCUAUAUAAAUUAGUUUAUAAAAAGACAUAAUUGUAAAAAAAUCAUCAUUAUAAAAGAAAUUUUCCUUUCAUUAAUUCCACCGGUUAACCAAAUAAAUAUUAAUAAAAUUAUUUUCCUUUAAUAAUUUUAACUAUCCAAAUAACCUUUCCUUUCCUAUUUUAUAAAAUAAUUUAAACUAUUUUAUAAAAUAGAAUUUAAAAAAAAAAAAAUCCACCCUCUGGACUCCAGUUUGAGCCGAGAAAGAAUGAACGAAAAAUAAAACCCUUGGACAUUACUUCAUAUAUAGAAGUAUGGUUAAUACAAAUUGGUUUAAAGCACAAAGAAAAAUCACAUACUCACAAAUUGGUUUAAAGCUUGAAACAAAGUCUAAACAUGGAAUCAAAUAAGUAGAUGAAGGAGAUAAGUGACCCAUAAGAAGUAAAAUUGACAAUGCAAUAAAUAGAUUUAUGAAUGGUGGGCACAUUCACGUUUACCUUACUAAUUGAAAGAGGAAGGCCAUUUGGUGGAGGAUCGGAUGAGGAAGGAGUUGGUGCAUGGCAUUUAUCGUUGGUCUUUUGAAAUAGACAUGAACAAUUGGGUGGUUUUGUGGGAGUUAGAGCAUCAACUGACUACCCAACAGAAGAGCUCUCGUUAUUUAAUUACCAACACGAGAAGAACCACCAGCACUGCUUGGACCAUCCUUUAAUUGCUAAGUAGACGAAUUUGGUGAUGUGAACUUGUAGAUUACCCACUCUUCUUCCCCCCUUAUUUGGAGUAGUGUGGAAUGAGAAAAUUUGUGUUAAAGAACAUAGGUAGUUUCACUUUUUUUUUUUUUUGUUAAUUUGGUUGUCCUCAUUAAAAAAAUUGAUUAGUUUGGUUACUCCAUCCUUAAAUUAAACGGGAUGCUUUCAAUUUUUAUUUCUUCCUUAUUUCUUUUGUCAUCUUCUCCUUUCUAACUUACAAACCCUAACCGCCACCUCCCUUAAAAAAUAUUGUUGCUUCCUCUAUCGAACUACCACUGGUAAGCGUUGUUUUCCCAAUGAAGGAUGCCGAGGGGCACUUUUUCUUUCUCCCUACUUUCCUUGUUUUCCUUCUUCUUUCUUGAUCGUUGCUUCUCACCGUUACUAUUGUGAUCGUUCGACAUCUUAUGUGGUGUUAGAUUGUCAAUCCAAAACCACCAAAGUGAAGCCCAAAUCCUAUCUUAAAAUCUAUAAGAUUAGAUUUCUCAAAAAAAAAUCCUCAAAAAUUGUGAGGCUUCACCAUCAAUAUGACCUGAUUUGAGAUGUCUUUCUACUUUUGAGCUCCUCAAUGGUGGUUCAAUGGAAGCAACAACAACAUCUUUAAGGGAGACGACAAUUUCGGUUUCUGAGUUAAAAGAGAAUAGAUGAAAAAAAGGAUACAAGAUAUAAGAAAAAAUAAAGGGGAAAAAGAAGAAAAAACAAUAAGGAAAUAAAUAAAGGUGGAAGAGAUAUAUUAACGAUGAUUAGAAAUUUUAGGAUGACAAAAAUAAGAAUAAUAAGUGGCUAAUGAGAUAAUUUAUAUUAUUCAUAAUUAUGGUUGAGGAUCAAAUAUUAACUUUGAUUAAUGUCAAAAUAAAAAUAUCUAAUGUUUUUCAAAAUUUCAAAAAUUCUUUUAAUUAUUUUUAGUGGUGUUUGACUUCAAAAUCUCAAAAAGAUUUUUGAUUGAUUUUCCGUUUAAUUUUCCUUGUGUUUUAAAUCAAAAUUUCACAGAUUUAUAUUCAUCCCUAAAUUUUUAUAGUAGAUGUUAGAAUUAAGUGACUCAAAUCCUUAUUUAAAUUAAAUACUGUGGUAAAAUAAAAUAAAAGUAGAAUCCCUAUAGAAUUAUACUUCUUUUAUUUUAUUUUAGAAUAAGGUUUUUUAAAUCUUAUUAAACUCCAUCUAUUUGAUAUUAUUAGAAUAAGGAGUUUCACACCUAUUAGAAUAAGGUUUACAAGCCUAUAAAUAGACAUAGUCUACUCCUCUUGUAACUAAUUCGAAUUCGACAUAGUGAAUUUUCUCCUCCUCUGCCCGUGGUUUUUUCCCGCAAGGGUUUCCACGUAAAAUAUGUGUGAUCUUUAUUUUUCUAUUUUUAUUUUCUUUGUUAUAUAUUGUCAUUACCAACAUUAUAUUUUUAACAAAUUCGUGCAUCUAUGCACGAACACUUAACAGUGUUCAAAGAAAUUCUCUCAAACUUGGAGGCCAUGGAGGUUCAGUAUGAUAAGGAAGAUCUAGGGUUGAUUCAACUUUGUUCGUUGCCCUCGUCUUAUUCAUCCUUUAGAGAUACGAUUUUAUAUAGCCGUGAGUCUCUCACAGUUGAUGAGGUUUAUGAUUCUUUAACCUCGUAUGAUAAGAUGAAGCAUCUUGUGGUUAAAACUGACUCUCAGGGAGAGGGCCUUAUUGUUCGUGGGAGAAAAGAUUGGAAUGCUGAUGAUGAUUGUUGGAGGACACAGGAACGAAAUCCUCGCAGUAAAUCUAAGGGUAGAUUAAAGUCUUCAAACAGAGGUAAAACUUGUAACUUUUGUAAGAAGAAAGGGCACAUUAAAACUGAGUGGUAUAAGCUACAGCACAAGAUCAAAAGGGAGGCUGCGAAUUAAAAUGGAAAAUAACUAGAAAAUUCUAGUAAAGCUGAUGUUGUAGAAGAUUACAGCGAUGGUGAACUUCUAGUCGCUUCUGUCGACAAUUCCAAAGUGAGCGAGGAGUGGAUUCUUAAUUUGGGUUGCACCUUCCACAUGAGUCCCAAUCGGGAUUGGUUUGUGACUUACGAAACAGUGUCUGAAGGUAUUGUGUUGAUGGGAAAUAAUGCAUCAUGUAGAAUUGUAGGUGUUGGAACAAUCAGAGUUAAGAUGUUUGAUGGAGUUAUUAGAACACUCAGUAACGUACGACAUGUUCUAGAAUUAAAAAGAAAUUUAAUUUAUUUGAGUUCUCUUGAUUCAAAAGGGUACAAAUACACAGCUGAAAGUGGGGUUUUGAAGAUUUCCAAAGGUUCCCUCAUUGUGAUGAAAGGGCAGAGAAAGACUGCUGAGUUAUAUGUUUUGCAGGGUUCUACUGUUACUAGUGAUGCAGCUGUCUCAUCCUCUUCCUUGUCAGAUGAUGAUAUUACUAAACUUUGGCAUAUGCGCCUAGGGCAUAUGAGUGAGAAUGACAUGGCAGAAUUGAGCAAAAGAGGACUUCUUAACGGGCAAGGAAUUUGCAAACUGAAGUUCUGUGAGCACUGCAUUUUUGGGAAGCAAAAGAGAGUUCGAUUCACCAAAGGAAUCCAUAACACGAAGGGAACAUUAGAGUAUAUUCAUUCUGAUCUGUGGGGGCCAUCCAGAGUGCCUUCGAGAGGUGGAGCUAAUUAUAUGUUAACUUUUAUUGAUGAUUUUUCCAGAAAUGUGAUGUGUUUUCCUCAUUUAAGUCUUGGAAAACCAUGAUUGAAAAACAAACGGGAAAGCAAAUAAAAUACCUCCGCACAAACAAUGGCUUAGAGUUAUGUUCUGAUAAAUUUAAUAAACUGUGCAAGUCAGAAGGGAUAGUGAGACACUUGACAGUUCGCCAUACUCCACAGCAAAAUGGCGUUGCAGAACGAAUGAACAGAACGAUCAUGGAGAAGGUUUGAUGUAUGUUGUCAAAUGCUAACUUAUCAAAGUCAUUUUGGGCAGAAGCAGCCUCUACUGCAUGUUUUUUGAUCAACCGAUCUCCAUCCGUUGCCAUUGAGAAAAAGACUCCACAAGAGGUAUGGUGUGGUAAUCCUGCUGACUAUUCUGAUUUAAAGAUCUUUGGUUGUCCUGCGUAUGCUCAUUUUGAUAAUGGAAAAUUGGAACCGAGAUCUAUUAAAUGUGUUGUUCUUGGUUAUAAAGCUGGUGUAAAAGGGUAUAAGUUAUGGUGUCCUGAAAAUAGAAAAGUUGUGAUUAGCAGAGAUGUUGUUUUUGAUGAAACUGCUAUGCUACCUAACUUAUCUCUUAAAGACUCUUCCAAUAAAGAAAAUCAAAAGCAAGUAGAGCAUCAGAUUAAUCUAGAAUCUACAACAGAGUCGAUUACUAAAGCCAGUACGAAAAUUCAAAAUAGAGUUGCUUCUUCACCACAAUACUCUAUCGCCAAAAACAAAACUAGAAGAGAAAUUAAACCUCUAAAGAAGUAUGCCGAGGCUGAUCUAGUUGCUUAUGCUUUAAAUGUGGCUGAAGAUAUAGAUGCAAACCAAGAGCCAUCUAAUUAUUCUGAGGCAGUUAGUUGUGAAGAUUCAGAAAAGUGGAUGUUUGCUAUGCAAGAGGAGAUGAAAUCACUCCACAAAAAUAAAACAUGGGAUCUUGUGAUACUUCCCAAAGGUAAAAAGGUUAUUCGUUGUAAAUGGGUGUUUAAAAAGAAAGAGGGGACUCCAAGAGUUGAAGAACCCAGAUAUAAAGCAAGGCUUGUUACAAAGGGUUACAGUCAAAUUCCAGGAGUGGACUUCACAGAUGUGUUCUCUCCAGUUGUGAAGCAUAGUUCGAUUCGAGCUUUGCUUGGUAUUGUGGCCAUGCAUGAUUUGGAGCUUGAGCAGUUAGAUGUAAAAACUGCAUUUUUGCAUGGAGAACUUGAGGAGGAUAUUUACAUGCAACAACCAGAGGGUAUUACAGUCUCAGAAAAAGAGGACUAUGUUUGCUUGUUGAAAAAGUCCCUUUACGGUUUGAAACAGUCACCAAGACAGUGGUAUAAGAGGUUUGAUUCCUUUAUGACUUCUCAUGAUUUUAAAAGAAGUAACUUUGACAGUUGUGUUUACUUUAAGAAAAACAAUGAUGGUUCUUUUGUGUAUCUACUCCUUUAUGUUGAUGACAUGUUGAUAGCAGCGAAAGAUAAAGGAGAGAUAAGAAAGGUCAAAGCUCAACUAAGUGAAGAAUUUGAGAUGAAAGACUUGGGACCAGCAAAGAAGAUACUUGGUAUGGAGAUUCUCAGGGAUAGAAAAGCAAGUAAAUUGUACCUAAGUCAGAAAGGGUACAUUGAGAAAGUUCUUUCCAGAUUCAAUAUGCAAAAUGCUAAGCCUGUUAGUACUCCUUUAGCAGCCCAUUUCAGACUUUCAUCGGCUUUGUCUCCACAAUUAGAUGAUGAGAUUGAGUACACGUCACAUGUUCCAUACUCUAGUGCAAUAGUAUCUCUCAUGUAUGCCAUGGUUUGUUCACGUCCAGAUUUAUCAAAUGCAGUUAGUGCAGUUAGCAGAUACAUGGCGAAUCCCGAUAAAGAACAUUGGAAAGUAGUUCAGUGGGUUUUAAGAUACUUACGAGGUACUACCGAUGUUUGCUUACAGUUUGGAAGAACUAGAGAUGGAGUCAUUGGGUAUGUUGAUGCUGAUUUUGCUGGAGACCUCGAUAGAAGAAGAUCUCUCACAGGGUAUGUCUUUACAAUCAGAGGUUGUGCAAUCAGUUGGAAAGCCACUUUGCAAACUACAGUCUCUUUGUCUACCACUGAAGCUGAGUACAUGGCGAUUACUGGGGCUUGUAAAGAAGCUAUUUGGUUGAAGGGGCUCUUUAGUGAACUCAAUGAAGACCUUCAAAUCAAUACAAUAUUUUGUGACAAUCAGAGUGCCAUAUUCCUUACAAAAGAUCAAAUGUUUCAUGAGAGAACAAAACACAUUGAUGUUCGAUAUCAUUUUGUUUGUGAUAUUAUUGCUCGUGGUGAUAUUGUUGUGAGCAAAAUUAGUACUCAUGAAAAUCCUGCAGAUAUGAUGACUAAGUCACUUCCUAUAACCAAGUUUGAGCACUGCUUAAACUUGGUUGAUUUCAUUGUUGAAAAUAAACCCUUAAGGGGUUUUAUGGAAGAGGUGGUGAAACUUGUUCGCUGAGAGUUCGCGAUGAAGAACUUGUUCAUUAAGAAUUCGUGUCAAGGUGGAGAUUGUUAGAAUUAAGUGACCCAAAUCCUUAUUUAAAUUAAAUACUGUGGUAAAAUAAAAUAAAAGUAAAAUCCCUAUAGAAUUAUACUUCUUUUAUUUUAUUUUAGAAUAAGGUUUUUAAACCUUAUUAAACUCCAUCUAUUUGAUAUUAUUAGAAUAAGGAGUUUCACUCCUAUUAGAAUAAGGUUUACAAGCCUAUAAAUAGGCAUAGUCUACUCCUCUUGUAAUUAAUUCGAAUUCGACAUAGUGAAUUUUCUCCUCCUCUGCCCGUUGUUUUUUCCCGAAAGGGUUUCCAUGUAAAAUCUGUGUGUUCUUUAUUAUUCUAUUUCUAUUUUCUUUGUUAUAUAUUGUCAUUACCGACAUUAUAUUUUUAAGAGUAGAUAAAUAUUAUAAUGACAAAUUAAAAAUAAAUGGAAUCAUAAAAACUAUUUUCAUUAACUAAAAAAGACUGUUAUUAUGGUUUCAUAUACAAUAUAUAAAAGUUAAUUUACAUUUAUAUAAAAGUUAAUUUUACAAAAAAAAUUAAAUAGAUUAAAUAAUCUAUUACCGUUGCGUUCAAAGCUAAUUUCUUCUCCCUGCCUCAUCACUAUUUUGUUUUGUGGAGUUAUGCCUCGAAUUUUCAAACUAAAUAGUGUAUGACGUGGCAAUGAGGAAGUGUUCUUCGUCCCGACAAACAGCCAAUGUCACAACAAGAAAAGAGUCUUCAUCCCAACAAGGAGAAUGCCACGUCACGAUGUGGCGACGUGCACCUCAAGUUUUUCGACUUUCUUCUCCCUGUUAAACUUUGUUUUAGUUUCCCACUUAAACUUUAAUUAACCUAGGGCUGUUAUAGUCAUAUAUGCUACAAAUUUCAACCUAUAAAUAAGUCUUAGUUGCUAUAGGUUUUAUACAACACAAAUAUUUAGAUUGAGAGAAUUAUGUUCUUUGUUUUGAAGGGUUUUUCUUUUGGGGCUUCAAGGUUUCCUUUUAUUCUCUCCAUCUUUUGUACUCUUCUUUAUUAUAGUGAAAUCUCCUUUUAUCCAUGGUUUUUAUCCUCAUUUGAGGAGUUUUUCCAUGUAAAAUUGCAUGUUCGAUCUUUUUGAUUAUACUUUCUUUACUUGUUCGUUGCAUUACACGGGUUAUUUCCCUACAAACUAGUUUUAGAGUUGGUUCGAUUUUCGCAUUCAACUCGUUUAAAGAUGGCAACAUCAAUGUUUAAUAUCGAUAAGUUUGACAACAUCGUAAAUUUUAGUUUGUGGCAAGUUCUAACGUCAUCAAUAUUGAUUCAAAGUGAUCUUGAGAGGAUCCUUACAGAGAGGAAAACCGUUGACAUGGAACAAUUAAAAUGAGAUAUGUUAGAUAAAAAAGCUCUAUCCACAAUUCCAUUAUGUUUAACAAAUAAUGUGAUAUAAGAGUUUUUGAAGGAGAAAAUAACUUUUUGUUUAUGGAAGAAACUAGAAGCCUUAUACAUGAAAGGUGAGUCUCUACAAGUUCAAAAUGCCCGAAAGGUGAGUCUAUUAGAGCUUAUAUUAGUGAGUUUGUUACCUUUCUUAAUGACCUUAAGGAUAUCUAAGCAGAAAUUAAUGACGAGGAUCAGGAUAUGUUAUUACGAUGUUUUUUACCAUCUUCCUAUUAAACUUUCAAGGAAGCUAUGAUUUAUGCUAAAGAUCAUCUCUCAUUUGAGGACGUGAAUGGGAAUCUAUUGAGCAAAGAUAAGCUCGAUAACAACUUAGGCCCAAACAAAAGGUCAGAUGGGUAAGCCUCAGUUCUAGUUGUAAGGGGUAGACAACAAUCCAAAAAGACAAAUUGAAACAAGUCUAAGGCGAUAUCUAACUUUAGAAACCGUGACAAAGAAUGUGGCUAUUGCGAGAAGAAGGGCCACAUCAAGUUGUAAUGCUACAAACUGCACAAUAAAAUUAAAAAGAUGUUAAAAACGACAAGAGAGAUAAACAGAAAGUUAAAAUUGUUGAUACUAGUGUAGCCAAAGAUAGAGGUGAUGGUUUCUUGUUAAUGUUAAUGAGUGAAAUCUCUAAGCUUACUUUCGAAUGGAUCCUAGAUUCAAGGUUCUCCUAUCACAUGUGUCCCAACAGAGGUUGGUUAUUUAUGUACAGUUCAGUUGAAGGUAGAGUUGUGCUAAUGGGGAAUAAUUCUCCAUGUAAGACAACUGGCAUAGGAACUGUACAAAUUAGGAUGCACAACAAAAUAAUUUGGACACUGUCAAACAUCAAGUGUGUGCCCAACUUAAAGAAAAAUCUCAUCUCAUUGGGAAUUUUGUAUUCUAAUGGUUACAAGAUAGUCAUUGAGUCAAAUGGCUUAAAAGUUUCUCGUGGAGCUCUAGUUGUAAUGAGAGGACAGAAAAAGGGCAGCCUUUAUGUUCUAUAAGGGUCAACAGUUACUAGUGUGACUGCAAGGUCACGAUGACACGAUGUGAUUCUUUCUUUAUGGAUUCCAAUUCAACCAAACUCUAGCACAUGCGACUGGGUCAUAUAAGCAAGAAAAGUAUGACAACAUUGUGCAAAAAAUGUUUUUUAGAAGACAUUGGAAUUGGUAAUUUAGGUUUUUGUGAACACUAAACUUACGGAAAGCAAACGUAAGUUUGAAUUCAGCAGUUCACAAAACAAAAGAGACUAUUGACUAUGUCCAUUCCAAUUUAUGGGGUUCGAAUCCUGACAUCUCAAAAGGAGGUAAUAAAUAUUUCUCACCUUUUAUUGAUGACCAUUUCAGAAAUUUUGAGUUUAUUUCUGAAAUAGGAAAAUGAAGUUUUCGAAAUCUUCAAGCAUUGGAAAAUGCUAUUAACAAAAUAGAUUGGGAAGUUCGUAAAGCGGUUGAGAAAAAAUAAUGGACUUGAGUUAUGUUCAUCCAAGUUUAAUGACUACUACAAACAGGAAGGGAUAGAGAGGCAUCGCACCGUUAUAGGUACUCCACAACAGAAUGGAGUUGCAGAAAGAAUAGACAGAACCUUGUUGGAAAAAGCCUGAUGCAUGCUUUCAAAUGCUGGUUUAGGGAAGGAGUUUUGGGUUGAAGCCGUAAAUUUGGCAAGCUAUUUGGUAAAUUGAUCUCCACCUCGAGCAUUGAAUGGUAAAGUUCCAAAGGAGAUAAGGCCAGGUAAUCAUCCGAAUUAUUCUAAUAUUAGAAUUUUUGGUUGUCCUGCUUAUGCUAAAGUUAGCUAGGGAAAGCUCAAUCCUAGAGCUGUAAAGUGCAUUUAUCUAGUGCAUUUAUCCAGGUUACUCUGCCGAUACGAAAGGUUUCAAACUAUGGUGUCCAAAAACCAACAAAACUAUUGUUAAUAGAGAUGUUAAGUUCAAUGAAUCGACUAUGAUUCAUUUGGAAAAGGUGUCAUUUACCUUUAAAGAAACAAUAAAUCAGAGUGUCUCUAGCAAGGUGGAGUCAAAAGCCAAAAAAAGGGCCGAUGUUGCGACGAUACAAAAAGCCUCGUUGUAACUUCAUGAUCAACAGGAUUAUCGUCCUAACAAGACAGUAAGCGACGUAACAAUGAUGCGAUGAAAUUCCUAUUCUCGAAAAAUUUAAUUUGUUUUGGAUCAAUUUGGGACUUCAUCCGACCCUCAGGUACAUUCACCAUCUCAGCUAACUAAUUAUAAGUUGGUUAAUAAUAAGAAAAAAAUGAGAAAUCUGACCACCACAGAGUAGUGUGAAGGAAACCUAGUGGCAUAUGCUCUAAGUGUGGCAAAGAGCAUUGAUUUGACCGACCCUUCAUACUAUUCUAAGGCAGUUGAAGCCUCUGAUUCUAGCAAAUAGCUCGUUGCUAUGGAAGAAGAGAUGGAAUCACUUUUAAAGAACGAGACUUGGCGGCUAGUAAAAUCACCCAUUGGUAAGAAAAUAGUUGGUUACAAAUGGGUGUUUAAGAAGAAAGAAGGUUCGAGUCCAAACGAACCUAGGUACAAAUCAAGAUUGGUUGCAAAGGGUUACAAGCAAGUGGAAGGAGUUGAUUUUCAUGAUGUUUUCUCUCCCGUUGUGAAACAUACGUCCAUUAAAAUCUUUUUUACUCUUGUUACAUCAAACAAUCUUAAGUUAGAACAGUUAGAUGUAAAGAUUACUUUCCUUUAUAAUGGCCAUGAGAAGGACAUAUACAUGCAGCAAUUGGAAGCCUUCAGAACUGAAGGCAAGGAAUAUUAUGUUUGCCUUAUUAGAAAAUCAUUAUAUGGUUUGAAGCAGUCUCCUCAGUAGUGGUACAAAAGUUCGAUUCCUUCAUGUUAAAUAUUGGUUUUUCGGGAAGUAAGUAUGAUAGUUGUGCAUAUUUACAAUGCCUUGAUGAUGGUUCAUUCAUAUAUUUGUUGAUUUAUGUUGAUGAUAUGUUGAUAGCAGCUAAGGAUCCAUCCGAAAUUGUAAAACUUAAAUUUAUGCUUAACUCUAAGUUUAAGAUAAAUGAUUUAGGUGCAACGAAGAAAAUUUUGGGGAUGGAAAUUUCAAGGGAUAGACGUAUUGGGAAAUUAUUUUUAUCGCAACAAAUGUACAUCAAGAAAAUCCUUAAGCAAUUUGAGAUGUAAGACUCAAAUCUGGUAGGUACUCCUUUAGCCGCACACUUUAAAUUGUCAGUUUCAGAUUCUUCCCAAAACGAAGAAGAAGAGAGGUACAUGUCAAAAGUACCUUAUUCAAGAGCAAUUGGAAGUUUGAUGUAUGCAAUGGUAUGUACUUGUCUCGAUAUUUCACAUGCAAUUAGUGUUGUUAGUAGAUACAUGACAAAACCAUGUAAGUUACAUUGGCAUGUAGUUGAGUGGAUUUUUAGAUAUUUACGAGGCACUUCUAGCAUGUGCUUAGGGUUUGGAAGAAGCCCAAAGGGCUUAGUCGAAUAUGUUGAUUCAGAUUAUGUAGGACACUUAGAUCGAAGGUCUUUCAUAGAUUAUCUAUUUGCUUUUGCAUAUUGUGCCAUCAGUUGGAAAGCUACAAUUCAAGUUACAGUAGCCUUAUCUGCUAUUGAAGUAGAAUAAAUGACAAUUACUGAAAUAGUAAAAGAAAUGAUUUGGUUAAAAUGUUUGUUUAGUGAAUUGGUAAGUGAAAAAAGGGCAACUAUCGUAUAUUGUGAUAGUCAAAGUGCCAUUACAUCUCACCAAAGAUCAAAUGCAUCAUGAGAGAAUGAAGCACAUAGACAUUCGUUACCACUUUUUUCGAGAGGUGAUCAUUCAAGGGGAUCUUAGAAUUGGUACAUAAUGCAAUCCAAUUGACAUGUUGACAAAGAGUCUUCCAGUUUCAAAGUUCAACCAUUGAUUGGACUUAGUAAAUAUCCUACGACGAUCAAAUUAGGCCCAUAAUAGGGCUUGGCAAGGAAGUUAAGUCAAAUACGAGUUAAGGUGGAGAUUUGUAGAGUUAUGCCUUGCAUUUUCGGACUAAACAGUGUGUGACAUCUCGAUGAGGAAGUGUUCUUUGUCCCGACAAACAGCCGAUGUCAUGACGAGAAAAGAGUGUUUGUCUUGAUGAUGUGAAUGCCACAUCACCAAAAUGAAUCCCCUACCCAAGUCACCUUACUCCACCGAUCAAGCCCCUACCCAACACCUAACUUAGCUUGAGUCAACAUUGUUCACACACCACUAGUGCUCCUCCAACACCGUUCAUGCACUAGUAGUGUUGUUCGAGCACCACCAGGCCUAAACUUGCUAUUUAAGGUUCUUUGUUUCUUUUUUUUUUCUUCUUUGCAUUGGUUUUUUUUUUUUUUUGCAAUUUGAUUUUUUUUAAAAGUUUUAAGUCUUAUUUGGUUUGAUACUAAAAUUGAAUGAUGAAAACAAAGUGAAGAAGUAUUGGUUUUUGAAAAGAAAACCACACACUGCUUAGGAAUUUUGAAAAGAAGAAUAAAAAAAGGUUUUUUAUAAUGAUUUUGAACAAGUUAUUGUUGAUUUGAAGUAUUGGUUUGGUGUUAGAGAAAAUGAAAAUUUAUCUUUCAUUUUGAUUAGUUUUGAAAAAAAAUAGAGAAAAUGAAGAAAAGUGGGACAAAUAAAUUGAAAAGGAUGACUAAAGUUAAAAUGGAAAAGUAAUAAUUUUAUACUUUUUGUCCUUACUUUUAUUAAGUUUGUAUUUUUUUUCAUUCAACAUCAAAAUUUCAAUCUUCUUUGACUGUUAAAAAAUAAGAAAACUACUUUGGGGGCUUUUUUUCCUUACAGCAUGUCAAGAUUGUGCCACAUGGCAAAAUCUAGUGUUUUAUACUUAAGAUAAUUAAAAAAAUAAAAAUCAUAAAAAUUAUUAGAAAAAUAUAGAAAAUAAUAAAAUUAUAAAAAUAUAUAUUAAAAAUGAAAAAAAAUAAAAGUGCAAAAAUUAUAAAUGAAAAAUUUAUAUAAAUCAUAAAAAUUUGAAAAAAAAGCAUUAAAAUUUUAAAAAUAAAAAAUCUUAUGAAUAUUUAAAAAAUGUUUAAAAUUUAUAAAAAUAUUAAAUAUAUAGAAAAUAUUAAAAUUAUUAUAAAAAUAUAGAAAACUGCAAUAAUUUAUAAAUAAUUUAUAAAUCAUAUAAAUUAUAAAAAAUAUGUGAAUUACAAAAAAAUAAAAAAAAUUAUGAAAAAUUAUUUUAAAAUAUAGAAUAUUAUUAGAAUAUUAAAAAUUAAUAAAACUUACAAGAGAUUAAAAAUAUAUUAUAUAAAUUAUAAAAAAGUAUAAUAAAUGACUCAAAAAUUAUAUACAUUAUAAAAAUUACAAAAAUAUUAAAAAUAAAAAAUAUAUAAAUUAUGAAAAGAAUUUAAUAUAGAAAAUUAUAAAAAUAUUAAAUUAAAAAAACUACAAAUUGUACAAAAUAUUUAGAAAAUAACAGAAAAUUAAAAAUUAUAUAAAAUUACAAAAAAAUUAUAAAUAUAAUAAAAAAUAUCUAUAAUUUUAUAUGCAUUCUCCAUUGUCACUUGCGUUGUUAACUCAUUUUUUUACCUUAGUUUGCAUUUCAAAGCACUCCCUUGUAUCAACUAUGGACAAAAUGGGAGCAAGCUUUGGGUAGGUACACAAUAGGCGAGCACAGUAAAUAAUUUCAGGGAUUAAAUGUUGGUUAGCGUGGAAAUGAAAAUAAUAAUUUUUAAUAUAUUUUAUUUUGAUUUAUAAUUUUUAUACUUUUUUAUAAUAUUUUGUAAAUUUUAUUAAUAUUUUAAUAUUCUUAAUACUUUUCUUUAUUCGUAAAUAUUUUUCAUAAUUUUUACAAUUUUUAUUUUUUCGUAGUUCAUAUUAUUUGGUAUAUUUUAUAUAUAUUUUUAUAUUUUUUGCACUUUUAUAUUUUUUAAUAAUUUCCUAUAUUUUAAAAAAUAUAUAUAUUUUUAAAAUUUUAGUUACUUAUAAUUACUUUUACUUGUGCACUAUCAGAAUUAUUGAAUUUUUUGGGUUAUAUUUAUGUUUUGCAAGUUAGAACACAAGUUAUGAUAUUGAUGAAGCAAAUAAGUACGCAAAAUCAACUUGAAUACAAAUCCAAAAAAUAUGAUAAGAGUUUAGGGUUAUACAUAUUUGCAUUUAGGAACUAGUCAAUAUAAAAGUGUAUCACUACACAGGUGUACUCCAUUUUCAAAGUACAAUUAGAGUUCUUAGAACUACAUGAUUAUACAUUGUAAUUAAGGAGGCAAUAUUGGCAUCUUAAUGGAGGACUUGAAGAUGAAAAUGGUGAAUACAUUACGCACAAAACACUUCGACAUGAAUUAAGGGACUUAUUUACAAACAAACAUAUAUACGUUGUGCAUAGCAUCCAUUUGCAAUAUGACGAUACAUUGUUGUUAAGGGUACGAAGCUGACGGAUAAAGGGGUACUAACACUCGAAAUGGCUUGAAGACGAAACUAUUUCCUUUUUUUUUCCCACCCCUUAAAAUUUGCUUUCUUGGUGAACCAAACAAUGAAUUUGGCCUUAGAAAAUAACUCAAAACAAUAAACCGUUUUGGGUAUUGGCACCAGUUCGUAUCCUAUGGUUGUCAACUUACUAGAACCCCAAUGAUAAAUUUGGGUAUUGGCACCUCUGUGCUUAACAUCCCGAAUCAUGAUUCCAAGCCAACCUUGUAACACAAGUUUAUUGUGCCAGACUUACAUUUAGUGUACCAGUUUUAGGGUGAUUCCAACCCUUAAAAGUAACACACUUAUGUUUAGUUUGCUAGGUUUAGGUGAUAGGAAAUUAGGUAAUGGGAUUUAGGACCAUCAGCUCACAACCAAAAUUGCAAUAGAUGGGAAUAAAAAAAAAUAUAAACCAUCACGAUUAUGUGCACUUAUUUGACAUGGUCAAGUUAGCCGAUUUCAUCCUUCUUACAAAGAUAGCUAUUUAAAAGUUUAUAUCUUUUUAUUAGUUACAAAGGUAGCUCAAUGCUCUUGUCGGAGUUGUACAAAAUUAGACUUUUUUUAUAGCAAGUAUUGCAAUGCAUUUAUAGAUGUAUAGUUGACCGACAAACUAACCCCCAAAAAAACUAUCAAGAUUAAUUGUUAAUUUGAGGCUUGUGUGAAAAUAAAAGAAAUCAUGUAGCACCCCUCACCCGUCUUGACGUAGGAUACAAAUGGAAGGUGUUACCGGAGCAUUUUCAAACUAAAAUUAAAAUUUUAUUUUAAAUAGAACAUCAUUUGGUGACCAUAUAAAAUUUCUUUAAAAGAAUUCUCAACUUAAGAAGAAUAAAAUAUCAUUUGAAAUCAUUUUGGGUCACUGAACACAUGUUAGGACCCAUUUAAAAUGUAAACUAAAUGUUUGGUGUUUAUUGACUUAAAUUAGGGUCUUCAGGGUAGAGGCAUGUAAGAUUUUUUCUGUAAAUCUAAAACUUCAAACAAUUUAAAUAAAAUCAUAGAAACAAUGUGAAACAUUUUGAAGGCUUUAAAAUUAAUUUAAAACCAUUUAGGAACGUUUUUUUGGGUGUUCGGAGGUGUCCGACUCAUUUUUCACAAAACAGUGCAGUAGCAAUGUUAGGACCCUAGGUAUCAGUAACUAAGGCCUUGGGGUUCGAACCUAGGUCCCUGUACUAUCCCAAGGAGCAUUUUGUUGAUCCGAGUGCGAUACCCUUGACAAGGGUAUUGGAUCUUCAGCUCCUCAAACUGAAAAUUAGGCUGAAAACACUCCAAAAACAUAUCUAAACAUCACCAUACCAUUUCAUUGUGAAAAAAAACAUUAUAAUUCAAAAUUUAAACUUGUUUCAACUCAAAUAUAGAGUAUAAACACAUUCACAGAUAGAAUGACAUACAUAAUUGUCGAAACCAAUUUUUUUGAAAACAAAAAUAAGUUAUCGACUUUAAAAACAAAAACUGGAGUCGCCACCGAUCCUUUAUUAAGGUGUGAUCGGCUCACCAAAAAAAACAAUUUUGUUCUGCAAAAUUUGAGAAAACAGGUUCGGGAGUCAGUUACGCACGAGGAAGGGUUAGCACCCUCGUAACGCCCAAAAAUCGGUACCAAAUUUGAUUAUUUAAUAUCUUAGUGUCGAAAAUUUAAAAAGAUUUUAAAAAGCAAACUUUUAACUCUAACGACUUAAAAAUAAGACAUCCUAAUUUCAAAGAAAUAAAACAUCACACCCAGUGAGUUAGGGCACAAUAUUUUUAAAUCUUCAAAAUCAAGUUUAUCUUUUGAUUUUAAAAAUUCUUAUUUCGAGAAGAUAAAAUGUCAUGACCAGUAAGUUAGGACCCGACAUUUUUGGACUCCCGAGAAUAAGCUUUUAUUUGGAAAUUGUAAAUCUAUUGCAAAAUAAAUACUUGGCUUUCUAAAUUCAUCGAAAAAUGAUCACAAUCCAGUAAGUUAGGACACAAUCUUUCUCGAGAACCAUGAAUGCCAAAUAUUUUGAAAAUUUAUAAGAAUAUGAGGAUUUUAAUGCUAAGGAAACCAAAAUAUAUUUUCUUUAAAAGUAUGAUAAAAUGUUAAUGCAUAUAUAUAUGUAUACAAAACCAUGAAAAUGAAUCAAUAAUAAGAUAUAUAAAAUAUGCACAUACAUUUUAAAAAUAAUAAACAUAAAAAUGUAUAAAUAUAAUAUAUUAGUAAAUUAUGAAAAUAUGAAAAUAAAAAAAACAUGUGAAUAAUAUUUUUAUAAUAAUUUUGAAUAGUGUAUAAAUAUGUACAUUAUAAAAGAAGUAUAUAUAUAUAUAUAUAUAUAGAAUUAAAAAUAUGGAAAAUGUAUAAAUAUUAUAAAGUGAUAAUGUAUGUACGUAUAUAUAAAAACUAUGAAAAUAAAAAAAAUGUAAUAAUAAAAAAAUAUGUAUAUGAUUUAAAAACAUUUAAAAUAUAUACAUAAAAUAUAUUAUAAAACACAUAUGCAUAUAUAUAUAUGUAAGUAUAAUAAUUACAAUAAAUAAUAAUAUAAUAAUAGUGAAAAAAAAUGACAAAAGGACUAAUUUACACUUUAAUUAAAAAUUCAGGGUAAAUUUGAAAUAAAUAAAAUACGAAUGGACCAUUUAGAACACGCAAUCAACGGUGGAGGACCCAAAAAGAAAUUUACCCAAACAUCCCAAACACUGUACAGCAACAUGGACCGAAUUGAAAAAGNNNNNNNNNNNNNNNNNNNNNNNNNNNNNNNNNNNNNNNNNNNNNNNNNNNNNNNNNNNNNNNNNNNNNNNNNNNNNNNNNNNNNNNNNNNNNNNNNNNNGUGGUUAAAAUUGCAAAUAUAUAAAAAAAUUAAACAAACUUCAUAAAAACUGAGGACUCAACGCGCAAAUUGCCCAUCAAGGGCCAAAACACCCAGAUCCAUAGCCAUUAAACGGUACUGUUUUAAUAUAUUGCAUAAAAAGCCAUUUAAAACUUGUUUUAAAACAAAACUACGUCAGUUUUCUUUUUGUUUGAAAACACAACAGCAGACUCACCCCCCCUCUGCCGUUUCAGACUUCGACAAAGCGAGGACGCCCUCCGACGACUCUCACGACGGUAAGUCCUCCUUUCUUUCUCCUUUUUCGUUUAUCUUUGUUGUUUUUUUUAAAAAAAGAAGCAAAAGAAAAGAACAAGGUAAAUUAAAAAACAACAGUAAAAGAACUGAGAAAGAAGACAAAAUCCCACCUUCAAAAAUGUUUUUUCGUUUAUUUUCCUGUUAAUUUUCAUACAAAAUUUUUGCUUUUUUGUCUUUGUAUUUUCGAUGGGUUUUUUUGUAAUACAAAUUUCCUACGCCCCCAAAUCGGUUUUACAAAUCCCUUUUUAUACCCCCCAAAACAACAAUAAAAAAAAUCCGUUGUGAUGUGGUUCGUGAUUUGAUUUUGCUGUAGGUGGGUACUGGAAGAGGCAUGCGCGACGUGGGCAGUUGCUGUGCGUUCGUGCAUGGAGAUAGUUGCUGCGACGUGGGACAAUGGUGGCGUCGAUCUGCUGCUGACUGUUAGUGUUUCUGCUGUUUGUUUUCUUGGUGUAAUGGGCUUAGGUUUAGGGCCUAGUGUAUUGGGCCAAGGGUAUUUGGGCAAUGUUAUGAUUUUGGGUUGGUCUUAUUUUGAAUGGGCCGGGCAAAAAUGGGCUAUUACAAUAAUGGUUAAGAAAACUUUAAAGAAUUUAAAUAAGCCAUUCCACCUUACAACCUUAAUAAAUCUUGUUAUACUAGACCUUGGUGCUCCUCUUCUUCUUUAAAUAGCCUCAUUCCUUCCUACUGCAUCUUCAGAGGUAUAGGAACUAGUGCUUCAAUCCACUCUACUGCAACAACAAUGAAAUAGGAUUUGGGUUUUCAAUUCAUUUAACUGCAAUGUCGGGGAAACAAGAUUCGCCGUCAUGACUUCAAUCUAUUCCACUACACUACCAGAGAAGUAAGAAUUACUGGCUUCAAUGUACUCUACUGUAACCUCGGGGAGCUAAAAUCUGCCAUCUUCGAUCUACUCCACUAAUGCCUAGGGAGAUAAGAUCUGUAAUCUUCAAUCUAUUCCACUGCUGCCCAGGGAGAUAGAAUUACUGGCUUCAAUGUACUCCACUGUAGCCUCAGGGAGGUAAAAUCUGACAUCUUCGAUCUAUUCCACUAAUGCCUAGGGAGAUAAGAUCUGUAAUCUUCAAUCUAUUCCACUGCUGCCCAGGGAGAUAGAAUUACUGACUUCAAUGUACUCCACUGUAACCUCAGGGAGGUAAAAUCUGCCAUCUUCGAUCUGCUCCACUAAUGCCUAGGGAGAUAAGAUCUGGAAUCUUCAAUCUAUUCCACUGCCAACCAGGGAGAUAGAAUUAGUAUCUUCGAUCUCCUUCGCUGUCGAUGCAGGAAGGCAAGAUCUGCUACUUUCACUGAUCUGUUCUCCGGAGAACAUGACCUGUAUAAUGAACCUAAUUAUGCCUAAUGAUUAGGAUGGCAUGAUCAAAAUGAAUCAAAUGCUCCUAACUAGACAUGUGUGAAUGGUGUUUGCAUGAAUGCAAAAUUUUACUCUCUGAGAAUGAUCCCGCUUAGGUUGUCAUUACUCGAAGUUUAUUAAAGUUGUAUCACUGACGUGCUACAAUGUCUUUUGUUCAGAUUACAUCUCCAAAGAAACGCUUGAUCAAAUUGCCCCUCACUGUAAACCUCAAAGUUUCAUCCAUUGGGACGUAAAAUUUAUACCAUCUUUCUCCCGCUAUAACCCAAGGGUAGAAAAAUUUGGUCUUUUCUCAAUCCUCAUCUAUCGUAAUUCAAGGAUGCAAAAUGUGAAGCACUUUGGUCUUUCAUACCAAUCUCAGGGUGUCAUACCCAAAUGCCUAUGCACGAAUGAAGGAUUCUUCUCUCCAAAGAAACCCUUUUUUAUUACUUGGUGAUUAUUGCUUGCUUGUUCAUCUAAGCCUUGCCACCAACCUAUCAUCCUGUCAUUUUGUUCAAUGUUUUUGACAACAAAAUCAAAAAGAAAGUCCUAAUUUAGACUUUUCCUUCUCAGAUUUCCAACCUUUAAACCUGGUGCGUUCUAAACAACAGUCCUGUUUCAGGCUCCUAUAUUGUUUAGAAACUUCUAGAGUAAUAUGCAAAACUUCCCUUGUAAAAGUUUUAUUAGUCCAUUAAUCAUUAUCCCAAUGCAACAUGCUUGCAAAAAGCUCAUAACAAUGGAUAAGAAUAAAGUUAGUUUUGAGUAUAGCUCGAAAUGAAUAAAUUAUCAAAAAUAGUAAAGAAAGAUAACAAAGAAAUUGAUUGGGAAUGCGUAUCUUGGAAAAGAAUGAAGUAAUCCAAGAAUAAAAAAUUCAAAAUAAAUAGUAUGGAGACGAGUUGCCCCAGAUGUCGCAGCUUGAACUUCUCUGUACAAACUUCUUGAAAACCAUUUUGAGUUUGACAUGUGUUUAGGAGAUCUACAUUAAUCUGUCGAUGCCUGAAGAUGUCGCGUACCCUUUCCUGCUGACUAAGGCAUAUCAAGAUCACAGCAUGUCCCAUUCUAAUCAACAUUUGAGCUGCUCUGAUUACCUCAUGCCCAUUUUGACCAAUAUUUGAGCCGCCCUUUUCGGGUUUUCAACUCAAAUCCCCUUUGGUCUAAGGCGCCCUUUACGAGUUUUCACUUUAGCCUCUCCACUUUUACUUUUUCCAUUUUAUAUUUUUUAUUUUUCACAUCUUUUUUUCUUCUUUUUUUUGUGACUCAAAGUGCCCAUUGCAGGUUUUUACCUUGGUCCUCUCCUUCUUUAAGCGAAGCAUUUCUUAAUUGAUUCUGAGUUUACAGGAUUAGACAAGUUUUUACUAUCCGUCUCACUCAAAAUCAGUGCUCCUCCAAAAAAGGUCUUCUUUAAAAUAUAAGGACAUUCUCACUUUGGCACUCAUUUUUCUCUAAAAUCCUUUUGUAGAGGAAGGAUCUUUUUCAAUACCAGGUUUCCCUCGUGGAAUUUUCUGGGACGAACCUUUUUGUUGUAAACUCGCAUCAUCCGUUUUUGGUACAUCUAACCGUGACGAAUAGCCUUUUUCCUUCAAUUAAGUUCAACUGAUCUUAUUGAGAUUGGAUCUUCAUCCUACUUCAGCUCAGCCAAUACCCGGAGAAAAAGAAUUUCAACUUCAGUGGAAAACUGUGAUAAGCUAAAGGCGUUGCCCCAGCGGGGUUCUUUUUCUUUUUCUUUUUUUUCUUUUCCUUCUUUUUUUUUUUGUUUUUUUUUGUUUUCUCUCUUUUUUUUGGAUUGAAUCUGCACUUAUAGGAUUAGGCAAGUCCUGGUCAUCUCUUUCGAUCAGAAUCAAUAUUAUUCCAGAUAAGGUCUUCCCCAUAACUUCCACUUUCAUUUUGUAUGCGAAAGAUCUUCUUUGGCAUCAAGUUUCUCUCAUAGAGCCUUUUGGGGUGAAAUUUAACUAUGACGAGAAAAUUUUAGAUCUUCCUCUUCAAUUAGGAUCAAAUCUAACAAAAAUACGGAAAAAAUUACAACUUGACUUCAACGGAAUAAGCCAGAGAAUAAGGUAUUGCCCCGGUAAAGAAUUCUAACUACAUCGUUCAUGAUGUGAAUCUUGAACAUACUGCAGAUUUUUGACGUUGUGCUGUUGCUCAAAUUACAAUAUCAGUACUUAACUCGGGCACGUCCUGGUAUGACCAUGCGAUAACAUCUUUGAACUCUCGAAGUAACUUAACAAGGUCUUGCUUCAUUUCUCCGGUUAUGCAUGUUCUCUUAAAGUUACAAUCUCCAUUGUCUCUUCAGGAGGUAAAAUUUGCUCUCUUUUUGCUCUACCAUCCUCAACAAGUCUGGAGAUAGGCUACGAUCUAUGUCAUCUUCAAAGUCAGGAGAUCCCUCUAAACACAUGUCUUGCUCAAAAAGAGAUUCUAAAUCUGUAGCAGUGUCAUUUAUGUCAUUGAUAUCUGGGGGCCCAUAAUAAAUAUCAAAGAAUAUACAAAAGAAUGUAUAGAUUUAUGAAGAACUAUCUAUACAAUAUGAUUAUGAAUGAAUGAAUGAUGUGGAAGAAAAUCCAAUAGAAUGAAAGAAUAACUAUUCAGAUAGACUGAAAGAAUAUUGGUUCAAAAAUGAUCGCAAGGAUGCAUUUCAUUAAAAUAACGACAUUUAGACAUGAGCCUACUUCACAAAGGAAUUCUUAUUGCCUCUAGGCUAAAAGAAACAAGUGUGUUUUGAACAUUGCUCUAAAUAAGCCCUAAAUACUACAAAUUUCUUUUGCAGUCUGAUUAUUGAAAACACUCCCAGGUUUACAAAGGUGGAUAUCUAAUAAGGUCACUUUUCGAUUGUGUCUUCAUCUAUGACAUUGAUGUGAACACUUCCCAACAUCUUUUCAUACAUCGCAUUCACCUUAUUGUCAAUCAUGAUUGGGUAGCGGAUUUUCUGCAUUAGAUGAGUCACCCAACUUGACAAUACCCAUGUUGAUGAAUUUUUCAACUAGCUUUUUGAAGGUAAUGCAAUUCUCUAUUGAGUGCCCCGUAAUUCCCGCGUGGUAGUCACAUUGCGCGUUCGCAUCAUACCACUUAGGAUACGGAGGUUAUGGAGGUUUUAAGUAAUGAGGAGCAACAACAUGCGCAUCUAACAAGCUUUGAUACAGCUCCUUAUAGGACAUCGGAAUUGGUGUGAACUGGAGCUUCUCAAUACUUGGCUUCACACCUGAUUCUUGUCUUGAUGAACCCUGCUGAUUAGUAACCACCUUUCUUGGCUGAUUCACCGUAAUCGAUUUGCUGUACGUGUUCACGCUGUUCACCUCAUUUUCUUCUUCCUUUGGGGUUUGAUUUCUGUUAUUUCCUCCAGCAUCAAUCUUUCCGCUCCUAAUAGCACUUUCAAUCAUCUCACCACUCAUAACUAUGUCAGAAAAGCUUUUUGUGGCACUUCCCAACAUAUGUGUGAUGAAUGGGGCCUUCAACGUAUUUAUAAAGAGCAUCACCAUUUCUCUUUGAAGGAGCGGUGGUUGGACCUGAACUGCAACCUCCCUCCAUCUCUGAGCGUACUGCCUGAAACCUUCAUUCGACUUCUUCUCCAUGUUUUGCAAAGUAAUUCUGUCAGGAACCAUUUCUGCCACAUGACUGUACUGCUUCAUAAAAGCCUGUGCCAAAUCCCUCCAGGAACAAAUCUUAGCACGGCUCAAUUGAUUAUACCAUUUAGACGCUGUCCCCGUGAGGCUAUCCUGAAAACAGUGUAUCAAUAACUGCUCAUUAUUGACAUACCCAGUCAUUCGUCUACAAAACAUGGUGAUGUGGGCUUCAGGGCAACUGGUCCCAUUAUACUUCUGAAAUUCUGGCAUUUUGAACUUGUGAGGGAGCAUCAAAUCUGGGACCAAGCUCAGAUCCUUGGCAUCAACCCCGCGAUAGCUCUCGGUGCUUUCCAUCGCCUUGAACUUCUCUUCGACCCACUUCCAUCUUUCUUCAAAUUGCUUUGGCAAUUCUUCCUUUGCUUUUUCCUUUUUGACCACCUCAUCGAAGUCAGGGACUACAAGAUUGACGGGAAUAUUCUCAGGGCUAGAGCUUGAUCCAGUUUGGUAAUUCAUCACCUUUGAAGUAUCAGCCUGAAAUUGCUGAGCCCUAAUGGUAACAGAAGAUUUACGCGGGCACAUUUCCACUUGGGGCUGCACAUUUGGGGGAGUGAAGCCCGGAGGAUACUGGAGUCUAUCCUCGCCUUCCUCCUCAAUAUUUGUUACAGGGCUCCUUCCCUUAUCCUUUCCGCCAAUUAAGAGCUGAGUUAACUGGGUUAUCAUGCUUCCUUGGGAUUCCUCCAUUUUGUCCAUCAACUUCUGCUGAAUUUUUUCAAGUUGUUCCUUCAUUUGUUGCUGGAGCUGAUCCUGCAUGUCUUUUUGAAAUUGCUCGAGCUUUUCUAAUCUUUGAUCCAUAUUCUUUGAUUUCGCUCUUGUACCGUAACGGGGCUGGGUUGGCUGGUUGGUUUCCAGGUUAACUGAAGAAUAAUUUUAAUUGAUUAGGCUCUUUUGGUGGAUUUUAGUGCAUAUGAUGAGAUUAAUGCAAAUGCAUGAGAUGAAUGCAAAAAGAGACGUUGAUUCUGAUUCAAUUUCAUUUAAAAAACUUUACUAGAAGACAAAUUUCUUUACAAAAAGCGGAUAUAUAUAUACGGCUUUGCCCUCAUACUCCAGGCGAAGUCAUCUUCUCCUUCUUCAUCUGGAUGCUAAGAUAAAUCUUGCGAAUUCUUCAAAAGGGGUAUCUCCUCUACCUCCCUUUUUACUUGAUCCUGGUUAUAAUCCAACGUCCGCGCAUCCUCGUAAGGGUUAUCAGCUUCUUUAAGGAGGUUGAAAUGUCAGAACUCUUGAAUAAUCAGCUUGACCUUGAGGCACGAGUAAAGUCAUGUAUUCCUCCAUCACCCUUCUUACGUUUCUUGGAAUAUAUUCAGGCAGCCGUAUUAUCUUCCACUUUAUCAAGAAACCCAUUUCCCAUGAUAAACUUUCNNNNNNNNNNNNNNNNNNNNNNNNNNNNNNNNNNNNNNNNNNNNNNNNNNNNNNNNNNNNNNNNNNNNNNNNNNNNNNNNNNNNNNNNNNNNNNNNNNNNNNNNNNNNNNACAACCAAGAAAUAGUAAAAACUCCUAAUUAGGUGUCUACUAAGGUUCAAAGUAAUUCUACCUAGGGUGGGUUCCUAAGGUUCACUAUAUGAGGUUUUGGCUUCUAGAGCAAGGGUAUCCGAACCAGCAGAUUCCUCGAUCCUCACCCAUUAUAGGCUCAUAUGGACCAAGUUCGGUUCAGGGGAAUACAUUUCCCUAUGGCUGCACGGAGAUGAAAAUCUUACGAAGACAUAGGUACAGAUGUAUUCCGAAAGCGAUCCACUAUCCUACACGGAGGUGAAAACCUCACGAAGGACUAAUUUCUCACUUCCACUUAAAGGGGUAAAAUUGACCAUGAAAUGCAAAAAUGCAAAUAAACCGACAGACUUAAACCAACCAAACAAGCAUAUGACAAUUAAAACUAAUGAAUGCAAAGAGAAAAUCUGGUUUUAAAACAACUUUAAUUUUCGACAAAAAAGACAAAAGAUAAUCAAUUCAUGGCUCGACUCUCAAUUGGUCCCCAGCGGAGUCGCCAAGCUGUCGAAACCAAUUUUUUUGAAAACAAAAAUAAGUUAUCGACUUUAAAAACAAAAACUGGAGUCGCCACCGAUCCUUUAUUAAGGUGUGAUCGGCUCACCAAAAAAAACGAUUCUGGUCUGUAAAAUUUGAGAAAACAGGUUCGGGAGUCAGUUACGCACGAGGAAGGGUUAGCACCCUCGUAACGCCCAAAAAUCGGUACCAAAUUUGAUUAUUUAAUAUCUUAGUUUCGAAAAUUUAAAAAGAUUUUAAAAAGCAAACUUUUAACUCUAACGACUUAAAAAUAAGACAUCCUAAUUUCAAAGAAAUAAAACAUCACACCCAGUGAGUUAGGGCACAAUAUUUUUAAAUCUUCAAAAUCAAGUUUAUCUUUUGAUUUUAAAAAUUCUUAUUUCGAGAAGAUAAAAUGUCAUGACCAGUAAGUUAGGACCCGACAUUUUUGGACUCCCGAGAAUAAGCUUUUAUUUGGAAAUUGUAAAUCUAUUGCAAAAUAAAUACUUGGCUUUCUAAAUUCAUCGAAAAAUGAUCACAAUCCAGUAAGUUAGGACACAAUCUUUCUCGAGAACCAUGAAUGCCAAAUAUUUUGAAAAUUUAUAAGAAUAUGAGGAUUUUAAUGCUAAGGAAACCAAAAUAUAUUUUCUUUAAAAGUAUGAUAAAAUGUUAAUGCAUAUAUAUAUGUAUACAAAACCAUGAAAAUGAAUCAAUAAUAAGAUAUAUAAAAUAUGCACAUACAUUUUUAAAAAUAAUAAACAUAAAAAUGUAUAAAUNNNNNNNNNNNNNNNNNNNNNNNNNNNNNNNNNNNNNNNNNNNNNNNNNNNNNNNNNNNNNNNNNNNNNNNNNNNNNNNNNNNNNNNNNNNNNNNNNNNNNNNNNNNNNNNNNNNNNNNNNNNNNNNNNNNNNNNNNNNNNNNNNNNNNNNNNNNNNNNNNNNNNNNNNNNNNNNNNNNNNNNNNNNNNNNNNNNNNNNNNNNNNNNNNNNNNNNNNNNNNNNNNNNNNNNNNNNNNNNNNNNNNNNNNNNNNNNNNNNNNNNNNNNNNNNNNNNNNNNNNNNNNNNNNNNNNNNNNNNNNNNNNNNNNNNNNNNNNNNNNNNNNNNNNNNNNNNNNNNNNNNNNNNNNNNNNNNNNNNNNNNNNNNNNNNNNNNNNNNNNNNNNNNNNNNNNNNNNNNNNNNNNNNNNNNNNNNNNNNNNNNNNNNNNNNNNNNNNNNNNNNNNNNNNNNNNNNNNNNNNNNNNNNNNNNNNNNNNNNNNNNNNNNNNNNNNNNNNNNNNNNNNNNNNNNNNNNNNNNNNNNNNNNNNNNNNNNNNNNNNNNNNNNNNNNNNNNNNNNNNNNNNNNNNNNNNNNNNNNNNNNNNNNNNNNNNNNNNNNNNNNNNNNNNNNNNNNNNNNNNNNNNNNNNNNNNNNNNNNNNNNNNNNNNNNNNNNNNNNNNNNNNNNNNNNNNNNNNNNNNNNNNNNNNNNNNNNNNNNNNNNNNNNNNNNNNNNNNNNNNNNNNNNNNNNNNNNNNNNNNNNNNNNNNNNNNNNNNNNNNNNNNNNNNNNNNNNNNNNNNNNNNNNNNNNNNNNNNNNNNNNNNNNNNNNNNNNNNNNNNNNNNNNNNNNNNNNNNNNNNNNNNNNNNNNNNNNNNNNNNNNNNNNNNNNNNNNNNNNNNNNNNNNNNNNNNNNNNNNNNNNNNNNNNNNNNNNNNNNNNNNNNNNNNNNNNNNNNNNNNNNNNNNNNNNNNNNNNNNNNNNNNNNNNNNNNNNNNNNNNNNNNNNNNNNNNNNNNNNNNNNNNNNNNNNNNNNNNNNNNNNNNNNNNNNNNNNNNNNNNNNNNNNNNNNNNNNNNNNNNNNNNNNNNNNNNNNNNNNNNNNNNNNNNNNNNNNNNNNNNNNNNNNNNNNNNNNNNNNNNNNNNNNNNNNNNNNNNNNNNNNNNNNNNNNNNNNNNNNNNNNNNNNNNNNNNNNNNNNNNNNNNNNNNNNNNNNNNNNNNNNNNNNNNNNNNNNNNNNNNNNNNNNNNNNNNNNNNNNNNNNNNNNNNNNNNNNNNNNNNNNNNNNNNNNNNNNNNNNNNNNNNNNNNNNNNNNNNNNNNNNNNNNNNNNNNNNNNNNNNNNNNNNNNNNNNNNNNNNNNNNNNNNNNNNNNNNNNNNNNNNNNNNNNNNNNNNNNNNNNNNNNNNNNNNNNNNNNNNNNNNNNNNNNNNNNNNNNNNNNNNNNNNNNNNNNNNNNNNNNNNNNNNNNNNNNNNNNNNNNNNNNNNNNNNNNNNNNNNNNNNNNNNNNNNNNNNNNNNNNNNNNNNNNNNNNNNNNNNNNNNNNNNNNNNNNNNNNNNNNNNNNNNNNNNNNNNNNNNNNNNNNNNNNNNNNNNNNNNNNNNNNNNNNNNNNNNNNNNNNNNNNNNNNNNNNNNNNNNNNNNNNNNNNNNNNNNNNNNNNNNNNNNNNNNNNNNNNNNNNNNNNNNNNNNNNNNNNNNNNNNNNNNNNNNNNNNNNNNNNNNNNNNNNNNNNNNNNNNNNNNNNNNNNNNNNNNNNNNNNNNNNNNNNNNNNNNNNNNNNNNNNNNNNNNNNNNNNNNNNNNNNNNNNNNNNNNNNNNNNNNNNNNNNNNNNNNNNNNNNNNNNNNNNNNNNNNNNNNNNNNNNNNNNNNNNNNNNNNNNNNNNNNNNNNNNNNNNNNNNNNNNNNNNNNNNNNNNNNNNNNNNNNNNNNNNNNNNNNNNNNNNNNNNNNNNNNNNNNNNNNNNNNNNNNNNNNNNNNNNNNNNNNNNNNNNNNNNNNNNNNNNNNNNNNNNNNNNNNNNNNNNNNNNNNNNNNNNNNNNNNNNNNNNNNNNNNNNNNNNNNNNNNNNNNNNNNNNNNNNNNNNNNNNNNNNNNNNNNNNNNNNNNNNNNNNNNNNNNNNNNNNNNNNNNNNNNNNNNNNNNNNNNNNNNNNNNNNNNNNNNNNNNNNNNNNNNNNNNNNNNNNNNNNNNNNNNNNNNNNNNNNNNNNNNNNNNNNNNNNNNNNNNNNNNNNNNNNNNNNNNNNNNNNNNNNNNNNNNNNNNNNNNNNNNNNNNNNNNNNNNNNNNNNNNNNNNNNNNNNNNNNNNNNNNNNNNNNNNNNNNNNNNNNNNNNNNNNNNNNNNNNNNNNNNNNNNNNNNNNNNNNNNNNNNNNNNNNNNNNNNNNNNNNNNNNNNNNNNNNNNNNNNNNNNNNNNNNNNNNNNNNNNNNNNNNNNNNNNNNNNNNNNNNNNNNNNNNNNNNNNNNNNNNNNNNNNNNNNNNNNNNNNNNNNNNNNNNNNNNNNNNNNNNNNNNNNNNNNNNNNNNNNNNNNNNNNNNNNNNNNNNNNNNNNNNNNNNNNNNNNNNNNNNNNNNNNNNNNNNNNNNNNNNNNNNNNNNNNNNNNNNNNNNNNNNNNNNNNNNNNNNNNNNNNNNNNNNNNNNNNNNNNNNNNNNNNNNNNNNNNNNNNNNNNNNNNNNNNNNNNNNNNNNNNNNNNNNNNNNNAAUAAAAAAAAUUCCGUUGUGAUGUGGUUCGUGAUUUGAUUUGCUGUAGGUGGGUACUGGAAGAGGCAUGCGCGACGUGGGCAGUUGCUGUGCGUUCGUGAAGGAGAAUAGUUGAGCGACGUGGACAAAUGGAGACGUCGAUCUGCUGCUGACUGUUAGUGUUUCUGCUGUUUGUUUUCUUGGUGUAAUGGGCUUAGGUUUAGGGCCUAGUGUAUUGGGCCAAGGGUAUUUGGGCAAUGUUAUGAUUUUGGGUUGGUCUUAUUUUGAAUGGGCCGGGCAAAAAUGGGCUAUUACAAUAAUGGUUAAGAAAACUUUAAAGAAUUUAAAUAAGCCAUUCCACCUUACAACCUUAAUAAAUCUUUUUAUACAUGCCACCUAAUUCAACACAAAUAGCAUUCAAAUGUUUGAACACAAGCUUAAAAGUUUGUCGGGGGAUUUGGUGCUCCCUAGUUUUCAUAGCGACAUCUCCACAAGUUCGUACCUGCAUGUUUUAAACCACUAAUGCCUGAGCUUUAAAAUCUCACUAAGUAACAAGGAUAAACAACCUUAUCCUAAGCCUUUAUUAACGUUGAGUCCUUCAAAUUAUUCAUAGUACUAGGCUCAUUUCAGUUACAUUUUAUUGUUUUAACCCAAUCAUAUGAAUUUGUCGCAUUAAGGGAUCAAGUUACACUUUACUGACUUGUUAAUAGUUCUAGUAAUGUAUAUGUUUCAAGUUUAGACAUUUGGUCCCUUUUUAUAAAACUCACAUUUUUAUACCGAGCAUAAUGGCAUGACAUAUUUUGUAUAUUGCAUUACAUUGGGGUGGGUUGAUGAUAUUGGGAGGAAGUGUCUUAAAGGCUAUUAAGCUUGUUAUCUGGCAGCUCAGCUGCAACCUUCUGAUUAUGUGCCGCAUUUCUACAUAGCAUGGUGAGUAGGGAUAGGUGAGUUGAUAUAAUCCCCACAUAGUGUGUAGGGUUGGACGGAGAUGGUGUGUAGAGGCCGGUGGGCUGGAUUCUAAUUUACUAUAUCUGCAUUCUAUAUCUGAUAUGGGCCAAAGCCCUAAUGUAUUUCUGAGACUGUAUCUGAACGGGCUAAGGCCCAAACUGAUUCUGUGAUGGGCCCAGGGCACAGGCCCUAGACUGUAUCUAACUGAAUGCUGUUGAAUAUCUGUAUGCAUGUUUUCUGUGGGGAUUACACAUUGAGUUUGUGAAAACUCACCGUUUUUCUGUUGAAUCUGUACAGGUAAUCCCCAGAUCUAGACAGAUCAGUGCGGCGGAGGACUCGGUGGUGACCAUAGUUUUGGACUUUUAUGGUUUUUAACCCAUAUUUACAAUAAUUGGUUUUAUUUCUAUUCUAUUUUUACUGGCUAGGUAUUUGGGUUUUAAUUAUCUUUACUUUAUGGAUUACAACUCCUAGUAGUAGGAAACCUCAAUUUUCAAAAGAAAUAAACUUUUUCCUAAACGCACAAUUGUUUAAUCUAUUUUAAAAGCUUCCGCAAAUGAAUAACAUUUUGAAACUAUCGAUUAAAUGAGCAAAACAAUUUUGGAACUAAUAAGAUAUUAAGAUAAUGAAUUCAAUGGAAAUGGUUUUAAUGCGACGACAUGGUUUUCAAACACCCUAUCAUGUGACAUCGCUAGAUCUAGCCAUAACAUCUGGGUCGGGUUUGGGGUGUUACACUAUAAAUACUGUAACCUUCCAAACAUGGCCUAAACGUUAUGGCUAGAUUGAGAAGGCUACAUUAGCCACUGAAAUGGCUAAGCUAACUUACAUUACUUAUGAAAACCUUAAAUAAACUCAUUUUAGAGAAAACCAUAGUUGUACUUUAAGUUAGCUUAAAAGCAUUCAUUCAUUAGGUUGUGUAUACUUAGAAUUCAUUUUAUUAUUGAUAGUGUUGUAUUAGAAAAAUCAUUUUCUUGUCGCUCUCCUUUAAAAAAAAACUUGAUGUUAAACUAAUACAACGGAAAAACCAUUUUUCAAGUCAUUUUGAAAACUUAGUUACCUUAUCGAUUUGUUUUUUAAAAAUGAAUCCUUUGCAAUGUAUUGGAAACUAGGGAACAAUAUCAAAUUUUACUUAAGCUUGAUAUCAUGCAUUAUUCGGUUAUUAUGCUUGAGUAAUCCAUGCAUGCCAAAAUCCCAGGAGAAAAAUUAUCAAGCCACAGACUAGAAAUAAUUAAAAAUUACAAACCAAAACCAUUAGAGAUUGAUUAAUACUUAUUAAAAAAUAAUUCAAAGUCCAAGGUGAUUCUUUGAAUGCCAAGUCUGGUCCUAAUUUCGAAGUUUACCUGAAAAGUUAAACACUAUUGGGGGUGAGCUUACGAAAAGCUCAGUGUGAGUCGAACAAUUAUUUAAACAAACAUAAAUAACGAAUACAGUGAAACAAAUUAGUUUUAACAGAAGAAAACAGAACCAUCAUAGGAAUUUCAUAUUUUUACAUAGCUAUUAUAGAAUUGAUGUCAAACGGUGUAUGAGCAUAAGGUCAUUAUUCAUUCGAGUGACAAUCAUUAAUUUCGAUACCAUUCAAAACAACAAAAUACAAUGCGUAGCAUAAACCAAAAACAUUCAAAUAUGUCGUGCACAUGAUGCAAUGCAAAAAGGUUCCUAGCCAUACCAUCCGCUACACACCACAAGUUCCCCAGAACUCGUCUGCCAAACUCCAAAACAUUAUGAGCAUAGCUCAAUGUGGUAAAGCCAUCGAAUAAUCAAUCAUGCAGAAAAUCUACCUGAUAUCAAUAGUGCGAUACAAUGGCCAAUAGCAUAUAAUAUGCGAUAAAAUUGCCAAUCCCCUCGGUACUCUAGGUGCAGUGCACUGACUACGAAUAAUGCGAGCUUAAUAUGCUGACGGUACUCGACAGAAUUCCUCCGUCAACCAAAAAAUCCCAACCCAAUGCAUAUGCAAUAUGUCACACAAUCUCAUACAUAAUCAUAUCAUAAUACUUUUCACCUUCAUUUGACACGCUCAUCAUGUCCUCAAUGAUCACAUACUUUCACGAUUUAUCAAAGUGAACACUAGUUUAACCACAUGAUUUCAAAGUAAAUUUCUGGGUUUUCAAGCGAGUAAGUAACUCAUCAGGAUUUAGCAAUAACGUCCAGGUCAGGUUUGGGGUGUUACAGUGCAUCCAUAGCCAAAGGAAGAUUCCAACUGUGGGUAUAUGUUGUAUAAUCUACAGGCAAAAACAAGCUUCAUUUGCAGGACUUUUUGUUGUGAACCCACAACCAAAGCUAGAAUCCAACUGUGGGGACUUGCUAUAUAUGUGUACACAGCCGAAUGAUAGUUAUUAUCUGCAGAUGAGUAGUGGUUUAUCCACAACCAGGUCUGUUGGAGAAGGGAGUUUAGGGGAACUCCCAUUAUGAUAUGUAACGUGGGGUAGGAUUUAUUCUGUUAAAACCCAAAAUUGUAUGGCAUCUUCUAAAUCAUGUGCAUACAAAUCUGGAAUUCUGUUAUGAUAUAUUUAUAUAUAUAUGAAUAUUGUGAAUGAUGUGGAAGUUUGAUAUUAUGAAAUUGCAACUGUGAAUACUGUGAUACUAUUGGUAGUUAAAUUGUAAAAUUGACAUUUUGAGUUGUUAUCUGAUUGUGAUUACUCUAUGCGAUAUUAUUUAAUGUGUCUUACCAACCGUUUGCAUUGAAUUUAUUGUGAAUGAACUCACACUAAGCGUCAUAACUCACUCCCCCUUAAAUUUUCAUCCUUACAGAUAACCCACCAGGAUAGGACACGGGCAUGACAUCUCUAAGGUCUCGACACAUUAUUAAAUUAAAAAAAUUAUUUUAGGUUCAUUAUAUGAUGUUUUUUUGGAAGACUACAAUAAUUAUUUUAAACUGUGGCAUGAGAUUUAGAUUUAAGCUUGUUUUAUUUUGCAUGACAUUUAAUUUAAGUUUUAAUGUUGUCGAAUUAUGGUUAUUAAUCAAUUAUACAUGAAUCCCGAUUUUUAUUAAAAAUAAAUAGUUACCACUUCCUGCUUUUAAAGUGUAAUUAAGAUUUCAAGCAAUAAAUAAUUUGGAAAUUAAAUAAGCUUUUUUCUAAAUUAAACAAACAUUUUAAAUAUGUCUGUUUUUAAAAAUUCCGAUAACCCUGCUGGCCAUCUUUAUGGCCGAUGUAAUCUUCCAAAUUCAAGCUUAACCUUUACGCCGGAUUGGAGAAGUUACAAAUAUGUUAUUUUUUUAUUGUCCGCAAAGAAAUUUUGUAAUAAAAUUGAAAAUUACAAGUUAAAAUUCAAUUCAUAAAAACAAUACUAGAUUAUUGUUAGAGGUGUUUUUAGUUGGAUUUGGUCAAAGUUAGGGCUUGAUUCAAACCAAACUUAACUCAAAUUAGCCCAUAUAAAUGGUUCAUUUGACUGUUUAAAAAAAUAUAAUUUUUAAAUUUAUAAAAUAUAUAAAUAUUAAUAGAAUAUUAUUUUUAUAUUAUUUAUUAUUGUUAAAGUCCAAGAUUAAAAACGUAAGCUGAAUCCUGCCCCGAAAGUGGGCUGUCUAACCACAAACUUAUAAUUUGGGUGAAAGUUUUCUUUGUUUUAUGUUUAAAAAAUAACAAUAAAUUUAUUUAAAAUUUAGUUAUAGAAAUAUAUAAAUAUAAAUAUGAAUAUAACAUAUAUUUAUAUUUUUAAAUAGUAAAAUAGGUUAAUUUGGAAAUUAAAUAAGUUUUUUACUAAAUUAAACUAACGUUUUAAAGAUGCCUGUUUUCAAAAACUCCGAUAACCCUAUUAGGCCAUCUUUAUGACCGAUGUAAUCUUCCGAAUUCAGGCUAAAUGUUUACGCCGGAUUGGAGAAGUUACAAAUAUGUUAUUUUCUUAUCGUAGGCAAAGAAAUUUUGUAAUAAAAUUGAAAUUACAAGUUAAAAUUGAAUUGAUAAGAACAAUACUAGAUUAUGGUUAGUGUUGUUUUUAGUUGGAUUUGGUCAAAGUUAAGGCUUGAUGCAAACCGAACUUAACUCAAUUUAUCCCAUAUAAAUGGUUGGUUUUACUGUUUAAAAAAUAUAAUUAAAUUUAAAUUUAUAAAAUUUAUAAAUAUUAAUAGAACAUUAUUUUUAUAUUUUUAUUAUUUUUAAAGCCCAAGAUUAAAACGUAAUCUGAAUCCUGUCCCAAAGUGGGCUGCCUAACCACAAACUUAUAAUUUGGGUGAAAGUUUUCUUUGUUUUAUGUUUAGAAAAUAACAAUCAAUUUCUUUAAAAUUUAAUUAUAGACAUAUUUUUAUAUUUUUAAAUAGUAAAAUAAGUUGACUUGGGACAACUUGAGAUUGGAAACCUAAGCUCAAGCUUGACCAAAGUGGGCUGCCUAGCUUGACCAAUUGAGUUGGUAUAUGAUGUACGAUUUAACUUAAUUAAUUACUUAGUGAUAGAUUAAAAUAGAUAAUUGCAAUUUAGUUAUCCUAAAAAGAAAGUUACUCUUUUCUUUAGUAUAUUCAUUAGUGGAAGCAUAUUUAAAGUUAUUAUAUAUAAUAUUAAUCAUAUUAAAAAUAAAAACUUAAUUAUCAUUGUUAAUAUAAUAUUAUUUUCAUUCAUAAAGCCUUAAUUUUGGGAUUAAAGAAAGUAUAGUUGUUUUUUCUUUUUACCAAAAAGAGAAAAGUUGUUGGUAUGAAACAUGAAAUGAGUAUAUUAAAUUGUGAAAAGUUAGACUAAAUAAACUAAGGUUAGUGAAAAGUUGAGCCUUAAUUUAAUCAUUUAGUUUUUUCAAUGUUUUUCAAAAUAAAUUGUGAAGAGUUACAAAAAAUUAAAUUAAAAAGAGAAGUAGCAAGUUAAAAUAUGAUGAUAGUCCAUAUACUGUUAUAAUAAGAAGUAUAUAAAUUCAACAAUUUAUUACAUUUGAUUUAAAUAUAAACAAUCAUCUAAAUACAUUUUAAAAAUAUAACACCAAACACUCGUGGAUCUCGUUUCAUUUAAAGUGAUUGAUGGGUUAGGAUUUUCAAAUCAAUGGUGGAAAAGUCAGUUAAUAGCUCCAAAGACUGAUUCAACUGAUUUGUCUCCAUACUGAAGACUUGUAGGGAAAAGUUAGUAAAAGAAAGUGAUUGGUUGUUGUUGUUGUUAUUAUUAUUAUUUUGGUUUUAAUCACAGGUGCAUAGUUUAAAAACUUUGUUGAUAAUGUACUAAAUAUUUAUGUAUUAUACAUACACUAGUUUUAUAUAAUGUAAAUGGAUUCUUUCCCAUAUAUAUUGUACAAACAAAUUUCAAGUUGAAAAUUGACUUAAAAAUUUUGCGUCAAAUUUUAUUUAUAAUUUCGAAGAGUGUACAAGUUUUGAAUUUCUUUACAAACAAAACUCCUUUGAUUCUUCUCUUCUGUUGACAUCCUCCUCUCAAUUCAAUUGGAUAGGAGGGGAUUUUUCUUUAGAACUGAUAUGAUGUUCAUUAGAAUUUCUUCUACUUCUUUAGUUUCUUCAAAUAUUUUUGUAAAGAAUUUUUCAACUUCUUGAACUUGUGAAUGUGUAGAAUGACUUGGAGGUGACCCAUUUUUAUAGUGUCAAUCACUUUAAUAUAAGAGAGUUCUUGUAGAAUUUAACUUUUUCAUUUGAGUGUUCUAUAAGAAUUUAAACUCUAUUAUUAUUAUUCAUAUCUUAUUGAUUUAAUUAAUUAGAGAUAAAGUAAUCCUUAGAGAAUAUGGUUUCUUUAUAAGAGAGUUCUAAAAGGAUUUAAUUUCUUGAUUUAUCUUUUCAUUAAUUUAGUUAGAGAUAAACAGUAAUAACAAAUGAUGAAUUCUGAAUUUUGUUGGGCGUAGAAAGGGGACAAGUCUUGAAAUUUUAUUUGCUUCCUACUUUGAAGAAUUUGUUUCAAAGGUCACCAUCAAUUUUUUUUUUUCAUAUAGACUGAACUUGGCAAUGAAACCAGGCUAUCUACGUACGUUCAUUUUUAAAAGAUCAAGUUAUAACGUAGUUCAAUUUAUUUUGGACUGCAAUUCAAGCUCGUGCUUAAGAGUAUCAUCAUUUAUUAUGUAUGAACAAUUUAAAUUCAUUCAUAGGAGGUCAUCAUUUAUUUGGUAUGAAUAGUUUAAGCUCGUGCUUCAUUGGAUCAUCAUUUAUUUUUUAUGAAUAGUUUAAGAUUGUGCUUAAAGCAUGACCGUUUGGGUUGAAUAGUUUAGGCUCCUUCUUAGGAGCAUUAGAUGAACAGUUUAAGCUCAUGCUUAGGAGCAUCAUUAUUUUGGAUGAACAAUUUAUGCUCGUGCUUAGGAGCAAUGUGACCAUAUAAACUUAUACCUAGGAGAGAUGCUUUUCAUUGGCUUCUUUGACAUGUGGCUAGAGUCCAAUCAUGACCAUUCUGAUAUUCCAAAAAUAGAUGAUUGCCCCAAAUCCCUUUGAAGUUCACCAUCUUACUUCUACUUAGAGCUAGUGUAAUAGGAUUGAAAGAGCCAAAUUUAAUGAAUUUGUCCAUAAUAUUGUAUUGAGAAACCAAAGCAUUAAUGUCAUGUUUGAUAAUGCCACUUCUUUUUCAAACAUGAUUUUUUCUUCUUCAUGGAGUUGUAUGAUUUUUUCUUUCAACUCCAUGAUCUUCUCAAGAGGAUGGCUAAUUGACUGAUGGUAUUUGCAAUAGUUGAAAUCAUCUACUCGAUUGGCUUCUUUAGGUCGCUUCUUAUAACUAUCAUAUUUAGAGUUAUUUUAGUAUAGUUUCCAUAGCAUUUUAGGAGGUAAUUUUAGUAUUUAGGUUCGUUUUUAUUGCAUUUUAUAGUUUUUAUGGAUUAAUUAUAUUUUAUUUCAAUUUUGUUGAAAAUUUCUAAUUUUCAAAGUUAGUUCAGACUUGUUUCUUAUUUUUUAUUUUCCCAUUGUAGGUUUCGGAAGAAGAAUAGAAGACUUGGAGCAUAGAGCAUAAAGUAGUGAAGAAAAAUCUUCCACUCCAUCGAAUUUGAUUCACCGCGGUAGAGCAUGCUCUAUGAUUCAUAAAUUUCGGUAGCAAGCAGUUCGUUCCACCUCAACUUCUGCAUCAGGUGGAGCAACAUGAUUAAAAUCCCUAAAAACAAAGGUGAUGAUAAAGGUGUGCAUUUUUCGAUUUUAACUAAUUAAUUUAUCAAACCUAAUUAAUUUGAUUAAAUAGUCGAUCAACGAAUCUAAUUUAGUUGGGAGUUGGUUAAAGGUUUUUGAAGAUUUUGUUUACCAAUUAGUUUAGUUUGAAAUCGACUAAUUAACUGAAUUAAUUGAUUAAUCGAAAUCAAUAAAAAUAUAUUAUAGGCCCAAUAUAUUAGAGAUAGGUCCAAUGCAUUAUACAAACCCAAUAUAUAAAAACUAAUGGAUUUAUAACUUUUCUUAUAAUAGGCUUAACAAAAAUAUGAAAAGUAAAAAUAUUUGAAAAAAACUAAAAAGUCAAGAAAAAGUAAAUAUAUAGAUGCUAUUAUGUUUUUAAUUUAGUGUUGUUAUUAUGUUUUUUUUUAAUUCUUUUAAUUUUUUUGAAUAAAAAACAAGAAAAAAUUGUCAUGGAUUUUUCUUUGUUUUAAAAUUGUUUGAACAAAAACAAACAAUGUGUAAAUACUGGUUAACCGCUCAAAUUAACCAAAAUCAAUCCGACUGGUAAAUAGGUUUCAAAAAAAUUUUGGUUUGAUUAACGAUUAAGGGUUUCAAAAUUUCAGUCAAUGAUAGAUUUGUUCGGGUAUUAACUGAAUCAAUCGUUUGAACACCCUUAGGUGACGAGAUCAAAGAGAAAGAAAAUGCAAAAAAAAAAAAUCACUUAGAGGGUAAGGAACAACUCUCUCACACCAAGGGGAACUUCAAGCUUGCAAAGACUAGAAGAAAAAGAGAUCUAAAUAAAUUGUCAUAAAUUCAUCAACUAUUUUAUCUAUAGAUCAUUUCUUUUUUACUUUUUACCAAUGCAAGUUGAUACAUGAACAGAUUGGGUGAACUUUAUUAAAUUCCAUUCACCAAAGCUGCCAAUUUUUAAGUUUGAAAAAUUAGUUAACUUGCGGUGACUUUUUAGAUGGGAUCAAAAAUUUUUCGAUUGAUAUGUCUUCACAGAGUUCUAAGAUCUAUUACUUAACUUCGAAACGCACUUUUAUUCACUCAAUUUUGAGUUCAAGAGCUCAAAUUAUGACGUUUUAAUGAUGACUAUGUGAGCAGAAUUUUUGGACGGGAUUAUUACGGAAAUUAUGACUAUUUUAUUUUAAAAUUAAUUCUUGCUUACAUCAAUUAAAGUUUCAAGAUACUUGACAAUUUUAUUUGGAUGUACUUAUCUAGCCUAUGUAAAGGCACCUUCAUGUUCAUUAGAGACGCAAUUGUUUCUGUUUAUUACUAAAAUUUCCAACUCUGAGAGUUAGUUUCUCUAUGCAAGAUUUGUUUCUUGUGAUUUUUAGAAGAUUUUUAGAAGUAGUUUUCCUCUCAAUUUUUUUAAGGAGUCAUGGGAAUUCAUUCUUCAUCCUUCAAUUUGCCAAUGAUUAUUUCUUGGUGCAUUGAUUAAAGCCAUUAAUUGAGUUUGUUCGAGUUUAUAUCUUAAAUGGUUCAAUUGAACACUGUCGUGUGUGAAAUGAUAUGUGAUUUGAGUAAGUAUAUAGUUGAAUCAAGUAAUAAAGUGAUGAGUGAGUAUCGUUCCCAAGAGGAUCGGAUUGAGGCAUAAAAUUGGUCAAGUUGUUAUAAUAAAAUAUGAUUAAUGCUAUGGGAAAGUCAAUGAUAAAUAUACAGUAGGAAUUAGUGGACUAAUGAUGUAAGCAAUAGGUGGAAUUAAUAAAUAACUAGUAAUGUUGUGGCAAACCGAGAGUAGAAAUGUAAUGAUAAUUAUAAGAAUUACUACGGGAAUAUUAUGUAAAUGAAUAAAUAAAUAACUAAUAAUAAUGUGACAAAUAUACUAUGGCAAAGAAUAAAGGAUAUACGAUGUGGAUUUGGAAGGUCGGGAUUACCCAAAAUCGACCCUUAUUGUCAAUAAUGCAUUGGCAAAAUCGUAUCUACUUUAAAGCACAGAAGAGUACUAAAAUGGCCUGCCUAUCAUGAUAGCAAAACCUUAAGUUACCUUGCCUGUGUCUAAAGGCUUUUUAGAUAUCUUGCAUGGGUUCCUUCUGUAUGAUCGUGACUCUAUGUCUAGAGUCUACUACAAGUGUCCAUAGAAUACUUGCUCAUUUCAUUUAAUUUUAAUCCAACCAAUCCAACCCUUUCAGAAUUAGAAUCAGUUUAUAAGUAUGUGAACAGUCUUCUAUGUCUAGAGAUCAUUUGCAUUUUAAUUAAGAUAUAAGAACAAUCAAAUGAAAUAGUAAAGUAAAUUAGAUAUAUGUUGCAUCCAUAAAAAUAGUUUAAGGUUUCAUCAAAAGUAAUCUCAACUCUACGAGAUUUAGCUCAUGGGCUGGGAAAUAAAAUUCCAAACCAAAAUAUUAUCCGACAUUGUGUUCAACUACUUCAAUCUUUUGAAGGAACACUGAUGGAAAUAACUAAAGAACUUUGGGAAACAACUUUCACUUGCCUAGUCCACACUUUGGCAGCACAACGUCCUAUGAUGGCUAAAAACGACUGCCUUCGACUUCAUUUCCUUUGCACAGCUGAACCCUUAUUCACACCUAAGGAUCUCUCCCACUUUUUUCUUCCAUUUGUGAGAUCCCCUUCAUUGGCUUUUAUAGAUAGAUUAGGCUAGGGUCAGCUAAGAACUUGUGAUUAUCUUCUCCUCUUUUAGAGAGAUUUAUCUGGUACAAGUUUGAAUUUGAGCUGGGACUGUUGUGCAAAAAAAUGUUGACUUUGUCUUCCCGGCAUUGCCAUGGCAACUGUGCUGGCAAACUAUCUGCACUUUUUCCCUGGUAAAACUUCACUCAUUUAUUUUCUCAUUCUAAAACAUGUUCCUGCCAUACCAACACACAAAAAACUCCACCACAAGCGAUUAAAAACACCUAAUUACAACACAAUCUAAGUCCCAAUGCAAUAUUAGAAAUGCUAGCUAAAAUGUCUUUAAAUGUAACAAAAUGUACUUAAGUACAAUCAAUUAGUUAGGUCUAAAGGCAUGAAAUAUAACUCUUUUCAAGAAUUAUCAGACAAUUAUCCAUCUAUCUGUCAUAUCCAUCGUUUAUUCAUUCCACCUUCCACUAUUUAUUCUAUAAUUUCUUUAUUUCUUUAUUAUUUUUAAUAUUUAUUAUUUAUUCUUAAAUUUUUCAUUUUAGUUAUUUUCUUUGGUUUUUUCUUGUUUUUCUAAAUCUGUUUGGUUUUUUCUUUUCAAGUUAGAUCGAAAUCUUUCUUUCUCGAGUCGAACAACUUGAAUAUGAUCUAUUGACAUUGUUCCCCUUAUCACAAGUUUAUUUUGAAUCUCCCUUUUGGUUUUCUCAACUCAAUAUGAACUAAACUCUGUUUUCUUGAAACAAUAAUGGAUCCUAUUUCUUAGUUAAUUGAUUUAUUUUUUCUUUGAUUGUUUCAAUCUUCGCUAAUUAUUUAUUAAGUUUUAUGUUUAUUUAAUAUGAUUGUCUGCCUACCAAGUUGUAAUAAUUUGAUAAUCUUGAUUUUUCUUGGAAGAGAAUAUUAAUGUUUAGAUCUAGACUAAAUAGAUUAAGAUUACCUUUAGUAACGUUAGUAUGACACCCUAAACCCGGACUAGACGCUAUGACUAGAUUUUUGAGGAAUUACAUCGACUCGUUUGAAAAACUAAUUAAAAAUAAACUUAGUUACACGUUUUGAAAACAUAAAAUUUGGCAAAAAUCUCUCACAAAUGUUUAAAAAAACUGAAGUUUGAAAACCUUUAUUUAAAAUCGAGAAUUUUAAUUUGAAGUCAUGUGUUUUAAAAGUACUAAUGUUGGCAAAUCAUUUCCAAAACUAAGGAAAACAUUUGUUAAAAACCAUUUAGUUAUUAAUGGAAAAACACUUAAGUGAUUACUUAAUCUUUACAACGGAAAUUUCUAGAGUUUUAAUUUUGAAAACCUAAUUUUUAGUUUGUUAAACCAUACAAUUUUGCAAUUUAAUGUUAAAACACCAAAAUCCAACCAACAUCAAAAGAACCAAAGAACAAAGCCCCAAAAAAAAUUUAUAGUCUAAAAUUGUAACACUCCAAACCUAUUUUUGUCGCCAGAUUAGGGUUACGAAGCAUUAUAUUACAAAUUAAAUCAUUUAACUUACAAUAAAAUGUUCAUGCGAUUUAAUUAAUAACAUUCAGUAACACAACUUAAUUAUAGCAAACUUACACUUAAAGGCCUUAAUCUGAACCUACGGGGCCCUAAAAAUAGUUUGAGAAUACUCUAGGAUCGAUUUCAAAUAAAAUAGAAAAUUUUGGAAAACUUGAAAACAAGGGUCACACGGCCAUGUGGCCAAGCCGUGUGACAUAGUCCAGACCAUGUGGACAUUCGAAGUUUGGACACACGGUCGUGUCGCAGGCCAUGUACCAAUCUGUGUUACAUAUUGACUUGUGAUACACAGUCGUGUCGUGAGCCGAGUCUUAGAUUGUGUGAAACAUGCACCUAAAAUAAUAAUGACACACAGCCAUGUGAUAACCCGUGUCCCAGGCGGUGUGCAACAUAAGUUGCUUCUAAAUCAAGCCAUUUCAAUUUCAAAUCUUGUACACCAAGACACACCAUUUACACAAACAUUUAUAUAACCAAAACACAUUUUAAACACAUUUAAAACAUACCAAUUCCAUCAACCUAUAAGACUAACUAAUGUACCAACAAAUAUUAUACCAUUCAACAUUACAAGUUCAUUUAAUCAAAUUAGAUCAAACAUACCAACAACCAUUUCAAAAACAUACCAAAUCCACCAUCCUUUAAUAUCUAACCAAUAUGCCAAUGAAGGCAUCACAAUAUACAUAUCAAACUUAAUUCAACAUCUCAAGAUCCUAACUUAAACCUAUACCAAUCAUGCCAAAUAACCAUUCCAACAACAUGUCAUUUUACCAUAUGACAUCUAUAAUCAAUAAAGCAUGCAUAAGGGUCCAACCACACAUAUUUACACCAUUAUUUACAUGCCAACAACUAACAACAUUAAUCACAAGAAGCUUGACACAACUCAAAACAAGUCAAAUCACUGGAAUGACCUUUAAGCCCUAUUACAUGUCAUUUAUAACCAUUUACCAAAUAACCAAAAACUAUCAAAAUUUUGAAUGGAUAGUGUGAUUGUGCUCCAACAUGAUUCUAACCGGUCGAGCUUCUGAUGAACUAUAAAAUAGAGAAAAAUAACUAUGUAAGCAACUAAUGUUUAGUAAGUUCAUAUAAAGGAAAUUUAACUUACUGAAUAUUUUAAGUUAAAAAACCAAGCAUAUUAUCAUUAUGUUUUAAGCCAACUUUCCUUUCCUAUACACACCACCUCACAAGGAUAGUUGGUGUAACAUAUCAUAUAUAAUUCGAAUCAAAACAUGGUAUAAAAUAUAUAUACAUUUCACUUUCAUAAUUCACCACUCAUACAUAUAUACUAAACCAUAUUUCCUUUUCAAUUAAACAUUUCAUCAUAAUCCAUAUCAUUACUCAAAUAUCAUAGUUCAUUUCAUGUAAUCACAUACCCUUUAAAGCUUUAUUUACCCAUUAAACCAAAUGAAACAACCUCAAAUACCUGGAAAAUACUCAUAUAAGUAUUUAAUUCUCUAAAAACACCAUAAACAUAACUAGAUAACAUGUUUAUAGACAUAUGAAUCAUAUAAUUACACCAAGGCAUUAAUAUUUAUUCUCAAACUAUACUAAUCAAAACAUUCGUCUCAUAUGAUUCAAUAUAAACAAUGGCUCAAACCAAAGCAAUCCAUGCUUAUAUAUAUAUACAUAAAAAUAUAAUUGUACAUAAAUCAAACUUAAUAGUAAUUUAACAUUUAAACAUAAAAUUCAUGGCCUGUUGAACUAUAGCAAAAUGACUUGGAUACUCAGGUUUCCCCCAAGCAUCAAAAUGCUAACAGAGGCACUGUAGUGCAAAUACAGUGGCACCGAAGUGCAAAGAAAGGCACUGAACUGUAAAAAGAGGCACCAAAGUGCGAUCCCAUAAUGCGUGCAUACUAACCCUAUUGGCAUGCCAAUUGUAUCCCCAAUACGAACUGACCUUGUAACAUCCUAAAAAUUAGGGGUUAAUAGAAUCGGUCUCGUGAAUCGAGAAAGAGUGGUCAUGCCUUAAUUUUUUAGAUUAUCUAUGCAUUUUUUAGGAAAUCAAUGAGGUGUUGGUUUGUUGGAAAAGUGUUAGUGAAACGUUCCUUGAAACCCAAGUUCAAAUCCCUUCUCUUUCACUAUUUUUAUUAUUUUUCUAAUUUUUCCUUAAACCCUAAUAUGUGACAUGCCUUAUUUUUAAAAUAAAUAUUGCAAAAUUAUUUUAAGAAUGAGGAAAAAUCCUAAUGGUUAAAAGAAAUAUGAGAAAACAUGAAAAUUAAAUGAGGUCCUAAUUUCGAAUCCUUUCCCUUGCGAAAUAUUAAAUUUUGCAAAAUCCUUUGUUUUUUUAAUGUGUGUAUCAUCCAUACCCUUGAACCCUAAGUAUAAAUAAAAAAUUUUAUUGUAUUUUUUAGCCUUUAAUUCAAUUUUCCCUACCCUAUUUGUUCACCAUCUUCGUCUCCACUUUUCUCUUCAAUUUUCUUUCUUUCUCCCAUUGUUGUCGUCGCCUAUACCUCCCAUUUACCAUCUCUUUCUUCUUUUUUUUGCAUCAAGAUUGUGCACCAUCUCCUUUACUCUAUUGCUACCAUUUAUCCUCAUCUAAAUUAACCCCAAAUUUUAAAUCUUAAACCCCAAGAUCGAUCUUGAACAUUACGAAGAAAGUGUCAUUGUCGUUUCUCUCAUCUAGCUUGGGUAAGAUCUCUUUUCUCUUCAAUUUCUUAAUUAAUCUUGUCAAUUAAAAAGAAAAAUUUUUAGAUAUAUAAUUUUGGGGAUUUUAAAUAAAUUAAAAUUUAUUUUUCUAGAUUUUAAUGAGAUCUCAAACUAUUUCAAAAUUCAGCCCCAAUUUUGGCCACCAUGGGUGGUGGUAUGUACACUUAUGUGCAAGAAAGGGGGUUGUUCUGUUUCUUGGUUCUUGCCCAUAUUUCUCCAGCAUUAAGUUGAGUUUUUGAAUCCUCCUAAUAAAUAUUUAAUCACAUGUUAAUUAGGGAAAGAUGUAACACCCCAAAUCUGACCUAGAAGAUUAAGCCGAAUUUGAAUGAGUUACACCAACAUGCGAAAAACUGAUUUCUUUUCAAAAUAUUAACUUUGAAAACCAAAAAUUCAUUUAGUUGACUUAGGUGGAUUUUCAUUUUUGUGUUAGAAAAUGACAGAUAUUGACGAGAUUAUCAAAAGAAAAGUAAGGCAAGUCCAAAAACAUAUUACAACCUAAAAGAUCAAAUCAUAGUUAUAUCAAUGCAAAACAAUCCGAGCUCCUGUACGUUGUCCGGUCGUAAGUCAGAUGUCCUCCUGAACAGAUUAAGAUAAGACAAAGCGUGAACUACCAAGUUUCGUGUAUAACCAAACUUAAAUACAAAUAAACAAAUUUUAUUAUAUAAAUCAAAGUAACUCAAAUAACUUAAUAAUAAUUUUAUAACUAGUAUGGAAUAGUUCUAGAGUAUCAUGAAAAUUUCCACAAUGAUAGUACAACAGAACUGAACACAAGAGAAUGAAGCAGAACAUAAUAAAUCAAGCAAAAUAGAACCAAAUAGAGUAGAGCAGAAUAGAACAGAAUAGAGCAGAGUAGAAAAUGUGUUAUGCAGAUGUUGUAUUUUUCAAGCAGAUCAGAAUGCAAAAUUAUCAGAAAACAACCUACCCAAACUCUGCUGCAAAUCAAAAUAGAAUUCCCCCAUAACUCGUCCAGUCAAAUCACACCAACAAAUAAUUGUGGAUGGUGCCACUAGAAUUUUGUAGUUAAGACUACCAAAUCGAUUACAUAUGGUCAAGCCACUAUAGUACAACUAAGUUGUCAGAACAGAAUUAUGGAUAAACCACCAGAUAAUGCAGAUCAUUAAUUGCCAGAAACUUUCUCCUUUCACAUCAAUCCAAAUCCCAUGCAACGUGUCAUGACAUACACAUGCAGAAUCAGAGUGAUGAGCAUGUAAGUCAUGAUAUCUUUCAAUAACAAAAUCAGGAGACAUAAGAGUCCAUGUUUUGUAAAAUAGACUAAUCAAACAUCAACAGAUCAUAUCAUAUUUACGAUGAAGUCACAUACAUGGCUAUAAAUAAGAAUCAAUAACAAUUAGUCUAACUUUUUUAGAUAUCGUGUAUUCCUCAUCAAUAAAGUAACGUAGAUGGCUAUAAAUUAGAAUCAGUAACAAUCAAUCUAACAUAAUCAGAUGUCGCAUAUUCUUCAUCAAUAGAGUAACACAGAGGCAUACCAACAAAUUUAAUAGAAUACAGAUUUUAUUUGGAUAGUUCACACAUAACAAAAAAUAGCAUGUUAUGUUCUAACAGAUCCUACUCACUUAGGUUCAAACAUAGCAGAUAUGCGUAUAGAUCACAAGUUGUUCAUCAUCAUAUCAUCAAAUAUCAAGUUAUAUACCCAAUCCAAAUCGUACGGACCCUAUAGUACGUCGACGUUCGUUUCAAAUGAUGCUUGUGGCCCAAGGGAAAAAUUCCAAAUAUUGCUUCACAUGCCCAUGUGGUUUCACACGGCUUGGAGAACUGGCCCAUGUGAUUCCACAUAGUCUGGCACAUGCCCGUGUACUUGCCCUUGUGUCCCACACGACCUGACACAUGCCAGUGUCAUAGACCUGUGUGAACCCUACACAAUUCAUAACCACACACGAUUUGGGCACACGCCCAUGUGCCUCUAAUUUUGUGAACAAUAAGUUACACAGCUUGCCACAGAGCCAUAUGGCAUUGGUAGUCCUAUUUUUGACGACUAAAAUUUGAAGAAGAUGGGGUUUUUGAUACCCACCUGAUACGGACUCGAUGCAGGAAUAACAAGGAUAAAUUCCUGUCCCUAAACGACAAGCAAUUGCCCAACAAAUGAUUAAUUCAUAGUCAAACCACUAAAAACUGACAUUCAAAAAUUGAAGUUACCUCAAAGAACUUUAGACACCAAAACUUUAAAUUGAACUUACCGGCCAGCGAAUUAAUUAGAAGGAGAAGUUAGACCCCAUACACAAUCGGCGUAAUGUAACAUAACAAAAAGGUCGUUUGAAAAUAAAAAAUGAGGAAACUGAAGAACUGAAACAAAAUGAUAGAAAACGUCACAGAAAAGAAAGAACAAAAUAAAAAUAAAAGCACUGAAGGUUUUUGGAAGGCUUUAAAUAACCAACUGAAACUAACUACAUUAUAAAAAAAUUCAAAAACAAAACAUUCCCUAUUUUUUUCACUGAGAUUCGAACACAAUACUAAGGAUUAUGAAGAAACUUAAUCAUUGAACCAACAGGCUCAUUCUUGACAUCAAUUGCCUAAAUUUACCUUAUAAGUCAAACAUUCAAGGUAAGGGUUUAAGCAAAGUAACAAAAUUUAAAAAAACAAGAUUCAAACCUAGAACCUGACACAUAUAACCAUAGCACUUAACCACUAAGCCAGAUCAAUUUACUUGUUAAAUUUUCCAAUAUCAAAACUCAAAAUCGAAGGAUGACCACUCUUGGUUUCAAAACCGCAUUUCUUUUAACCUAAUUUUUGGGAUGUUACAAAAGGCGUUCUUGAUCAAUUAGCCAUUCGAAUAUCACAAUUUGGGAAGUAUAAGUACGAUUAAUUGUAAACUAGUUUGUUAUUUCAACAUAAUUGUUAGGUAAAGGUUAUAAAUUGGUUAAAUGAAGGAAUUUAAUCAUUGAUUAACUACUAAUUUCCAGUAUAUUAUUGAAUUAGGUGCUGACCCAAACACCCCAAAUCAUUCGUUAAGGUGAAGAAUGAUUGUACAUACGAUUCGCAUCGAUAUAGUUUAAGGAAUCUAACUAGUUUGAAUUCAUAAAAUAGUUAUAAUUUCAAUGAUUAGUUUCAACUCAUAAGUGGGUGUUUGAGGGCUGGUUUAAUGCUAAAUUGAUUGAAAUUAUACUACAUUUUGGUUUAGGUUCAUUUAAGGAAUUAUUAAGAAAGAUUGGAAGAUUUGCUAGUAUGUAGCAAGGAAGCGAAAAAUAAUGUGCGGGUCCUAAACUCAUAAAAUUGUUUGAAAAUGUUAAAUAUCAUGUUAUAUGUGAUAAAUUAGCUUGUUGAUUGGAUUGGCUUAAUAGCCAAGUUAUUGAUUUUGUGAGUGGCCGAACCAGGUAUGUUUUGAGCCUUAAAAGAUUGACAUGUUAGCAAAAUUGCUAGUUUGAUAGUAUGUAUAUUUGAGUUAUGAGAUAUGAGAAUGUUUGACUGAAUGAUAUAAUAUGUUGAGAUAUUAAGCUUAUAUAUGAUUUAAACGCAUGAGAUAUUUGUUAUAUUGUGUAUUGAAAAAGUUGCUACUUAAGUACAAUGAAAAUCUGUAAAAUAUGUGAAAUUGAAUGAUAUUGAUUGAUACCAACACAAUGGUAAUUUGAAAGAUUAGAAGAUUGUUUCCAUUUACUAAAAGUAUAAAAGUAUGUGAUUAUUGAGAACAUGCUAAGCAUAUCCAAUAAAUGUGAAAAUUAUUGAGAUAUUAUUAUGUAUGAGAUUGUGUGACAUUUUGCAUAUGCAUUAGGCUAGGAUUGUAACGCCCCAAACCAGGCCUAGGAGUUAUGACCAAAUCUGGAGGUGUCACAGAGAGGUGUUUAGCAUAAAACUUGUUGUCAUUGAAAUCUUUAAAAUCAAUUAAUCAUUUUUCAUUAAACAUUGAUUCCAAAACAGGUUGUUUCUUUCCAAGCGUGCAUCAUUAAAAGCUAAUCACUUUUAAUACGUUAUACAUUUUUCAAAAUCUCAUUUGUGCAGAAAUGUUGCGAAAAUGUGGUGUCUUUGAAAACAAUAAUUAUUUUGAAAACUCAUCUUUUCUAAACUAGCAGUUUAAAGUAAAUAACCAAAAAGUCAAAUUAAAAACUUAAACAAACUUAAAAAGGCCCUUAUUACAUAAACAACCCAACACAAACUUUAAAUUUAAAUGAAAUCUAAUAAUAAACAGCUGCAGUAGUGUGGCCACAUCCGAGUCCCUCACAGAACCAAAUCACCUAAGGCUGAGGAUUAGCUGAAAGUAAAUAAAAGAAAGGGUGAGUUAACAAAAACUAGUGUGUAAUCCCCUAUCAGUCAACCAGUAUACAACAUGCAAUAACAAUCUGGGCCUGAGCCCUAUUCAGUGACAAUACAGUGUGGGCCUUAGCUAGUACAGUAUCAAUAUGGGACUUAACCCUAUACAGUAACAGUGUGGGCCUUAGCCCUAUACAGUAUCAGUACACUGCAAAAAUGUUACCUAUCCCAAUCCAGCCAACACACCACUCCGUACCACCAACACACCAUGUGGGGAUAAAAGUAACCCACCAAACCAACACAACAAUAUCGUAGCAAACUGCUAGUAAUAGUAUUGCAGUAAUAUGUGACAAAGCCACCAGUAGGUCCACAGUCAUCUUGGGUGACCCGUUCGACUUUAUCAGUACAGUACACUUCCUCCAAAUAUCACAACCCAACCCCAUACAGUAUGUCGUGACAUAAUAUCGUACGUGUAUGCAAUAUGUCAAGCUCAAUCACAGUCAUACAUAUCAUGGAGCAAAUCAGUCAUACAUAACAUAAGGCUAUAACAGUCAUUUCAUCUCCUAGGGGUAUAACGGUGAUUUUACCCAUUGGGGGUAUCUCGAUCAUUUUACCCAUUAGGUGUAUUUCGAUCAUUUUACCUAUCAAGGGUAUUUUGGUCAUUUUACCCUUCAAAGGUAUUUCAGUCAUUUUACCCUUCAGGGCUAUUUUAGUCAUUUUACCCUUAAGGGGUAUUUCAGUCAUUUUACCCUUCGAGGGUAUUUUGAUCAUUUUACCCUUCGUGGGUAUUUUGGUCAGUUUACCCUUCGAAGGUAUUUCGAUCAUUUAACCAUUCGAGGGUAUUUCGGUCAUUUUACCUUUUAAGGGUAUUUCGAUCAUUUUACAGCCCAUUUUGGCCUAAGCUCAUAAAAAUGCUCAUAGAAGCCUCCACAGUCGAACACCAUGUUUAGUGGGUCCUAUUUACCACACGAGCAUUCACACGAUCAUAUGGUCUCAACGCCGUCUUUUCAACUUUUUAGCUUUUGUCGAUUUACAGUUGAAAGGGUAUGAUUACACACCUGAUUGUGAAGACGCGUUAAAUCCUCAAACCUCGAACCUAUACUUGGCAAACAAACUUCGUUAAUCGAUUACACAAUUAUACAAUUAAUUAAACUUAAGUUGUUACAGUCGCUCACUUACCCAACUUCUGUCGAGCGAAGAAGAACAGUUUGCUUACUCAGGUAUUCGCCAACCCUCGUCCCUUCACAACAUUCCUAGGCACCAACUGUAAUUGGUAAGCACUUAAGUUGAUUUGCUAAGGGAGAAUCACUUAUUUUGCUAUACUUACCCAACGUACGAGAGUACAACGACGAGAAGUAGCCCGACGAUUGACCCCAAAAAGGAAGGGGAAAAUGGCAAUCAGAGGAAAUAAGAGGGGGAGGAGUUGAUUGGGAAGAAGCCGAAUAGGUGAGGAGGAAAAAGAAAAGGAAAGGUGGGGGAGGAUAGUUGUGAAAGUCGGCUAUAAGGAGAGAGAAGGGUUUGGCCAAAAGGGAAGAAAGAAUCGGGUUGGGGAGGAAGGAUGAGAGAAGAAGAACAACAAAAUAAAGAGGGGAAAAGGAGAGGAGUUUUCGGCAGCAAAAGAAAAGAGGGAGGGGAGAGUUUCGACCAAAGAAGGAAAAAGAAAAAGAAAAGAUGAGUAGAAACGAAUUUGAUACUUGCCAAAAUGUGCAGUUAACUCGAAAAAAUAGUAAACAAAAGUUGGCAAAAGCUUUCACAGAAAGAGGCAAAACACUCCCAAAACUGAAAGCUUCUACUGUCAAGUGACAAAUUCGGCACAAGCCUAGCCGAAACCUUGAGUACUAGUGCCCCAAAUCGGCACAACUCUCCCUCUCAACCACUCCUUUAUUUUCUCCACAAUUCUCUACCCUUAUCACUCUACCGUUUUCUCAUCAACUUCCUCCAUGACCAAUUCAAACUUCCUUCACCAGCAAUCUACUCCAACUCUACCACUUACAAAGCUCAAGCAGCAAAAUAACAAUUCAUUACGCAACCCAAGACUUGAACCUCAGACCUCACAGUUACAACACAUGCCACCUUGCCACUAGACCACAAGCCAUUGUUGUGACAUGAAAGGUUUACUAUUAUAUAUAAGGUUUAUAUGCUAGUGUCUAGAUUCAUUAAAGAGCAAAACUAAAAAUUUUGCAUAAGCCAAGGCUUGAACCCCUGACUUCUCAGACAUUUCCAAACACUCUUAAAUCACUUAACCACUAAAGCAGACAUUCAUUUAUGUCAAUUCCUUGCACAAUUAAAUAUUUAUGUAUAGUCUCCUAAUUGUUCCCUUGCUCAAAACCUAUUUCUUCUAGGCCCAAAAUUUGGGGUGUUACAAUUCACCCAUUCUUAAAGAAAUUUUUUCCGUGAAAUUUCCAAUUACCAGAUCAGUUGCAUCACACAGGCUCCACCACUACACUUCCACUGUGCACUCUAGUUCCAAAUUAAGUAUAUGGCCAAACGAUGAGGACCCAACUCGAGCACCUUUACGGCCUCUACCAUGGCCUAUUGUACCUCGUCUGUGUGUACCUCUUGUGCUCAUAUAAAAUAACGUAUUAUCUUAUUACAAAAUUUUAUGUAUCAGUUUGUAAUUUUAGUAAUUAUUAAUAGAUGUCUUAUGAAAAGUAGUAAUCAGAGCUUGUUUUUGCAAAUCAGGGUUUCCGUACAAUUUUCAGUUUCCUAUAUUCUCAGUUUUCUCUAACUAAAGAGUUUCUCUACAGUCCUACUAUCUAUAGUAGUCUCUCUGUAUAUUUCAGUUAAAUCAAUCUACAAUAUAAAGAAAACUUAUGGAUUUGGUGCUGGAGACUCGGUCUGCCACACUUGUAAACCCUCCAAAUCACUUCAAAAAUAGUUUUCUAAAAAUUUUCAAUUUUUUUGAAACCCGUUCUACAACCGAGUUUUGCAACUUGUCUCUAAUACAACUAAAUGUACACCCCAAACCCGACCUAAGAGUUAUGGCUGAAUCUGGCGGUGUCACAAAAAGGUGUUUAGCGUAAAACUUAUUGUCAUUGAAAUCCUUAAAAUCAAUUAAUCAUUUUAUUAUUAAACAGUGAUUCCAAAACGAGUUGUUCGUUUCCAAGCGUGUAUCAUUAAAAGCUAGUCACUUUUAAAACGUUAUAAAUUUUCCAAAAUCUCAUUUGUGUGAAAACGUGGUCUCUUUAAAAACAGUAAUUAUUUUUAAAACUCGUCUUCCCGAAACUAGCAGUUUAAAGAAAAUAAGGAAAAAUCCCAAUUAAAAACUUAAACAAACUUAAAAGGCCCUUAUUACAUAAACAACCCAACACAAACUUUGAAUUUAAAGGAAAUCUAAUAAUAAACAGCUGCAGUAGUGUGGCCACCUACGAGUCCCUCACAGCACCAAAUCAUUUAAGGCUGAGGAUUACCUGAAAGUAAAUAAAAGAAAGGGUGAGCUUACGAAAACUUAGUGUGUAAUCCCCUAUCAGUCAACCAGUAUACAACAUGCAGUAACAAUCUGGGCCUGAGCCCUAUUCAGUUACAGUACAGUGUAGGCCUUAGCCAGUACAGUAACAGUAUGGGCCUUAGCCCUAUACAGUAAUAGUGUGGGACUUAGCCCAAUACAAUAACAGUGUGGGCCUUAGCCUUAUACAGUAUGAGUAUAGUGCAGAAAUGUAACCCAUCCCAAUCCAGUCAACAUACCACUCCGUACCACCAACACACUAUGUGGGGAUAAAAUCGACCCACUCAACCAACACAACAAUAUUAUAGCAAAGCUACCAGUAAUAGUAUUACAGCAAAGCUGCCAAUACGAGCAUAUGUGGCAGAGCCACCAGAAGGUCCACAGUCAUCUUGGGUGACCCGUGCGACCUUAUCACUACAGUACACUUCCUCCAAAUAUCACAACCCAACCCCAUGCAAUAUGUCGUGACAUAAUAUCGUACGUGUAUGCAAUAUGUCAUGCUCAAUUACAGUCAUACAUAUCAUAGAGCAAAUCAGUCAUACAUAACAUAAGGCCAUAACAGUCAUUUCAUCUUUUAGGGGUAUAACAGUCAUUUUACCCUUCAAGGGUGGGUAUUUCGAUCAUUUUACCCUUCAGGGGUAUUUCGAUCAUUUUACCCUUCAGAGGUAUUUCAAUCAUUUUACCCUUCGAGGGUAUUUCGAUCAUUUUACCUUUCGAGGAUAUUUCGGUCAUUUCACCUUUUGAGCAUAUUUUAGUCAUUUUACCCUUCGAGGGUAUUUCAAUCAUUUUACCCUUCGAGGGUAUUUCGAUUAUUUUACCUUUUGAGGGUAUUUCAGUUAUUUUACCCUUCAAGGGUAUUUCGGUCAUUUACCCUUCAAUGGUAUUUCGAUCAUUUUACCCUGCGAAGGUAUUUUGAUCAUUUUACCUUUUAGGGGUAUUUUGGACAUUUUACCCUUCGGGGGUAUUUCGAUCAAUUUACCCUUCAAGGAGUAUUUUAGUUAUUUUACCCUUCGGGGCUAUUUUGGUUAUUUUACCCUUUCAGGGUAUUUCAGUCAUUUACCCUUCAAGGGUAUUUCGGUCAUUUUACCCUUUGAGGAUAUUUUGAUCAUUUUACGGCCCAUUUCGGCCUAAGCCCAUAAAAAUGCUCAUGGAAGCCUCUACAGUCGAACACCAUGUUUCGUGGGUUUGAUUUACCACACAAGCGUUUACACGCUCAUAUGGUCUCAACGUCGUCUUUUAGGCUUUUCGACUUUUGCUGAUUUACAGUUGAGAGGGUGUGAUUACACACCUAAUUUUGAAGAAGCGUUAAAUCCUCGAACCCCGAACCUAUACUUGGUAAACAAAGUUUGUUAAUCGAUUACACAUUUAUACAAUUAAUUAAACUUUAGUUGUUACGAUCGCUCACUUACCCAACUUUGAUCGAGCGAAGAAGAACGGUUCAUUUACUCAGGUAUUUGCCAACCCUCGUCCUUUUACGAGAUUCCUAGGCACCAACUGUAAUUGGUAAGCACUUAAGUUGAUUUGCUAAGGAAGAAUCACUUAUUUUGCUAUACUUAACCAACGUGCAAGAGUACGAAAAAAGAAGUAGCGCGACGAUUGACCCUAAAAAGGAAGGGGAAAAAGGCGAUCAGAGGAAAUAAGAGGGGGAGGAGUUGAUUGGGGAGAAGCCAAAUAGGUGAGGAGGAAAAAUAAAAGGAAAGGUAGGGGAGGAUAAUUGUGAAAUUCGACCACAAUGAGAGAGAAGGGUUCGGCCAAAAGGGAUGAAAGAAUCGGGUUGGGGAGGAAGGAUGAAAGAAGAAGAACAACCAAAUAAAUAGGGGAAAAGGAAAAGAGCUUUCGGCAGCAGAAGAAGAGGAGAGAGGGGAGAGUUUCGGCCAAAAAAGGAAAAAGAAAACGAAAAGAUAAGCAGAAACGAGUUCAAUACCUGCCAAAAUGUGCACUCAACGCGAAAAGUGAGUAACCCGAAGUUGGCAAAAACUUUCACAGAAAGAGGCAAAACACUCUCAAAACUGAAAGCUUCUACUGUCAAAUGACUAAUUCGGCACAAGCCUAGCCGAAACCUUGAGUACCAAUGCCCAAAUUAGUACAACUCUCCCUCUCAACCACUCUUCGAUUUUCUCCCCAAUUCUCUCCCCUUAGCACUCCACCGUUUUCUCCUCAACUUCCUCCAUGACCAAUUCAAACUUCCUUUGGCAGCAUUCUACUCCAACUCUGCCACUUACACGACUCAAUCAGCAAAAUAACAAUUCAUUGCACAAACCAGGACUUGAACCUCAGACCUCAUAGUUACACUACAUGCCACCCUUCCACUAGACUACAAGCCAUUUUUGUGUCAUGAAACAAACACUAUUAUAUAUAAGGCCUAUAUUCCAAUGUCCAGAUUCAUUAAAGAGUAAAACUAAAAAUUUUGCAUAAGCCAAGGCUUGAACCCCUGACUCAUCAGACACUUCCAAACACUCUUAAAUCACUUAACCAUUGAAGCAGACAUUCAUUUAUGUCAAUUCCUUGCAUAACUAAAUAUUUAUGUGCAGUCUCCUAACUGUUCCCUUCCUCAAAACUUAUUUCUUCUAGGCUCAAAAUUUGGGGUGUUACAGGGAUUUUGUGGUUGACAGAGGAGUUCUGUGGAGUACCGACAACAUAUUUAGUCCACAUCAUUCGUAGUCAGUCCACUGCACCUGAAGUUUCGAGAGAAAUCAUAGGAUCUAUUGUUUUAAAGCUUGGUUUAUUUUAAAAAAAUGGUGAAUCUCAUAAUAGUGAGCUAAUUCAUGACUUUAAAACAAUUUUUAACUUAUUUUGGCAAAAUUAAGAGGUUUAUAAACUUGAUUUAAUAAAUCCUUAAAGGAAUUGCAUGAAUCAAAUGAUUUUUCUUCUUGAGAUUGAAAAUGAAUAUGAUUUUUUGAAAAAUGUUGAUUUUAAGAAUUGAGUGAAAUUAAUGGCCUAGAUUUGUAAUUAAACCUUACUUAUGAGAUUAGGAUGUAAGAAUUGGGGAUUUAAUUUAACUAAAAUGAAGUAACUAGAAGUUUAAAGUCACACGAAGUAAGCUCGCUAAAUUUAGAAGAGUGGUGAGCUGCUAUGUUUAUUAAGAAGGUUAUUAUGUCUGUGAAAGUAGUAACCUGUAUAUUUUCUUGUUUUAUGCAAAGCCUCUCAAUGUGAAGGAGCAUCCAUGAGCAAGGAAAAAGUCAAGCAAAAGGUGGUAUAGCUUCGAUAGUAUCAACAAACAACUAGUGAGUGCCCUUGCACACUACGUCAAAAACACUAGUUCGCAUGCUAUUGAAAGCAAAGUAAGGCAUGCAAACUGCCUGAUUUAAUGUGUGAAGCUCAUUAAAAUGAUAUGUGAACACUGUUAUAUUUCCAUACAAGCCUCUGUAGUUAUGCGAGCCCCGAUUUGUGACCUGCAAACCUUGCUAACAUGUAUGUAUGCAAGCCUAUGAUGUGUGCGAGCUCUAAAUUGUUUACAAACUCUAUGACCUUAAUGCAUGCGAGCCUAUACUUUGAUGUAUGAGUUUAUGUAUACAUGUUGAGUGGACCUAUGUAUCAUGCGUGCUUAUAUAUGUGAUGCGAGCCCUAAGAUCAUGCGAACCUAUAUAUGUGAUCAAGCCCUAUAUUGCAUGCAAGCCAAAAAAUGUUGUGUAAGGCCCUGUAUUAUACGAGUUUAUGUUGCAUACCAGCCCUAAAUAUAUGUGAGCCAUAAGUGUUAUGCGAAUCGAUGUUAUUACGAACUUAUGUAUAAUGCGAGCCCUACAGAAAUGUGAGUUGUGUUAUUGAGAACUAUUAUAUAUGAGAUCUGCUAUAUUGUGAGCCCUUUUAAAUUGUAUGAAGUGAAUGUGAUAAAAAUCAUAUGUUGGCAUUGUGAACACUUGAAACCUUUAGAUAUCAUUGGCAUGCCAUAGGAUUGUGAGUACGCACCCUUUUUACUAUGUGAUAGGGUAUUAUGGCCUAAAGAUAGCAUUGGAGAGAUAAGGGAAUGUCGAGCUUAGCUUCAAAACCGAAGAUAGUAUGGAGUGUUUAGAGAGUGUGAGCACUCAUGCUACACUUACCAAAGAUAGUGCAUGACUCUCUAAGUCACUUGGAGUGUUCUGGAGAUCUGCUUACCCAAUGCGCACAUAAUAUGAUUUUGUUUCAUAUUCACAAAUUGCCAUUAUAUUACUAUGAUGAGCAUGAUUAUUAUAUUUUGUGUGAAUUGUUACAACAUGACUAGAUUUUAGCAUGAUUGAUGUGUUUUAUGUGUUGUGUGCUUGAGCAUUCACUGAGCUUUAAUAAGCCCACACUCCUUGCAUAUAUCUUAGAGAUAAGUAGCUCGCGUGACUAGUUGUGAAGCAUGGCAAUCCAGUGAUGCAACACAAGGCAAAUCCAUUCGAGUAUGUGAUUUGUUUUUACAAACCAUAUAGUGGAAGGCAAUAUGGGGCUGUCCUAAGGAAUUAGAUGUAAACCUAGAAUUUUUAAAUAAAUUUUGACAAGUUGUAAACAUAUAUUAUGGACUAUUUAAAUUUUGGAUUUUUGGACUUUAUAAGUGCUUGAUUGUAUGCUUGAUUGUUUGGAUUAUAAUACAUGAUUUUGCUAGGUAAAUUGAUGAACUAACAUACUUAUGUAGAACAAGGAGUUCGCCGAAUUUUGAGGUACACCCUUGAACCAGUUGUUUGGUUGAGAUAAAGUGAUAACAUAGAAUGCAUGUUAUAAAAGUAAUAACAUGUUGAAAGAAUACUUACGAGCCAACCUAGCAUAGUACGAGACAGGGGUUGUAAAGAGAAUAGGACCUCACCAUAACAUAGUGUUCAACAAUAGGGGUGAGUUCGUCAAAGGUAGGUUUCGUCAAACAAAAGUGUGUUCACCAAAAACCAUGAGUUCCCUAAUACAGUGCUCGCCAAAGUAUAGGGAGUCCACUAGUAUAGACUAGCUCUCUAUAACCUAGUAUUCACCAUUAGGAGGGAGUACGCCAAGCAAUAGGAGGUUCGUCAUAGUUAGUGCGUACGUCAGGAUAGUGAGUUUGCCUUAUUAGGUAGGUUCACCAAAUAGAGGAGGUCGCGAGUGAGCCAUCCACAUGAGGAGUCUAUUAAAACAAAAGGGGAGUUAUGUGUCCAGGAUCGCAGGGUAGUAGCAAACUAGUGGUUCAUAAGGCUAACAAAGAGCUGGGGGUUGCAACUAGCUCUUGAGCUAGUGCUCGCCAGGUUGAUGCGAGCUGCUAGGUUUCUAAGUGAGUGGGUUAGCAGGUGACCUAAACGUGAUUUUUUUUUGCUUUAUUUUUAAUGGUAUGUUUAGAAAGGCAUGCAAUUAGGAUUAAUUUUAAUAUGAUUUAUGUUGAAAAUGUGUGGUGUGCAUGGUUGGUUGGUGUGAUUUGUAGUAUUUUAAUAGAGAAUCAUUUUGGUAGCUAAUGUAAGGUUCAAAUUUUGGGUCAGACUAUCUCGUCCGAGUUUGGGGCGACACAAGCAUAGUCAUGAUACUAUAGUGGAAUGACUUCGUGACUAAAUGAGUUUAUAAUUAAUAGACGAAAAGCUGAAACUUCAAAUAUAAAUCAUUUUAGCCCUAAUUGCAUGUGUCCAAUUUGUCCCUUCGCUAGCUCGUUGAAAUCAUUAAUAAAUUGUGUGUUUGAAUCAAAAUGAAUAGAAAUAAAGAAAUGAGAAACAUUCAGGAAUGAUUAUACAUUUCUUCGAAAUGGAGAAAUGAAAUCAUUUGGAAAUGAAAAUGAGAAAUGAUUCAUUUGCAAAUGUAGAUGAAUUACUUAAAAAUGAUCAGGAGAAUGAGUUUAUGUUUUUGAGUUAUCUAAAAUCCAGAAAAUGAAAAUAAAUCAUUUGGUCAUAGUGAACAAGUUGAAUUGUGAAAUAUUAAAUAUAUUUUCUAAAAAAUUCUACCGGGUUAAAAUUGGGAUGAGAAAAUUAUUUAAUGUAAAAUAUUAAAGUUUAUUUUGGGAAAAAAAUAGAAUCGAGUUGGAUCAAUUUACAAAGUAUUGAGUCUAAAUGUCCGAGAAGUACCCAUAUUUGGAUCCGAUGUGAUAGAGACCCAAAAUCCCUUCAUGGAAUAUGAAAGGGUUACAAUCCUAGUAGGAAUACUAGGGGAUGCCAUCCACCUUACUCCUACUCUAAGUAGGAAGUUGUUUUACUAGUUGAAAUAAACUUCUACAAUUCAACAAGGGUUCUAUCUUCUCUUCUUAUAAAUAGAUAGCAUCAGUAGGGAUUUAUACACAACUUUAAAAUAUUGUUACUCUAUUGAAAAAUAGGGAGAAUUUAUUCUCAACUAUUAAAUAUAUUUUUCCAAUAUAACAUUUCUACUGGUUUCUAUUAAAUAAGAGAAAAUUUUAGGUUUCACCCAGAAAAGAAUAGAAAAUUUUUCUAGUUCUGUGUUUUGAUUCAAUUGGUUCAAGCCCACACUCGAAGCAUUUUGUGGUAUGAGAAUAGCGAAGUAGAUCAUUUGGUUGAAAGCUAGAAAACAUCAAGGAUUUGCUUAUUCAAAAACACAUGUACGAUUUCGGUUUAAUGUUUAUUGCCAUAAAUAUCACAAACUAAGUCUGUUUUCAAAAUUUUAAUUUUCCGCUAUAAAUAAAAUUGUUUUCAAACUAGAUUUUUCUAACAUGAUUUUGGUAUCUCUCUUCUCGAAUCUAGUGAUUAGGUCGCGAGUGGGGUGUUACAUCAACGUGAUCACAAGUUUCCACGAAGUGAGCGACAUGUUUACAUGGAUUUCCUUUACCAUCUAACUAUUGCGAUUUUAGAGGUGGAUAAUGUUCAGGCAUAUUCAAAUGAUAAAUCCUCCAAAUGUAUGACUUCGAGUAUGUAUAUGAAGGCGGAGCAACACUUGUGACUUCUUUGAUGGUUUCUUUAAUAAGCUCCUUGAGGUGAUCUAAAGAAACACUUUAAAGUCCUUCAACAAUUUUGAUUCCAACAACUUUGUGAAGAGGAUGUUGAGUUUCGUUGGAAAAGGUUUGGUUACUUCCACUAAGAUGUUCAAUUUGAUCAUCCAUUCCUUUUAUGCUUGUAGUAAGACUCUCCAUUAACUAUUGCGAUUUUAGAGGUGGAUAAUGUUCAGGCAUAUUCAAAUGAUAAAUCCUCCAAAUGUAUGACUUCGAGUAUGUAUAUGAAGGCGGAGCAACACUUGUGACUUCUUUGAUGGUUUCUUUAAUGAGCUCCUUGAGGUGAUCUAAAGAAACACUUUAAAGUCCUUCAACAAUUUUGAUUCCAACAACUUUGUGAAGAGGAUGUUGAGUUUCGUUGGAAAAGGUUUGGUUACUUCCACUAAGAUGUUUAAUUUGAUCAUCCAUUCCUUUUAUGCUUGUAGUAAGACUCUCCAUCUUUUUUGCUAGAGAUCUACUUAUUCGUCUAAGAAUGUAGUGUCAGUUAUCAUGACAUUCAUCACUCUGAAAUUUGGUUCUAAGGGAGAUGUUGGAGUAUAAUUUUCACUGAUUGACUCUUUUUUCUCCUUAAUGAUAACUGGCGAGCUACACUUGAUCCAUGAGUAGAAACUUCUCUUAAAUCAUGAGUUGGGUGAAGAAGCAUCAUAGAGUGGAUUGUCAUUUACCAUUAAAGAAGUCUGUUAAAAUAACUCUUAAAGAGCUUUUGUCUUUUGUUUAAUUCCAUAAGGAUAAGCAAGAACAUUGGUGCUUGAUGAUGAAGUGGAAUGAGUUGUAGGAUUAGCUUGAGCAGGCUUGUGAGUUGGUUUACUAAUGAUUAUCUUCUUUGAGUUUAAUGCAACUUUGAACUUUAACUUUUUGAGAGAAUAGAUAAAAGUCAAAGAAUGUCCCAGCAAGUGUAUUAGAAAUUUGUACAUACAAAAUUCAAGUUGAAAAUUGACUUGAAAAUUUGGCGUAUAAUUUUAUUUAUAACUUCGAAAAUACAAAGAAAAUUCUUUUAUUUUUUUUCUCCUAGAUUGAGCUUCGAUCCAUGCGUCAUCCAAACUUGAUCUACUUAGGGUAGAAUAUUGUUUUCUAUGAAAUAAAUAUUAUUCGUGUUUUACUAAUUCAACCAGGAUUCUCGUGUCUCUCCUAUAAAUAGAUAGUACUAGUAGAGCUAUUAACACAAGACAUAAGUUUCACAUAUUGUUAUUAUGCUAGAAAGUAGUCAGAACAUAUUUUCAAAAAAUAAAUUUUAUUUUUUGGGAAUUACAAUUCUAAUAGUUUCUAUUGAGUGAGAAUUACUUUGCUCUUGAAAGUAAUAAAUCAUUUAUGGUUUUGUGUUUAAUUUGUGAUUGUUCGAACCUACACUCGAAGCAAUUUGAGGUAUGAGAAUAGAGGAGAAGGUCUAGGAUCCAUCACGCUCAAGAGUCGAUUAUGUGUAGGGAAGGUUAUAGCAUUCCUACAAUGCUCAAAAUUGGUACCUUAUUAAUUAUGCAAUUGUCAAAAAAAAUUAAAGUUAAAAAAUUGAAAAUCUAAUGUUUAAUUGUGAUCUCUUAAAAUAAAUUACUUAUUUUCCAGUUUUAUUAAAAUUUCAUAGUGAAAUAAUUUUCGUUAUCUCCUAAUAUCCACAAAAAUAUUUUUUAAAGAAAACAAAACUCGUGAUACACUAAUUGUUGGAAAGUAAAACCAAGGAUCAGGCUAGUUGGAAGAUUCCACCCAAAGCAAGCCAAGGACUAAUCAUAGAAAAGUUAGUGUAUGUUAAAGUGAUGGGAAAUUGUGGAAAAUGUUUCUCAUUUAAAAAGAUGAAUUGUGACAAGUAAUUUCAUGGUGGUUAGGAAACAAAGAAAAUGACUUUAAAAAAAAGUCAGAAAAAGAAAAAAAAACACAGAAAACUAUAAAUAAAAUGGCCUGUCCACAUUCAUAAAAUUUAUAUUUUAUUCAUGGAAUUAUAAAUUUCAUAAAAUGGCUACUCUUUCUUUUCUAUUAUUUCAUUUUUGAUAUUUUUUGUCAAAAUUUGUCAACUUAUUUAUUUUGUUGAACUAUGUAUUUCAUUACUCAAUAAUCAAUUUGCUUAAACUAUUAUAAUUAAUUUUAAAAUUGAUUUUACCAGGGGCGUAUGGCUAGGGACAUGGGCUUGACCGAGCCAACUCAACCUAUACCAUCUGUUUCUAUUGAGUUUUGCUCGACUCUACGCCAAAGACCUAUCAAUGUUGUUGAAAUAUUUAACUUGUUGGAGAAGACUAACUGUAGAAAAGUAAGUCAAUGCUAAAGUGAUAUAUAACUCCAAAAACCAUCUUAAAAUUGAUUGCAUACCAACAAAUUUAAUGUCGACGUUUUUAUUUUUUAUUUUUUCGUGUAAGACGUUUUGUUGUUUUCAAAAUAGUUGAAAUUAUAAAAGAUAAUCAUGAGGUCUCAACAAAUUUUUUUUUUAAUUUCUUAAUUGAUGAAAGCAAAUUUAGGUAUCUCUAAAUUAAUUUGAUCAGUGGUUACCGCCUUGGAGGCCUGUGUCCAAUGAAAGUAUAUUUUAUAGAUUAACUUAUUAUUAAACAUUAAAAAGUUAUCUGAAAAAAUAUUUUUUUAUUAAUUUUGUUUUAAGUCACCAAAAUCUAUAUUGAACAAAUCAAAUUAAUAUAGAAAUCAACAUAGGAUAUUGGUCUAAAGCACUUAAAAAUAUGUUUCUAGAUCACUUUAAAUUUUUAAAAAAAAAUUAAAAAUUUGUUAAGUGUGAUCGGUAAAAAAAAUCACCUUUUAUAUAGAUAUUUUAAAAUUCUUUUAAAAGGAUAAAUUUGAGGUUUGCGUUGAGCUCUAGAGAAAAAAGUAGGUUUAAAAUUCUUCCCUUGUCUAAAACCCUGAUCUCCCCUUAAAAGUGUAAUAUACCUUGCCACUACACUCAACACUUAUUUCUUUUUUAUUAUUUCAUUUUUGCAAUGAUGAGACCUUUAAAAUUAUUCAGGUCAUUAUUUUACAUGAUCCUCUCCAUAAUUACUUUUACUUGUGAGAGAAAAAAAAAAGUCUAAUAUUGAAAGAGCCCAUCAAUAUGAAUAUGUUUCUCUUUUUUUUUUCCUUAUAUUAUUUAUAAAUCCUUUUUUUAAUAUCAUAAAAAUUGGUAUAGUUUAAUUAUCAAUAACCUUUUACUAACCUUUGAACUUGAGGAUAAAACACAUUUGAGCACAAUUAAACUCAAUUUUUUCUACACUGACAAUAAUACCAAUACUAACUCAACUUAAACUCAGUCAACCAUAUAUUUUAAUUUUUAAAUAUAAUAAAACAUGUGCAUCUAGAAUAAAUUUAGUAUAUAUAUAUAAUAGUGUACCAGGUUGCGUGGCGAAUUUUGUUAAUUUAAGUUUAGACAUGAAUUGCUGGUUUCAUAAUAGAUGUGUUUUUAUUUUUGUAAUUUUUAUGUCCAGGUUCAUCGUCGAUAUUUGUGGAAUUGAACUGCAAUUGAAAAAAAUAAUUUUUAAGAUAUUUUUUAUACACUAAAUGUUAGCUCUAUUACAAUUUAGACGUAUUUAAUUUUUUUUUGUUGAACAUAAGCUUAGAAAAUUAAGCGCUCAUCAAUCCAAAUGAAAAUUAUCAUCAGUCACCAGUGAUUGUCUAAUAUCUUCUUCAAGCUAGCAUCUCACAUAAUGCGGAGGAUCUUGCAAGAUAACCAGCUGCUCAAUUACGCCUCCAUCUUCUUUAGCUAUGCAAUCAACAAUUUUAUUGGCAUUCCGCUGAAUAUGUUGAAAUUUGACUUCCCAAUUUUUGGAACACCAAUAGUGAAUCUGUCUUACUUUAGCAACACUACUUAUUGUAGCCAACCCAUUACAAAUAAUUUCAAUCAACAUCUUGUUGUCACUUUUCAUCUCAACACAUCUGAAUCUUAUUUUCAGUCUUUCAAGAAUAGGUCUGGCUUCAAUCUAGGAAAUAUCAUUCAUACCUAAUACAGAGAUUAAAAUAAUAUAUUUAAUAAUAAAAAGACUAAUUUAAUCCAUUUCCUAUAAUACAAAUAUAUCCCAAAUAAUUUAAAAGUAAAUUUUAUGUUUGGGUUUUUGAUGUGUGAAAUAUUGAUGGAUUCUAAUUAAGUUUUGAUUGAUAAACUAAUAAAUGUAAUUAAAUAUAUUAUAAGAUACAAAAUUAUUGUUUGAUUGUUCCAUAAGUCGGUUUAGGUCACUUUCAUUGGGUGACUUACCUCUAAGUCUUCUCACGUCUACAUUAAUUCACAUUUUCUUUUGAAUUUCUAUUUAGAAAAAGGAUGUAUGGAGAGGGAAUUAUCAAAACAGGAUUACGAUAGUGUUGAAAAUAAUUAUAUGUUAGGAAAAAAUAUAAAAAAAGGUGUAUAUAAUUAGUUAAAUAUAUAUAAAUUUUCUAGCGUUACUAUAAUUUUAAAAUAUAUUAUUGUUAAAAAAUUUUAAAUUUCAUAUAAAAUUUCAAACAUAUUGUUAUUGAUUUUUUAUAGAAAAAUAUAUUUUGUUGUUAGUUUUAAGGCUUACAAAUUUUUAAAUAGUUUUAAAUAUUUUAUAAAGUAUUUAAUUUUUAAAAAAUAUAUCUUUUUAAAAGAGAAAUUCAUUAAUUGAUUUAAUGAGUAAGAUCAUACAAUUUGAAGGGAGAAAAAUAACAAACACGUUGUCCGCGUUGAAGGACAAGCUUUAUCAAUAUAACAAAAACUUCAGUUUCAACAUCAAUAGAUCAUUAUGGCACGUUGACGAUCGGCUUUGUCACAACUCAAGAACAAUAUAUUAAGAGUGAUUGCAAAUACUUAAUAUAAUAAGGAAAUCAGCAAUAGAUGGUCCAAAGCACUUAAAAAUAUGUUUUUAGCUCACUUUAAAUUUCAAAAAGAAAUUAUUUUUUAAUAAUUUUUAAAUUUUUGUUAAGUGUGAUGGGUCACAAAAAAAAAACCUUUUAUACAGAGAUUUUAAAAUUCUUUUCAAAAGAUAAAUUUAAGGUCUGCGUUGAAUUCUAGAGAUAAGAGUAGGUUCAAGAGUCGGUUAUGUGUAAGGAAGAUUGUACUAGCCCUACAACACUCAAAAUUGGAACUUAUUAAUUACGCAUUUGUCAAAAAAUUCAAAAUUUAAAAUUGAGAAAUUUAAUGAUUAAUUAUGACCCCUUGAAAUAAAAUACUAACUUUUCUAGUGAAUUAAAUUUAUUUGUGAAAUAAUUUUUGGUAUCUCUUGAUAUCCACAAAAAUAUUAAAAAUAUUUAAAAAAGAAAACAAAACUAAUAAAUUCACUUUAUUUAGAAAAAAGAUAUCUCCAAAUUAAUUUGAUCAAUGGUUCACUACCUUGGAGGCCUGAGUCCAAUGAAAGUAUAUUUUAUAAAUUAACUUAUUAUUAAACAUUAAAAAGAUAUCUGAAAGAAUAAUUUUUUAUUAAUUUUGUUUUAAGUCACCAAAAUCUAUAUUGAACAAAUCAAAUUUAGUGACCAAAUUAAAUAAAAUUUUAAGUUUACUUUCAAAGUUAAAUAUGAGUUAAAUGGUAAAUUUACUUGUAUUUUCAAAGUGUAAUGAUAAACAUCAAAUAAAAUAUAGUGAUAAAUUUCAAUACACUUAUAAUAUAGUGGCAAAUUUACACUAUAACUCAAGAAUUAUUGAAGUUUUUAUCCCCAAAUCAUCCACAGUUUGUGGAAGAGCUCGUCAAUUACUAAAGUUUAGCCCUAAGGACCCAUUUGUGUUAAUUAAGUUAACAUUUACUAUUUAAAAAACAAUUUUUUAUUUAACAGAGUUAAUAUUUUUAAAGUUUUAUGGUUUUAUAAAUGAAAUAUUUCUUCUAGAAUUAAACUACAAUUGAAAAAAAAAUUAAAAUAUAUUUUACACAAUAAAUGUUAACUCUAUUACAAUUUGGAUAUAUUUAAUUAGAGUAACUAAAAUAAAACAUUUCAUAAUAAAAGGAGAAAUAUAGGUUUUUUAUGUAUGAAGUAUUGAUGGAUGUUAAUUAAGUUUUGAUUGAUAAAUGACUAAAUGUAAUUAAAUAUAUUAUAAGUUAGAAUAUUAUUGUUUGAUAAAUCACUUUCACAUUUUCUUUUGAAGGUUUCAUUACUUGACACUUUACUUUAGAUGCUACUUAAUUUUCCUUUUCUACGUAGAAAAAGGAUGAUCGAAGGAGAUUUCAAAGUUAUCAAUAUGUUGUUAGUCUCUUUUAGAUUCAUUCUAAUCACUCAUAUUAUUUUGUGGUUAAAAUAUGUUGUUAGUCCUUUUUUUCCUAUAAAAAUUUGAUAUCCAUUCCUUAUACGUUAAUUCAAUUUAAAAGUUUUAAUUAAAUUAUUAUCAUCUUUGAUAUUUUUUUUUCAGAAUUUGUCAACUUAUUUUAUCAAAGUAUAAGGACAAAUAGAUUAUUUUAACCUUAUUUUGUUUAAAAAGUUUUUUACAUUUAUUAGAUCAAAAUAUUUUGUUAGUGCUUGUACUUUGACAACAUUUAAAAUUUAAUCCUUGUACUUAAAAAGUUAAAAAUUAAGUCUUCUUACGUUUCUAGUUUAAAAAACAUAGUCCUUCCAUUAGGAUUGUAAGUAUUUUCUAUUCAAAUCUGUAAACUUGGAUAUAUGUUGAGUAGACUGCCUUCAUAUAAUGUUGCAUAUGAUUGAUAAUAAAAAACCUAUUAACUUGAAGUUUUUUAAUGGAAUUAAAAAUGAUUGGACUAGAAUUUUUAAAUUAGAAAAGUAGGAGGAUUGGAUUUUUUUUUACUUUUAAAAUACAGGGACUAAUAGCAUAUUUAAACAAUUUAUUAUUCUGAAAAUAAAAGAAUAUAGUAAUUAAUAAAAUAUAUUUUUUAAGUUUUUUUAGUGGAUUAUGUGGAGUAAUGUGAAGAAAAUUUAGGAGAAAAUUUGAAAAUUCACUUCUUUGUACGUAUUUUUUAAAGAAGAAGACUUGACAUUUAUUUUGAAAUUUCUUCAAAACUUUGCUUUGCUUUUUAACUUUUAGGGUAGUCUUAAAUUUAUCAAGUUUAUCAAGUGUGCGAGGGUUGAAACAUAUUAAAGCAUGCUCUCUGGGCUUUUCUUCAUCAUCCAAAUUAUUUUAUCAACACAACUUCCCUUUUCCUACUUUUUUUUAUUUUCUUGGCUUAUUCCGUCUUGCAAUCAUGAGCUACAACACUUGCUUUCAUCUUCUUUUGGCUUUAUUCAUACCAUGUUCUGUACUUUGCAUGGCUAUGACAGUCAGGAAUCUCAACUCCGAUCAGUUUGCACUUCUCGAGUUUAAGGAUCACAUUGCCGGUCCUCAAAAUGUCCUGGCAAACAAUUGGACGGCCUCAACCUCUGUUUGCAAUUGGAUUGGUGUUUCUUGUGGCGUUCUCCAUAAAAGAGUUAUAGCUUUGAAUCUUACAAGCAUGAAUCUUGGGGGUAUUAUCCCUCCACAGCUUGGAAAUCUUUCAUUUCUGCUCUCUCUCGACUUGAGUAGUAACCAUUUCUAUGGCCAUCUACCUAAAGAAUUGGGCCAAUUGCAUCGUUUGUGGAUCCUUCGAUUAAGCUACAACCGUCUUAAUGGGGAAAUUCCAUCAUGGCUUGGGAACUUACAGAGAGUUCGAAGGCUGAAAAUGAAAAAUAAUAACUUUACAGGCACAAUCCCUG